rnacentral:lncRNA from 1 species
GCUUUGAGGCUAUAGCCUUGAGGUUGUUGAGAUCUAAGCUUCAAAUAUCCAAAGGGUUUUUGGCCUUUAUAGGCUUUUGGUAUAUAUUUGAUUUUAAUAUUCAAUGAGUUUUAAUGGGUCCUAUCAUCUAUGCUUUUGUGGACUUGUGAUAUAGAUUUUAUGAAUUUUAUUUUGAGUUCCUAUUUGGUUAAACCUUUUACAAAAUAAGGGCUGACUUAACUUUUAGUUAACUUUUAAAAUGGAAGGGAAAAAGAGAUUGAGAAGAAUAAGGGAAUUAUUGACACUCCUAGUGAUUGAUCUUAUAUAUACUCAAAUUAUUGAUAGAUAAAAAAAAAGAUAUCACUACAAUUGGUGGAUGAAGAAGAAGAGGAUGGGUGGAUAUUAAUGCAAAUGGGAAGGAUAAUAUAACAAUUGGAUAUUAUUAUAUUCCUUGGGGGAUCCUAGUGAUAGUAAUAGUAACGUUGAAAAUUAUUUGGUAAAACCAUGAGAGAGCUAAAUUUUAGGAAAGAAAAAUGAACUAAAUUAGAACUAUUAAGUAUUAACAAUGAAAAAUAAUUAAUUUUAUCAUUAUAAAGUUCAUGCCUUUUUUUUUUAUUCAUUUUUUUUGUGAUUUUUUUUUUUUGGAUAAUUUUUUAUUAUUUAUUUGUUUAAGUUGAGCCUUGCACCUCAUUCUGCCUCGAAACUUAUACAUUGCCUCAUUUAGGCAAAACACCUUAAGACUGCCUUUAACCUUUUAAAACAUUGUGUAACAAUUACCUUUACCUUCCUCUUCUUGAUCUUCUAAUUUGAACUAUACCGUCUAUAAAGCCAAACCUUCUUGGUUUAAUCACGUUCUUCCUGAAAAAUACUCAUGCCUUUUAGCUCAUGGAAGUGGCUAGUUGAAAUUAAAUGGGGGAGAAAAAAAUUAGGCAAGAAGCAUGUGAAUGGUGAGAGCCACCCCUUUAUGUCCUAUAUACCCAACUUGUAACAUUUGUUCCUUUACCGCUAGGAGAUAUGCCCCACCACUUGUCCUUGCAGCCUUGUCAAGAAAUUUGAAUUGGGUUAUCUGGUUACGAGUGUCCUUAAAUUUUCUUUCCUUUGUCCUUGCCACCCUAUUUAAUUCUUCUAUUUCUCAGUGCUCUUUAUGUGUUUAUUUAUUUAUUUUUUUUCCAAUUUGGUGCUUAGGUUCUAUAUUCAUGAGUGCUAUGAUUUACUUCUUUGCGUCAUAUGACCACUAUUUUCAUUAGAUUUGUGUCAUGAUAAUUUUAUUUUCAUUAGAUUUGUGUUAUGAUAUUUUUGUGCUAGGAUUUUUUUUUUAAAUUUUAAUAUACAUGCUUGAUAGUCCAUCAUAAUGAAUGGUCUUUGCCUAUAAUAUCAUGAAAUGGUUUUUAGGCUCUAUGUUCAGCUCUUAUUUUGGUCAUAUUAUUAGUUUCCUCAUAAAGACAGGCACAUGGACAGAAAUGUGUAAAUAUUAUAUAUUUAUGCCAAUUCUUAUUGACUAAUGCACCUGUAUUUGUCAUACAGGUUGUUGCAAUUAGAGAUAUUAUACCACCACCUCAGAGGACAGCAUUUAAUGAUGUUUACAUUGCAUAUGAGCUAAUGGAUACUGACCUUCAUCAAAUCAUUCGUUCCAAUCAAGCACUUUCAGAAGAACACUGUCAGGUUCUAGUUUAAACAUUUAGUUGGUAAAACCAACCUAUUUCAUUUUUCUUUCGUCCUUGAUGAAGAGAUAAAAAUACAAGUCAACUAUAUAUGGAAGGCAAAGCUAAGCAAAAAACAGUAGCUCAACAUGACAAUACUUUAUCUCAACUACUUCAGGUGGCUGUCAGGAAUUGUGUUUCUCCAUUUUCCUCUGUUUAGGAUCACUUUUUUUUCUUCUAAUUGAAUGGGUGUCAUGUCUUUUUUACUUACUGUACAUACAUCUUUUCUGACCUCUUAUCCCUCUACCAUCUGUUGUUUGAGCAAAUUGAAGAGAUGAAGCCAAAGUAGGCAUCAUCUUCCACCAAAAAAAUGCAUCUUGGUAAUCUUCUUUAACAGCUUUAUCAAUGAAACUGUUGAGGUUUGUGGUGCAUUUAGUACUCAUGUCCCCUCUCUGUGGAGAUGGGCUGCAUAAAGACAAGUUGAGGGAUAUCAUUUUUAUCUUUUUUUAAUUGGUAUAGUUUAAGCCAUACAUCAGUGUGGAAGUAGAAUGAAGAACUCAAAAAUCAAUCACAAAAAGGGGGGGGGGGACUUAGAAAAACAUUUUAUGGAUGGGAAGGAAGGUAUGAUGACUUUAAGGAGUGGUAAGACCUUAGACCAUUCUCCUAUUUUGUUAGAUGGGGGUGGUUUGAGUGAUAAGACCCCUUUUAGAUUCAAGAACAUGUGGCUGAAAACCAAAGGUUUUAAGGAAGUUGGUGGUUGGGUUAUACCUUUACAGGCUCUUAUGGUCAUGUCUUGGCAGCAAAGCUAAAGGCCCUUAAGCAGGAUAUCAAAAAAUGGAACAAGGAGGUCUUUGGAAACGUCAUCACAAGAGAAAAUGAGGCUUUAAAGAAAAUCAGCUUUUGGGACUCCAAAGAGAGGGAAACAACCCUCAUCGUUGAUGAAUUAGAAGCUAGAAGGGCAAUGCUAAAUGAAUCUUGUAGGUCGGAAGAAACAACGUGAAGACAUAAAUCAAGGGAGUUAUAGGCUUAUGACUAAGGGAAGGGAUAAAAAUACCAGUUUCUUCCAAAAAAAAAGCCAAUGCACAGAGAAGAAAUUUCUUGGUCAAAGUCAAAGUUGAUGAGGUUCAACUUUCUAAUGAGGUUGACAUAAAGGAAGGGGUGACUUAAACCUUCCAAAGCCUCUUGUUCAAAUUGGUGGAAUGGAGACCAAGCAUCAACAAAAUGAGCUUUGAUUCUUUAGGGUGUGAGGAUCUUGGAGACUCCUUUCCCUGAGAAGGAAGUUUAGGCUACUUGGUUCAACUUGAGUGGGGACAAUGCCUUGAGACCAGAUGGUUUCAUCAUGGCUUUUUGGAAGUUUUGUUGGGAGUUUGUUAAGCAGGAGGUAAUGGGUUUCUUCAAGGAGUUUUCAUGAGAAGUCUUAAUGCCACUUUCUUGGUUUUGAUCCCAAAUAAAGGUGAAUUUUAGACCAAUUAGCUUAAUGGGGGGCUUUUAUAAGCGUUUGGAAAAAUUCUUGGAUAAUAGACUCAAAAAGGUUGGGAAAAAUGGUCUCAAACCGUCAACAUGCUUUUGUGGAGGGUAGACAAAUUCUGGAAGUAGUUCUCAUUACCAAUGAGGCCAUUGACUUAAGGUUGAAAAGCUUUAAUAGUAGAGUUAUUUGCAAAAUGGAUAUUAAGAAGGUAUAUGAUCAUGUCAAUUGAGAGUUUCUAUUGAUGAUUUUAUAGAAAAUGGGUUUUGGUCUUAAGUGGAUUAGAUGGAUUAAAUGGUAUAUAUCAUCAACAAAAUUCUUUGUGCUCAUCAACGAAACCCCGGUGAGCUCUAAGGGGUUGAGAUAGGGGACCCUCUUUCUCCUUAUUUAUUUAUCUUAGUCAUGGAGGCGCUUAGUAAGAUCUUAAGGAGAGUUAAGGAAGGGGGUUUCAUCAUAGGACUCAAGGUAGGUGGUAAAGGUGGCAAGGGUUUAGCUCUGAUUCAUCUGUUGUUUGCUAACAAUAUUUUGAUUUUCUACGACUCUAUACAAGAACAUUUGGAGUUCUUGAGUUGGUAUUUCAUUUGGUUUGAGGCAAUAUUUGGUUUGAAAAUCAAUUUGGAAAAAAAUAAGCUAAUCUUAAUUGGAGGUGUUGAUGACGUUGAGGUCCUAGUUGCUACUAUGGGAUGUAAGGUAAGGCAUCUUCCUUCUACUUAUCUAGGCUUGCCUUUAGGAGCCCCUCUCAAAAGUAGUGCAAAUGUGGGAUGGGGUUGAAGAAAGAUUUAAAAAAAGGCUUGCUAUGUGGCAAAAACAAUAUCUUUCUCAAGGAUAGAGGUAAACCUUGAUUAAAAGUAUUUUGUCGAGUCCUUCCUAUCUAUUUUAUGUCCUUGUUCAUGGUCCCUAAAAAGGUGAGUCUACGAUUGGAGCAUAUCCAAAGGAACUUCCUUUGGGGUGGGGUCGAGGCAGUGCAAAAGCCUCAUCUAGUUAAUUGGUCCAUAGUUUGCUCACAUAAAACAAUUAGGGGCCUUGGUACAAGGAAUCUCUCUUCUCUUAAUAAGGUGUUCCUUGGCAAGUUGUGCUGGAGAUACAUUUCUAAAAGUGAGUCCCUUUGGAAAAGUGUUAUUGCAUAAAAAUUUGGGAAGAAGGGGCUGGUGCUCAAAGAUAGUGAGGGAUGGUCACGAGGUGUGUAUGGAAGGCUAUUAGAAAUGAGUGGGAAUCCUUCACUAGUAGAAAUCACUUCAUUCUUGGUGAUGGAAAGAAAUGUUAAAUUCUAGAAGGAUAGCUCAUGUGGUGACUCAUCUAUGGAAGCAUUUUUUUGUCUCUAUUCUCUCUAUCCCGUGAUAGAGACUCUUGGGUAGCAAACGUGUGGGAGGAGGAGAGGGGGGGUCAGUGGAGCCCUCGCUUUUUGAGGCUUUUUCAUGAUUGGGAAAUUAAAGGAUUGACGUCCUUCCUAUAGAUCUGGCAGAAGAGCUUAGUUAGGAGUGAGGACAAGGACAGAUUGGGGUGGAUGGAGUCCAAGAGUGGUGUGUUUCUAGUGAAAUCCUUCUACCAGUCCUUAGUUCAAGAAAGAAGUGGGCCUUUUCCCUCUAGUAUGGUUUGGAAUCUGUGGGCACCUAUGGAAGUGUGUCUCUUUGCAUGGGAAGCAACUUGGGAGAGGAUUUUAACAAUUGAACAACUUAAAAGGAGGGGAUGGACAAUGCUUAAUCAUUGCUUCUUGUGCAAAAAUGAGGAAAAGUUGGUUAGGCUCUAAGUAAGGGCAGGUGAUGUUUUUUGUUUCUAUCCCUCCCCCUUUGGUUUGAGUCUUUUGGCUUCUUUUGUAUACUUCCUAUAUACUUUGAGGGCACUGUUUUUGGUGUCUUCUCUUUUCUUUAUAUCCAUCUUUUCUUUAUCUAUCAAAAAAAAAUAAAAAAUGAGGAAGAGUUGGUUGAUCACCUAUUGCUCCAAUGCCCCUAAAGCUAAUAUCCUUAGGCAUUUGGUUCUCUCUUUUUGGUGUUGCUUGGGUGAUGUGUUCCAUGGUAAGAGAUAGUCUUUUGAGUUGGCAUGACUCUUUUGUGGGAAAAAAGCAAGUUGUUUGUGCUUGCUUUGGACACUUGUGGAAAGAAAUAAACAAGAGAGCUUUUGAAAAUUCAAAACAGUUUGAUAAGAAAAUCAAAGCCUAUUUCAUGAAAAAAAAAAAAAAAAGGUUUGGAUAGAAAAUCUAACGAGUUGGAUUAGAAGCACAUAUUACAGCAACCAAUGGAAUUUUAAUAUUUUGGUACCUGUGGUAAGAAUUUGAACCCAUUCACACCUCAUUUUAAAGGGUUUGAGUGCUACCCAUUGGGCUAGAUAAAGGGGAUGUGUAUUUUGGAAUAAGAAUUCUUUUGGAAUGCUAAAGGAAAGGAAAAAAACACAUCUUGGAUGAAAUAACUAACAUUGAUGCCAUUGAGCAAGAAGAGGUUCUCUCUUCUGAUCUUUCUGCUCAAAGAGUUUUAAGAAAAGGGGAGUUAGAUGAACUAAUUUUGAGGGAAGAAAUUCAUUGGAGACAAAAAGCUAAGGUAAAAUGGGUUAAAGACGGGGAUUACAAUUCAAAGUUUUUUCACAAAGUGGCUAAUGACAGACGAAAUAGGAAUUUCAUCAAGUUUUUGGAGAAUGAAAGAGGUUUGGUGUUGGAUAAUUUCGAGAGCAUCUCAGAGGAGAUCUUUCUAUAUUUUAAAAAGCUCUACUCGAGUCCACCUGGAGAGUCUUGGAGAGUAGAAGGCAUAGAUUGCUCCCCUAUCUUAGAAGAGAGUGCUUCUAGGUUUUUCUCCGAAGAAGAGAUAUUUAAUGCCAUUUUUUAGUUAGAUAGGGAUAAGGCGUCGGGGCCUAAUGGUUUUACCAUUGCAGUGCUUCAGGAUUGUUGGAAUGUGAUCAAGGAAGACUUAGUGAGAUUGUUUGCAGAGUUUCACAAUAGCGGGAUUAUUAAUCAAAGCACCAAUGCCUCCUUCAUAGUUCUUUUGCCUAAAAAAAGCCAAACAAAGAAGAUUUCAGAUUUUAGACCUAUUAGCUUGAUCACUUGUCUUUAUAAGGUAAUAGCCAAAGUUCUAUCAAGGCGAUUAAGAGGAGUACUACACAAAACUAUCCAUUCUACUCAAGGUGCUUUUGUUUAAGGGAGACAAAUUUUGGAUGCAAUUCUUAUAGCCAAUGAGAUAGUGGAUGAGAAAAGGCGAUCAUGAGAGGAAGGAGUUGUCUUCAAAAUUGACUUUGAAAAGGCUUAUAACCAUGUGAAUUGGGAUUUUUUGGACCACGUGUUGGAGAAGAAGGGGUUUAGUCCUAAAUGGAGGAAUUGGAUGAGAGGUUGUCUGUCUUCGGUCUCUUAUGCUAUUCUAGUGAAUGGAAAUGCUAAAGGGUGGGUCAAGGCAUCUAGAGGACUAAGGCAAGGUGACCCUUUAUCCUCUUUUCUGUUCAUUAUUGUCGCAGAUGUGUUGAGCAGAAUGAUGUUGAGAGUUGAGGAAAGAAGUAUGUUGGAGGGUUUCAGGGUAGGUAGGAAUAGAACAAGGGUGUCCCAUCUGCAAUUCGCAGAUGAUACCAUUUUUUUUUCCAACUCUUGUGCGGAAGAACUGCAAACUCUUAAGAGUUUAUUGUUAGUGUUUGGGCAAAUUUCUGGGCUUAAGGUCAAUCUUGACAAGAGUAAUCUUUUUGGCAUCAACCUUGAUCAGAAUCAUCUCUCUAGGUUAGCCUUGUUGCUUGACUGCAAGGCUUUUGAUUGACCUAUACUCUACCUGGGUCUUCCUUUGGGAGGGAAUCCAAUUGCUUGCAAAUUCUGGGAUCUAGUGAUUGAGAGAAUCUCUAAGAGAUUAGACGGGUGACAAAAGGCUUACUUAUCUUUUGGUGGUAGGAUAACUCUUAUCCACUCAUACCUUUCCUACAUUCCUAGCUACUUUCUAUCCCUGUUUAAGAUUCCCGCUUCAGUGGCUGCAAAAAUUGAGAGAUUGCAAAGGGAUUUCCUUUGGUCAGGGGUUGGGGAAGGUACAAGAGAUCAUCUUGUUAGUUGGGACGUAGUGUGUAAGCCGAGGGCAAAAAGGGGAUUGGGGUUUGGGAAGAUUUCUUUAAGAAAUCUCGCUCUUUUAGGGAAGUGGUUGUAGAGGUAUCCUAGGGAGAGUACAGCUCUGAGGCAUCAGGUCAUUCUAAGCAUUUAUGAGAUACAUUCAAAUGGUUGGGAUGCCAACACUUUAGUCAGAGGGUCACAUCGUUGUCAUUGGAAGGCUAUUGCACAAGUCUUUCAGGAUUUUUCAAAGUAUACUCAGUUUGUGGUAGGAGAUGGGGAAAGAAUUCGCUUUUGGGAAGAUUUGUGGUAGAAGGACCAACCUUUGAGAUCACAAUAUCCAAAACUAUUUAGAGUAGUCACAGAUAAAAAUAUCUCUAUUUCUUCAAUUCUCGGUUCUGCUCACCCUUUCUCUUGGAACUUUAAUUUCCGUCGUAAUUUUUUCGAUUCAGAGAUAGAAGAUCUAGAAUGUCUCAUGCGAUCUCUUGAUAGUAUGCAUUUAUCCAUUUCGGCUUCAGAUGCGAGAUCCUGGUCUUUAUCUUCUUCAGGAUUGUUUACAAUCAAGUUUUUCUUUAUAGCCUUAUCCCAAAUACCUGAUUUAUCGCCUAUUUUCCCUACUAAGUUUGUAUGGAAUUCUCAAGUCCCUUUCAAAGUCAAGUCCUUUGUCUGGUUAGUGGCACACAAAAAGGUAAAUACUAAUGACUUGCUACAAUUGAGAAGACCCUACAAAGCUCUUAGUCCUGACAUUUGUAAGUUGUGCAUGAAGUAAGGAGAAUCAAUAGAUCAUCUUUUCCUACAUUGUUCUUUGAUGAUGGGGUUGUGGCACAGAUUAUUUCAGCUAGCCAAGAUGGAUUGGGUUCCUCCGAGAAACAUUUCAGAUAUGAUGUUCAUCAAUUAUAAAGGUUUUGGCACUUCCAAGAGAGGGAUAGUUCUGUGGCAAAAUGCGUGCAUUGCUUUAAUUUGGGUUGUGUGGCGGGAAAGAAAUGCUAGGAUAUUUGAGGACAUAGCUAGGAAUUCAGAGAAUCUAUGGGAUUCCAUUCAUUUCCUUGCUUCUCUUUGGGCUUUUUGUUCCGUGGUUUUUAAGGGCAUUCCCCUUAACGUGUUACAACUAGAUUGGCUAGCAAUGUGUAGUUCCAACGGGAUGGUCUAGCCAAGAGAGCUUGUUCGUAGUUUUCAUAGUGUAGUUUCUUGUUCUUUUAUUGUGUUGUUUAGUUUUAUCUUUGGAGGGAGGAUUCUUCAUCCUUCUUUUGUACUUCUUUUUCUAUCAAUAUAUAUAAUUGUUGUUUCCUAUCAAAAAAAAAAAAAAAAACAUAGGCGAUAACCAUGAAACCCUUAUGGCUUCAGGAAAGUUUGUAGGAGGUUCUAAGUUCAAGUCCCAAUAGGGAGAAAAAUUUACCUAUUAAAAGAAAAAAGGCAACCACAUGAUAUACCGUGUAUUGUGCAAGUGAGCCUAUAAAGGCUUGCAAUGCAAGUUGAUGAAAAAUAUGGGGUUAAAGUAUGGUUAUGAUUCUUAAUUAGUCCGUUUCCCUUAUGGCUUGUGGUGUUUGAAUAGACGUUUCCUAGAGCAGGUCAUCAAAACAGGAAAAGUGUGGUGACAGUAGAGCAUCAAAUGAAAUUUGCAUGGUGUGUGUAAGCUAAUAUGUAUUUGCAUUUUUUACCCAUCAAAAAGAAAAUGUAUUUGCAUUAAAAAUUCUAAGCUGAAAAUUUUGCCCUCGGGGUGCUGUAAAAUAUUUAUCAUCCUUCCCAUCUACAUUUCAUUUAGAUGGGAUGGUUUGUAUGUGCUGAGUUCCCACAGCCUCUUAGGUCUCCUGUGCAAUGGUUGCAGCAAUUGUAUAACCAACGAUCUCAUUGGAAAAAGCUAGGGACUUUCCAUUUUACCCAUUGGCAUUACACAGUACAUCCAUGCAUGCAAUAGCUUUAGAUUAACUUGCUCUGAAUUGCUCAAUAAGUAGUUGAGAGACACCAUGCCUGGUCCUCAAGUAAGAAACACUGUUGUGGUUUUGAACAUCCUGCUUCUUGUCAGCUCAUUUCUCUUGUAUUUCCUUUAGCUUGUGUUUCUUAUUGCAUUUUUAGGUCAAUACAUUUAAGUUUAGCAUCUCUAUCAGCCAAGAGAUCAUACUAAAAUUAUCCUUCAAUGUUUUGUGCAGUAUUUCCUCUAUCAGAUCCUCCGUGGGCUGAAAUAUAUACAUUCGGCAAAUGUUCUUCACAGGGACUUAAAGCCUAGCAAUCUCCUCCUGAAUGCCAAUUGUGAUUUGAAAAUAUGUGAUUUUGGGCUAGCUCGUGUCACCUCUGAAACUGAUUUCAUGACAGAAUAUGUUGUUACGAGAUGGUACCGAGCUCCAGAGCUGUUGUUGAACUCUUCAGAUUACACUGUGGCCAUUGAUGUAUGGUCAGUAGGUUGCAUUUUCAUGGAAUUGAUGGAUCGGAAGCCUUUGUUUCCUGGCAGAGAUCAUGUGCAUCAGCUACGUUUGCUUAUGGAGGUGAUUCUUUCUGCAUUUUUUGUACUGUCAUUUUCCUGAUAAGUUACCAUCAGAUUCUUGGGGUUUUGUGCCUAGUUGAAUUGCAUGAUCAUUCCAUAUUUUAUGUAAUUCCUUGAAUAAAGAGGCAUGGUAAUUUUAAUUUAUUUUUUUAAUUUCAAUUUUCCAUCAUGGGGAUCUAGGGUUUUCUUCUUGUUCCCUACAAAAUAAAAAUAUGUAUAAAAUUUAGUUUCACUGGAAACCACAAAGUACCCUGCUAUCUGAAGUUCUGCUUGUGUACAAUUUCUCAUUUUCUAUGCUAAUUUUAGGAUUCAGAAGAAUAUUGAGAACUAAGUUUUGUGCUCAUGAUCUUUAUGCAAAAAUAAGUUGUGGAACUGGCUAAUUUAGAAAGUAGCAAAUCGGAAACUGUGGCAGGUUUUGUUGCCUAUAUUUGGUGUAUGCUAGAGUUUGGCUCUCUUAAGGAAGAGAUUGGAUAACCAUGAUCCACAAUUAAUAUUUCUUGUUGUUUUGUUGCCUGGAUGAUUCUUUCAGUGGAGAAAUCUGGGUUGUUGAACUUGACGAUAAGUGAACAAAUUUUGCCUCCUCUCUUAAACAACCACCCAAAAGAAAAUUCAAUAAGCAUGUAGAAUGCCUUCAGUUGCAUUCUCUCAUGCCACCCUACUCUCUGUAUCUCUUUUUUUAAAACCAUAUUCUCAUGCCACCUUCAGGUCCAUGCGGAUUUUACAAACAAACUUUUAUGCAUUGUGCAAGCAUGAUUAUCCAUAUUUCAGCUCAUUAUUCAAUUUGACAUCUUGCAGCUGAUUGGCACCCCAUCAGAGGCUGAGUUGGGGUUUUUGAAUGAAAAUGCAAAGAGAUACAUUCGGCAACUUCCUAUUUACCGUCGGCAGACAUUCACUGAAAAGUUCCCACAAGUUCACCCUGUAGCUAUCGAUCUUGUUGAAAAGAUGUUGACAUUUGAUCCCAGGCAGAGGAUUACAGGUGAGUGUUUUCCCUAAAUGGUCUCCUCAUUCAUAUACACAUCAACAUCAAUAAUAUGAUGAAUGGCAUUGAUCAUGCUCCCGGUUAUUUAAUUGAUGCACAUGUGAGUAGCCCACACACAGGAGAAUUUAAUUAGCAAAUGUCACCAGUUAUACAACAGAUAGGUAAGGUAAACAAUACGGCCAUUAGCAUGUUACCGCCUAUAAAAUAUAUGAUGACUCAAUAAAAAAUAAACAGAAAAAAAAUCCACUGUCAUCAUUAUCAUUUAAACCGCUUCCAAAAUCAUCUUACUAUGAAGGGAUGGAAGUUCUUCAGUGUCUCCCAUUUCAAAAAAUAACGCUUCCAUUUCUAACCAUUCAAUUUAUCUUGUUAUUCUUCACCCUCUAUUUACUUUUGAUUCCUGAGCAUUCAUAUACCAUUGGCUGGAUCCCUAACUUGUUCGUAUACAAUUUCCAUUGUGUGAGCAGUUGAGGAAGCCCUAGCACAUCCCUAUUUAACGUCUCUGCACGACAUCAGUGAUGAGCCUAUAUGCACGACUCCCUUCAGCUUCGAUUUUGAGCAGCACGCACUGUCCGAAGAGCAGAUGAAGGAGCUCAUCUACCGAGAGGCACUCGCAUUUAACCCCGAGUAUCAGAACUAUUGAUUAAUCCUGCUUCCUAACUAUUGUGGCUUUGAUUAGUGUGGUUUCUGCGCUUUUUAAUCAUAUGCUCAUGAUUUCCUGCUGUAUAUAAUUCCCAUCCUAAACCUGGAUGGCCCCUAAAAUUAAAAUGUUCCAUUGUGAUCAGACUUUGGGUGACUGAAACAAUUGAAAUGGUGUUUGCUUUGUUCAUCAAUUUCCUCUGCUUGCUGAUUAGUUUCAUAACAUGGUUCAAUCAAUCCCUCGACUAUUUCAACUCGCCAAACAAGAUCAAAAUAAAAUAAAACUGAAACUACAAUAUUUCUGAAAGAAAAUAGAGAGGCAAACUUUCUAGAAAUUUAAGGGACCUCAAAGAAUCCGCUCAUGUGCUACUAUAAGAAGAGAGUUUUUAGAAGUUCAUAACAGUGAUCUUGAUAAGUUCACUAGCUCUUCGCACUCUCAAAGAAUUUAGAGAGUGGCAGCGGACCAUUGCCCUCGCUGUCAUCACUGAUAGAGUGCUUUGAUUUUGAUCUGUGCUUCUUCUCCUUUUUCGUUCUCUUGGACCUGGACUUUGCUCUUCUUGACUCUCUCUCUUCAUCUUCGCUACUUGACUCUGAGGAUGAACUUGAGGAGCUAGACUCGGAAGAUCUCCUCCUUGAAUGCUGCAAACAGGAAUGACUUGGGUUUAUUCAUUUAUAUUCUUAAAUGAAUAGGUAAAUGUAUGGGUGUUCUCAAAUAUCAAUAAGAACAUUUUUAGUUCCAUCUCAAAAACAUUGGUGGUACUGAUUCAUUUCCGAUGGGUGUCAUGUCAUGUUUCUUCCAUUAUGUAUGCAGUUUCAGUUCUGGUAACUACUUGAAAAAGAAAUUCUAAUUGUAUGGUAUUAGGAAGUAAAGGCAGUUACCUUCCUCUUUUUGCUGCUGCGUUUCUUGAAAUCUUUGUCCUUCCUAUCUGCAAGGACACACCUAGCCUUCAGAAAAAUGCUAGUCGAGAAAGAGACAAGGAACAAAGCUUUUGUUUUUUUAAGUGCAGUUCUGCAUACCCUUUUUGUGAUUAGACUUGCUGCUUGAAUGGUUUCUUCCAUGGGCCAGCUUGCUUGCCCUUUCAGCAUCUAAUUGAGCCCUGUACUCUCUCAUCAUUUUAUCUUUAUCUGCUUCCAGCUCACCCUUUCUCAGUUCAUCUUCCUAGUACAUUUUAACACAAAAAGAAAAGCAACAAAUAUGAAUUUGACAUGGUGAAAAUACCACAAAUCAAUAUUAGAUAACUAGCACAUAUCAUGGAGGAGCUUGUCAAAACAAAAUAUGUAUAUGUGCCAAAUAUUGCAUAAACAACAACUUGUUAAUGGAUCAACAGGAUUAAACAUUCAGUGAAAUCAGACCCAGAGCUGCUAUGUUAAUCUUUUGUGUGCGUUGGACUCCAAAUAGCUGGGAUUCGGCUAACUUUGUAGAUCAGAAUAUGAUUCAUCAGGCAACCUGUUAUUUUAGCUGCAUUAUAUUACACACACAUAUAUGCACAUGCACUAGGACCGCUCAUCCCAACUAUAUAGGAUUGGUAUUUAUGUAUUCAUGUAAUGAUUCAUUUAGGUUAUGUCAUCCCACAAUGGGUUGAUGCUAAAUGCCAGGCAGCCUAGUUGGUGGCAGGACAAAGGGCCAGCCAUGAACCAUGGGGCCAAGACUACUAUGCAGGCAGGGAAACUGACUCAUGAGACCAAGGAUAGACCUCCCACAAUUCCCCUAGAGUAGGAAAGGAACAUACCCUUCAAAUCCAUUGUGACUGCCUUCAGUCUUAAUAUUAAUGUAUGAGUGCAAAGUUGUCCACAAGGAAUAUCGAAAAGCUACAUUAGCCAUGUCCAGAAGAUUACCUUUUGCUUCUUUUUGAACUCUUCCCAGGUAAUUGUGUGAGAAGUUUUUAGGCUGGCCAAACGAGCAGCAUGCCACUCUGGUGAAUGAAAAGAACCAUCCACCUGCGACUGUCCUCAUCAGUAAAAGUCCAGGGAAGAAAUUCAUCUAGGCAUGACUACUUGCCAGAUUUACCCAAUCAAAUCUCUCUAAUCCAAUAAAACUUGCAAUAAGAAUAGCAGUAAUAUUGAAUAUAAACACCAAAACAGAUAAUAAAUGUUCAGAAAUUGUCUUCGAGUAUAAGAUUAUAGAUAAUUAGACAGUUUUAAAAGGUGUAGGGCGCACUCAAGGCACAAAAGUCUCCUCAGACCUAGGCGCAAGGUGCGACACAAGGCAUUUGCCUGAACGAAGUGAAACACAAUUUAGGAUGUAUAUCAAUUUUAUAAAUUAUGAUCCAAAAUCCAAUCGAAGUAACAAAAAGUAAAAUUCAAGCAUUUAAAAAAAGCAUUCAACAAAAAGGUACUGAAAUUAUAUAAAUUUCAAUAUACAACUAGAAAUUUCAAGAAUAAGAGAGCUAAAAAGGGGAAAAUGAAGUAAAUGAGGCACAGCUCUCCAACAAGGCACACGCCUUAGCAAGGAAAGUGCUAUAACUAGAUAACUAGGGAAUGGUUGAACCUUGGGCCUAGGCAUACUUUAAGGUCGCCUUCAACAAUUGUGACUAUAGAUGCUCAACUCUAGAAGACAACCCUUUGUAGCUCAUGAAAAGAUUCAUGCACAAACACAAAAAAUAAAUAAAUAAAAUUCACAAAUAUGCACAUGCAUAGUUGUCUCCACAUUCGGUAAUGAUAAUUUUUUCUCUCACACACGGUUCUGUGCCCAUGCUGGAAGUUAUUGUGUUUGAAAUGCAUCCUGGUAUGAUGAUCAUUCAUAUACUCAAAGUGCAUUUCCACAUGGAAGCAUUGCCAUUUUGGUGUACUUGGGAAAGCACCAAAGAUAUGGAAAGAUAUCUAGAGAGUGACCUACAAAGUAUAUAUGGAGAUCCCACAUGGCCACAACGAUCAAGCCUUUUUUCUUUCUUUUUCCUACAACGGAUCUGUUCCAAUUCAAGAGGAACCCCAACUGAAGAGUGCAUUACUCAUUGUAUACCAAAUAGAGCAAAAAUCAAUUACCACAAAAUGCAUUCUUUCAUACAAUGAAGGAGAAUAUGAUCACCCGUUUCUUCUUCUACUUUGCGGAUGUAGCAUCUAUUAGGAAUUUUUCAACCCCUCCUUUUGAGUUCAUCCAGAGUCAAAAUCCUACCCCAAGUUGCUUCCUAAGCAAAGAAACUAACUCUAAUUGGUACCCAAGAAUUCCAUAUUAUGUUGUAAGGGAAUGACUCAGCUUUCCUACUUGCCAAAUAGUACAAAGACUCAAUUAAAAGUUACCAUUCUUUGUAUCUAACUACGCCAUAAUAUCUUCAAUGCCCAAACUAAUGGAGUGGUCACACAACCUCCCAAAAAAGACAUCUACCUCAUCUAAUUCUCAAUCAUGCAACUACUUAAUAAACUUAGGGCCCAACCAUCACUAUCCUAAACAUCAACCACUCAAGCAUGUUUUGAAAAGGCUAUAGCAUAAAGUUCCAGAAACGAUUCCUUCAAAGGCGUGUCCCUACACCGCUUGUCCUUCCAAAACUUCACCUUGUUCCCAAAACCAACCUUGAAACAUGUUUUAUCUUUGAAAACCUCUCAACCACCUCUAAUUAUCUUCCACACCCCCAUUCCAUACCUUCUCUCACUUCGUUUCCAAAGAGGAUUCCUUUCACUCACAAAUCUCCAAGAUCAUUUUUUCAAAAGAGUUUUAUUAAAGAUGGUUAAGUUUUUUAUGUCCAAGCUCUAUUUUAAUUUUUCCAUGCAAACAACAAACCAAUUUACCAGAUGUGGCUUUUGAUCCAAAGCUCCCUCCUCCAACCCCAAAGAAAGUCCCUUUGAAUCUUUUUCAAUCUAAAAACUACCCUCUUAGAGAUAACAAAAAGGAACAUGAAAUAAAUCGGCAAGCUAAACAAAGUACUCUUUAUCAUUUUGGUGUACUUGGGAAAGCAUCAAAGCUAGUAAGAAGAGAGAUUCAAGGGAGUAACCCACAUAACCAGAUUAGUUAGGUAUAUAUUUGGUUCCCAAAAAAUUUGAGAGAAAAUGAGAAGGAAAAGAAUAUAGAAAGUAAAAGUAGAAAUAAAGAAAAAUGUGAAGGAAAAUAAAAAAUAGAUUUAAAGUAAUUGAGUUAUUUUUAUAUACUAUUUCAAACUCAUUUCAAAUAUUUUAUGUAAAGAUUAAAUAAUUUUAAAAUGUAUAAAUAAAUAAUUUAAUUAUAUUUUAUUUUGUUUCAUAUUUUCCAUAGAGAAACCAAACAUAAGAAAAUCAUUUUCUUUAUAACAUUUUUUUUCUUUCCUUGGCACUUUUCAAGAACCAAACAUAACCUUAAUGUAUAGCUUUAGAAGAACAUAAUAUAGGUGAAUGCAGGAAGUGGAGAUAACAGCAUGUCUCACCAGUAAUAGCUCCUUUGGAAGUGAUGAAUAGGGAGGCCUUAAGUUUCAUAGUUUAGGGCUUGAUGCAUAGUGCUACUCUUACAACAUAGUCAGUCAGUAUUGAGCCUGCCAAAACAAUAUAUUUGGUCACCAUUGCAGUGAAGGAACCCGGUGAACAUCACAAUUGUUGAAGAUGGUGAUUUGGGAAGUGAGUGGGCUCUUAUUAUACCAUGCUUUCCAUUCACAAAUGAUAUAUUUUAUCAUGCAAUUGCUGGUGGUAGGCAGGGAGCUGCUUUUGGAUUGCUUUCUCUCUAGGACCCUAUAUCUGAAGGGGGAUCAGACCAAGGUAUGGGGGGCUGAUUCUUAUGAAAGCAGGAAGUUGCACUCUAACUGAUACCCUCAUGUGAUUAUCCUAUACACCUUAUUCAACAACCUAUGCUAAUAUUUAUUACCAAUAAAGUAUAAAUUUUUUUCAAGAAGGCUUCUUGGGAAUGACUUCAGGCACACUCUUGUACACAAGGACCAAUCGACCUGUAAAAUAUAACUCAAAGAAGCAAAGGCUCACAACAUCUUCCAAUCACUAUCAUGAUUAUCAUCAAAUAAGAAUAAGGACCUCUUUGGAAAUGUUUUCAAAAGUAGUGCUCAAAAAACAGUUUUUAAAAUAGUUCUUAAUUGCUUUUAGGAACAAAAUUCUGUUUGGGAACUCAAAUAUGAAAAUUUGUUUUGCUUUGCUUGUUCUUUGUGAAGAUACUGCAUACUUAUGUACAAUACAAAUGUUUUUCAAAGUAUUCUCCAUAUUUUCAAGUGUUGCUCAAAAAAUCUUACUAAAAAAAUCUGAAAACACUUAAAAUUUGUUAAAAAACCAACUUAUUUUAAGAAUAAAUUUUAAAAAACGAUUUUCUGUCAAAAGUUUUUCAAACAAAUUUUCUAAAUUAGAAAACUGUUUUCAAAAACAGUUUCUAAACAGGGCCAAGGCUCUGUUACCAAAAUGGUUGAAGGCUCAAGAAUACAAAACAAUGGAUAUAAGGAGGUUAAUGGCAUCCAGAUAUGCAUGAGUGAAUGAGUAAGCGCAUCAAGAAUAACAAAAACAUACAGAACUGAAAUGUAAAAAACAUUUUUUGAUCACGUUGAUAAUUGAUGAGGGGCAUCAGAUAAGAGUCACAGUGGAAGAGAACGGGAGCCUUUUGAAGACACCCAGUGCAAAUAAGCUGUAUUCAAAAUUUUCUUGCAUAAACAGAAAGAUGAAGGAGAAAAGGAGAAGGCAGAAGGUCAAUGCUUGUCAUGUAAUUUGUCACAGCUCUGCAGAUCUUUCUGUGUUUUUAUUGUCAUUGAAUUUUCAAAAUGUUUUUUGGAUGGGUAAAUUAAGAGAAUAUAUAAAAAAAAACGCUUGGAAAAUGGGUCUUUGAAUUUCCAAAAUGGCAUUGUUCUCAAAAAUGGAGGGCAAGAUCAUGACAAUUGAGCAUCUGAUGUGGCUAAAAUUAAUAAUUUUCAUGACCUCCAGGAAAAUGGUCAAACUUUGCUUCAUUGAUUUUUUAUAGAUAAAGAAGAAGUAUUACAAAUAAAAAAAGGUAUAUACAAUGUAUACAAAGUAGUCACAAUACCCAAAAGGAAACGUGAAAACACAAAACCCAGCAAACUCGCCCUACAUAGAGCCUAACCAAUCCACAAAUCCUAACAUAGACAAAGAGUCAUCCCCAGUAUACAACUUAACCCAAUCACAAAAAAGAAACAAGAAAGAAUUUUUAAUUGUUUGAUCCAUACUUUCACAAUUAUCGAAGGCUCUCCUAUUUCUCUCCCUCCAUAUGGUCUAGAACACACAUAACGGAGCAACCUUCCAAGCCUUUAUAUGGAUGAGCAUGUGAUGCAGUCCCAUUGUCAGAAAAAUGAAAAAACCAUAAGCUGUUUAUAUGGGUGAGCAUGCUAACACUUGAGAAAUAUGUGUAGAAUCUCAUGUUUAACUAUUAUAUAUUCAGCCUAAGUAAAUGGCUAGGCUGCACUUGGAACAAUUCCUGUCGGAUAAAAACAAAAAAAGACCAGAACAAGUAUUCAAUAUCUAUGGCAGCUGUGGCUCAAUACUAAAAGAAGAUAUUCAAGGGUAUGAAAGCCAGGCCUAUAACAUAUUUCAUGAUACCGCUGCAUACAAUUUUAUGAGCCAUUCUAGCUUUAAUAAUUUUGAUUACAAAGAUAUUUAAGGGGAUGCAACCUAUGUAUACAGAAAAUAUAAAGAGCGCCUAAGGGAACAAAAACUAAAAGAACUCAUUAGAUCCUUCCUAAAGGGUUAAAAAAAUUAAGAAUUGAACGAAGUAUUUGACAAGAUAUUAUUCAACAUCACUUACAAAAUCUCCACUCCUCAAAAACAUCUUUAUUUCUCUUUCUCCAAGUAGACCAACAUAGACAAAGAGGAAUAGUCCCUCUUUAACUCCUCCCACAAAAAUAACAUGCUAACAUAACAAAAAUUCCUCGACCUAAAGGAAGAACACCCACAAAACCCCAAACAAAGAAAACACCAGGAUGUGUUCAGUACAAGCCACCCAAAAUGGCUUAGAACAUCAUUGGCUGACUCCUUAUCUUGCUUGCUUAAGAAAAGCCAACUCACUGAUGGUCAACCCUAUUUGUAAGCUGAUCUGACAUGAAGAUUUCCUCCCAGGCAGCGUCCCAAGCAAAGACACCAAAGAAAACGACUUGCUCCCUCGGACUAAAAACGCCACAGAAAGAUUUUUUAUUUAACUGAGAGGUUUCCACUCUUUAGCUUAACCGCACCCAACUUAUCAGCAUAUACAUAUAGAGAAACAUCUCCAUAUAGGAUAAAACAAUGGUUGAGUAUCUGAAGGAUAUCCCUAACUGACAUAUGGAUAAAAGUUGACUGUUGAUGAAUGACACUUAAGGAACAGAGUAGGCAAGUACAAUACAAGUAAAGAACAAACCAUUGACAGGAAAGAUGGCAAAGCAAAAAAAGCAACUGGCAAAUUUAGGGCACCUCGUAAAGAUAAAAACCUGUCCAACUUUCCAAAAGAAACAUGGCAUAGAGUAUUUCUUUGAAGAGUGCUCAAACCUAGGACCUUUAAGGGGACGAGUUGGGAAGACCCUCCUGCAGGAUACUAAUUCAAACAAUAUUCUAAUCGUUUUUGCUCGAAUUAGAAUUUUGAAAUUUGACAGUGGUUUAUUUUGGGGUGCACAAGUAGCACAUGUCUUCUGUAUCAUAUGUGCAAUACAGGAUAGCAUACAACACUUUCAAAACAAUGAAGCCUGCCCAAUAUGAGUCAGAUAAUGCGCAUGCGUACUGAAUAAAACAACAAUAAAAGUUAUCACAAUAAGAAUUCAACCUUUCAAAUCAAUGAAGGAGCAGUAACAAUAAAAGUUAUCACAAUAAGAAUUCAACCUUUCAGAUCAAUGAAGGAACAGUCCUAAGGUAUAGAAAAUUACGGGGUAACAAUUUUUGGAGUUCAUGUAAAAAUUCUCAGUAGCCUCACAAAGGCAAACAAUACUAAAAAGUCUGCCCCAAACUUAAAAAGAAACAAAACCCUGCUAUUCAAAAUACCCAAUUGUGACUGCAAUGUUCUGCAACAUGAUUUCCCCUGGACUAGUUAAUUGAUACAGUACACCAUAAUACCUACAAUACUCAACUCUUCCUCGUAUUAAACAGAGAUCUUAUUGAUUCCGUAUAAGAAAUCGAAAAAUUGUUGCUAUUGAAUCAAAGGCUAUAAUAAAAGAAAUAACUAUUUCCCAUUCCCACUCUAAACAUUCCACGACAACAGAAUAAAUUCAAUUACAAAUACCAAAUUUUACGACAUCACAAUUCAAACCCAAGAAUUUUAAGACAAGUGAUUUGCAGAACAUUCACAAAACAAAGAAACCCAUCAAAAGAAAACAUGAAUCAGUUCACCAAUCACAAACAACUUCACACAAACACAUCAGAAACAUAGCAUGCCCAUUAGCCCUACAAAUUGAAUGAACGCAAAACCAAUCAAGAUUGAUUCAAAGAAGAAGAAAAACAAUAAAAUUAAUCUAAAUUUGAAUCUGGGUAUUGAAGGAAGGAGGAAUUGAAAUGGAUUGAUAGUAUGGAAGGACACAAACCAUGCCGUCUUCGAUCUCUUCAGGGCCAGUGGAGCUGGAGCCGAGCCUGGCUCUCUGCAUAGCCUUGUAAGCUUGGUUUUUCCCCAUUUUCUAGAAGAGACCCAGAUGAGAAGAAGAGGGGAAAAGCCAAGAAGAUUGAAGGAAGAAUCAAAACCCAGAAAGAAAAUGAAGGAAAAUUUGGGAAAAUGUUUGAUUCGAGGGUCCAAAUCAGAGGAAAUGGAUGAGAAAAGAGAGGACCCAGCGAUGAAUAAGAGAUGAGGGCUGAGGCUGGGGAAACAUUUGGGUCGUAAAAUAGUGGGGUGGAUACGACUGUGCACGAUCAUGAACCAUCUGACGUGUAAUUUGGUUCCCAUCUUGAGAAGUCAACAUCAUCGGUCUAGGUGCAACUCAACGAUACACGUGGCAGUAAUAUAUUGGUUGAACUUUUUUAGCCCUGUUAAUUGAACUCUCACAUUGCUCAUUUUUUCUUUCUUUUAAAAAAAAAAAUAUUCCAUUUUUGUACUUGAAAUUCAAUAUUAAAAUUUUUUCAAAUAUUUAAUAUUAUUGAGUAAAUAUUUGAUUUGAAUUAUUUGAUAUAUAAAUAAAUAAUUAAUUAAUUAAUUAUAUACUGAUAAAGUUAUCACUUUCCAGGUCAUAUUCUUUCAUUAUCUGCAAUAAUAUAUGAUACUAUUGGGUUGAUAUAAUGUAAAUACAAAAUUAAUAAAUAUCUGUCUUUUCUAUUUUCCAUUAAUUCACUUAUUAAAAAUUUUAAAAUAUUUAUAUUAUUAAUUUAUUCCAAUAAAUAAUUCAUUUUUCUCAAAUUUAUCGUAUAAAAUUUAAUUCUAUAGUAGAAAAAAAAAAAGGACUGGAAAUAUGGGUCUCAACUCCCUCUAAACAAACUCCAUGAACUCUUCAAUCUUGGGCCUAGACCAUCUUUGUAGGCCCAUGAGUUGGUGGCUCGUUGGCCCAAUACAGGCUUGGAUUUCAAUGCCUGAAAUGGGAUUGGCUCAGCCCAAUCUCGCCAGAAUAAAGCUUGUAGGGAUAUAUUGCCAAGCCCAAGCAAUGAAUCAAAGACGAGGUCCAAUAUAUCUUCCAACCUUGAGAAGUAGACAAAUGGGCCUGUCAUGGGCCCAAGUUUUGACGUGCUUGUGAUCCAUAAUUUUCAAAUUACAUGUUUGGAAUCUUUUAUAAGGGCAUGCAUAGACCGGUUUUGGAAGUCAAAAAUUCUUUUUUAAACUCGAUAAAAACUUAUUUACAUGUGUUCGGGUUAAUUGUUUUAAAAAGCAAUUUGAGCUUAUAAGCAAAAUUCAUUCUUCAAUUCAAGAAGUUGUUUUCUAUCUAAUCAAAUUUUCGUAAUACCAAGAUAAAUUUAAUGUAACAAUGUCACUAACUAAAAGUUUUCUUUAUUUUCAAGUACAAACAUUUAAGAUUCAAAGGAUUCGAUACAAAAAAUAUUUUAAAAAAAAUUAAUCAAAUGCUUUGUGGUGAAAAUAUUUUCAAAGAAUUUCAUUAAAUUUAUAUUACAAUUUCAUUACAAAAUAAAUUAUAAUUUAAUAUGAGUUAUCAAUUAAAUUUUGCAUCAAUGAUUCAUAUGAUGAUUAAAUUAAUCAUUUUCUACGUCAUUAUCGCAUAAUGGUCAACAAACAUGAAUAGAGGCAUAAAACAUGCUUUUCAUACGAUACAUCAAGUGGAGUGUCAAUCAAAUUACUCAAUAAUAUAUUAAUUUUGAAGAAUAAAUUAUACUUUAAUCAUCCUAAAACGCGUCAAUAUUUCCUAUUAUGUCUCGAUCAUAGACCGAAUCGUAGAAUUAAUUAUUCAUAUUGAUAAAAUUAAGCUAUGGAAUCAUUUUGCAAACAUUAUGCUAUAAGAAAAAUUGUUUAAUCCAAAAUGGCCUUAUUUUAUUCUUAAUGAAAUCAUAAAUAAUAAUAUUGUUUUAUUUUCAUGGUAAACAAUGAGGAAACUUUGGUUUCAUGUGAUUUUGAUGGAGAUCUUUUAUAAUAAUAAUAAUAAUAAUAAUUUUGAUGGUAUUCAAAAUGAUUUUGUAACUUUUCCUCUUUAUGGGAAAGUGACACCUUAUAAAAACGAAAAAGUAUCCUCAAAAAGAGCCAAGACAUAGUUGCUUUUUCGUGAGACAAAAUAUAAUGGCCAUUUUUUUUAUCAUAUAUAAAAUUUAAAGGUGGAGAAUUUUUAAUAUUUUUAUUAUUAAUUAAAUUAUAUAUUUUAUUUCCUUUUUCUUUGUCCACUGCCCUUAUAUUGAUUAAUUGAUUUUUUGUUCAUCUUUCCCAAACAUAUGCACGAUGAGAUGUAGAUAGUUGAAUGAUGACAUAUAUAAAAUAAGAUUAAAUGGCCAUUAAUAAAAAUUCUUUUAUCCACGUGGCACUAUGUGAUAAAGUAAUAUUUCUUCACUUUAUAAAAAAAAAAAAAGUUUCUUUUUAUACCAUAUUUAACGGUGGAGUUAAAUAUAUGUUGCAGCCAUAACGAGAAUAAAAUAAAAAUACAUAAAUUUAAGUGAAAAAACCGUAAACAAGAAAAAAUUAUGAGGAAAUAAGAAGAAAAUUGGUUAUAUAAAAAAUUAGUGCUAAAAUGAUGAAUAAUUAUAAUAAAAACAUAAUUAUUAUAAUCCUUAUUAUUACAGGUGGUUAAAAAAUCUCAUAAUUAUAGUUUUACCAUAUAUAUUGCAACAUGAGGUUUUCAAUUGGUCCAAAUAAAAUUGGGUUCACCAAAUUCUAACAAUAAUAAUAAAUGAAAAUUUGAAAAUACAAACAAGAAUCAAGACAGUUCUAAACUCAGAGACAAAAGAAAUUCUCAAAGAUGCUAAAAAAAGCAUUUAUAUUAUUAUUAAUAAUAAUAAUAAAGAAAGAAAGAAAGAAAGACGAGAGUGGUCCAAGAGACAAUGUGAAAGAAAGAGCCAUGUAACAUGUUUGAGAUCCCCAAUGCAAUGUAAGGAUAAUAAAUUCCUUCAUGGCUUGUGUCAGUAACUUCCAAGUCAUCACUGACCCUAUGAAACAUGUAUCGAAUAAGAAUAUAAUCUACAUGUAAACAAUUUAAUUAAAACCCACAAAUAAUACUAUUAUUAUAUGAAAAAUAUAUCUAAAAUAUGAAACAUAUGAAUAAUGUGAUAAGAAUAUAAUUACUUUUUUGGGAACUAUUUUUCAUAAUAGUUUUCCUCUCUCUAGAAUAAACAAUACGAGAAACAUAUUUGUCAAUGAAAAUCUGUUUUCUAUUUUAUAUUUUUAAAAUAAAAAAUAGAGUAUUUUUAUAAAAUAUCUUUUAAUUAUUUAUUUUUUAGGAUUAUUUUAAAAAAUAAUUAUGUAAAUAUAUGGAAUGGCUAAAAAUAAAAUAUUACAUAUAAAAAUUAUUUUUAAAAUAUAUUUAAAAAUAUUAAAAAUAUUUUAGAUUUUCAAGCAGAUUUUUUGUCCUAAAAUAAAUAGUUUUUAAAAACUAUUUUUUAAAAUUAUUUUCGAAAACAAUUAUCAAACAUAUCCUAUGUUUUUUUUUAAUAAUUCAAAUUAUAUAUUAAAUUCUAGUGACUGAUAUUAAAACUUUAAUAUAAUUCUAUGUUAUACCAUACAUUUAUAUAUGUAAUACUUAAAAGGGUUUAAUUAAAAAAAUAAAAUAAAAUAAAAUAUUGAUAAAUUUCAAAGUUAUAAUAUUUAAAUCCAAGAUUAUUUGCAUUCAAAAUAUAAGAAAAACUUGAAUCAUGGUCUUAAGAUAACUUUUUGGGCCAUAAUACACUAAGAUGGUGUUUGUUUUUUUACUUAAUUCUAAAUAGAACCUUAAUACUUAAUAGUAUUAAAUAUUAGGUUGUUUGUUUUUGUAGUAUUUUAUUUCUAUUAAGUAUUAAAAAGUAAAAAAAACUAUUGUGUUAUUUUUUCUAUUUAGAAAAAGCCACAUAUUUUAGCUUUUUUUAUUUAGUAAAAAGUUUAUAAUAAGUCAUGAAAAAGUAAAAAAACAAACAACCUAAAUUCUAAAACUAAAUGGUUUUUAACAAAAAGCCAAAAAAACAAACACCACCUAAGUUAAUAAAAUAAAAUAAAAAUUAGGGAUUUGAGGUCGGCCUAACGGGGAAUGAGAGACCCACAUUCUUGAAAGGGACCACUAAAAAUAUUAAAUCACUUGCUUUUUAUAAGAGCAAAUGGGUGUCUUAAGGGCAUGUUUUGAGCUUCAAAUAAUUUGUUGUUGAUGCUUGACAGCCUUUAUACCACUUUAAAUUUAUAUUUAUAUUUAUAUAUAUAUAUUAACUUCUUGGACUCUUCUUCUUUCUGACAUUUGGCGGGACAGACAAGAUAAUGACCAAAGGACUUUGUGGGUGCACCGAUUUUAGGAAUUAGGGUUUGGCCACAUGUGGGGAUGGAAUGCAUUGAACUUGGGAGUUUUUUGAUCAUUUGUAUUUGAAAAUUUAAUUAAUAUCUUAUUACCAAAUUCCAACUAUUUAUGUGUGUAUUUGAGAAAAUUUUGAAAAAUAUUUUUUUUUACGUGAUUUUAAAUAAAUAAAAAUAUUUGAUGAAGACUGUGAUAUUCCUCAUCGAAUAAGAGAAAAAGUUUAUGACAUUAUAUAUAUGUAUAUAUGUGGUGGGUCGAUGCCUUUGUGAUUUUAACCAUCAUCUGUUCUAAUCAUGUCAUUAAAUGUAGAAAUGACCAUACCGAUGAAAUAAAUUAUGUUACCCUAUUUUCUCUUUUGUAUACCUUCUAAUCUCACCUUACACCACCCAUAAUCGGUAUUAGACUUCAAGACAUAAGCUGUAACCAUUUUGCAUAAUCGUUCUAGUGCAUGAAGCAAUUUCAACUAGCAAGAUCUUCAUAUGGUAUAUUCAAGGUAUCAAAAAAAAAAAGGAAAAGAAAAAGCAACGAUAGAAAUUCUUAAAACUUUGCAAAUGUGUUUUAAAGUCAUAAUAAUAUUUGUGUAUGAACUUUUGUUAAUCUUAUAGGUUAUGUGCUUUUUAAAAUUUUUAUUUUUUAUUUUUUUAGUUUAUGGACAAUAAUCAACUAAUGACCGUUUUUUUUUUUUUGUUUUUUUAUUUUAUAAAGUAAGGUUCAUUUUCGGUUUUGAAAAUAACAAAAUAAUUGGGGGGGAAAAAGGAAAAGGAAUUUUAUUUUAUUUUAUUCUUUGUUUGAAAAUUAAAUUGUGGGGUUAUUAGGGUCAAACCUUGUUUUACCUUUUUUAUUUUUAUUUUUGUGGUGGGGAAAUUAAAUAAGAUGAGUUAAAAUGUUUGCUGAUGAAACCGACAAAAUGGUGUAUUUUUAAAAGUGUUAAACAAAACCAAUCUAAUUUAUCUCUAUUUUUAAGUAAUAUUUUUUAUUUAAUUGAAAAUUUUAAAAAUAGCUUAAAUAUCUAAAAUUUACUUUCUAUUUAAAUGCAGACUUCCACUUUUACCAUCAAAAGAGCAAAAACUAAAAGCAAUCCCAAACAGCCCCUAAGGUGCCAUGUUUGCAUGUGUUGUUUCAAACAUGCACUUCAAUUCUUUCAAGGCGAGAGAGGUGAGAUGCCAAUGCACAACACCUCAAAAGGAGAAGUGUUUUUCAUGAUGAAAAACACUUUCAAAAAGCAUGUUUUUGUCUUCUAAAUACCAUUCAAAUGAGCCUCAAAAGAAGAAAAAAAAGUGGGUAACCUGAAAAACACCAAUUUUACAAAGCUAAAGUGGGCUCUAAAGAUAUUCUAAAAUAUAAAAAACACAAAACAAAAAAGUAGGACCCCCUUCUAGUCUUAUAAUACUUUAGAGCCCUUCCUCUAUUAAUUAUUAUUUAAAAAAAAUAUGUAUGAAAUUAAAUUUCAAAUUGACUCAAACCAAACGGUCAAUCUACACUUCAAAAUGGGUAUGCAAAUCCAUUUUUUUGGACCCAUUAUGCUUGAGUAUAGCUUUCAAAGAUUUUGACAAGAUGAAAAAAAGUUAAAAACCUGGUUGUUUUUUUGCUCUCCAUUUGUUUUUGUUUUUUUUUUCUUUUCCAAUUUUGGGAUUUUGAAUUGAGAUGAAAAUGGAAAAUUUAGCCCGCAGUCCAAUUUUUUUCAUACUUUUUUUUUAUUUACUUAAUUUUAUCCUAGCGAUUUAUGUAUGAUUCAAUCCAUUUAUGAUCCUUUUAACUCAUAUAAAUUUACUAAAUUGAUAUGUUUGAAAAUUUUAAAAAAUUAAAAUACUUUUUUUAUUAUAAAUAUCAUAUAAUUAAAAAAAUUAAAUAAACUAAGCAAAAGUUUAUGUAUUUCAUUUUAACUAUUAAAAAUGUUUUAUAAUUAAAAGUAUUAAAUAAAAAUAAUGAACUGAGUGCAAAAUUAAAAUUUUAAUUUACUUUGUACAUUAGUACCAUAUUAUAAUUAAAAUUAUACAAAUUGAUUAAUUAAAAUAAUUAAAAGGUAUUUUAAAAUAAGAUAUUUAUAGAUUUAAAAUUUAUAAAUGUGUUAAUCGAUUUUAUAGGCUAAAAUUAUAUUAAUUGAUUUAAUAUGUUUGGAAUUAUAUUUUCGUGUCAUGUUGAGUUUCUAUUUAGUAAAUAAGUUGUGUUUAUAUUAAGUUAUCAUAACACGAAUGUUAAGUAUAUAUUUGAGUUGAGUAAAUUUUUAUUAUUUCUUACUUUAAUACACUACGUUUGACUAUCACCCAUAAUUUAAAGAGAAUAUCAUCGUAUGUUUGCAUAGAAAAAUGAUAAAAUAAGAAAACGAUCUCAAUCAAAUCAUUUGAGAAAAGUACAAAAAAAUGAGACCAAAAUACGAACAAAUGAAACCUAAAUAAAAAUAAAAUAUGAUUAUUUAUAGAGUUAGACUCCUAUAUGUAUCAACCAUUUGUAGAAUUUGAUAACUAUGUGUAUUGAAAAAUAUGUUCAAUCAAAUCAUAUCAAAUAUAACUCUCAAGUCUCAAAACUUUGUUCUAUGAUACCAUCCUUUUUAUACUUUAAUUUCAUUUAUUAUAUAUAUAUAUAUAUAAUAAAUGAAAUUAAAGUAUAAAAAGGAUGGUAUAAUAUAUAUGCAUACUUAUCAUCCACCCAUUUCAAAUUGAAAUUUCAAUAACUUGGAUGGUGUUUGUUUUUUUGAUUUUUUGCUGAAAAUAAUUUAGUUUUAAAAUUUAGGUUGUUUAUUUUUUUAUUUUUUCAUAAUUUACUAUAAACUUUUUAUUAAAUAGAAAGAAUCAAAAUAUGUAGCUUUUUUUAAAUAGAAAAAAAUAACAUAUUGAUUUUUUUAUUUUUUAAUACUUAAUAAAAAUAAAAUAUUAUAAAAACAAAUAAUUUAAUAUUUAAUAUUAUUAAGUAUUAAAAUUUUAUUUAAAAUUAAGUAAAAAAACAAACACACCUUGCACUUUUCCUUUUUGUACGAUAGAAAACAAGGGAGAAGAACCCAAUUUCUUAUGGGUAAUAAUGGGGUGGGAGAAGGGGGAGAAUGGACUGUAUGAGGGCGGUGCGGUGCAGAGAACCCGUGAAUCUCGCAGCAGAGAAUAGGCCAAGAAGAGAAAGUGACUCCGCUCAGUUAUAGAGGGCUGUGCCCUAUACAUUUUCACCCUUUUUACUCAUUUAUCCUCAUCUUUUUCCCUACUUUUACUAUCUGAUUUCCCCCAUUUCAUGGUACAAAAAGUAAGGUUUCUAUCCUCCUUCCCACACUUACUUUUGUGUCUUUUCCUAGAUUUUAACUUAUUUUUCUUUGUAAAUGUCUUCUACUAAGGGUGGAAGAUACCAAAAACAUGAAAAAUAUGAUCAAGGUAAUAUGAAUAAAGUAUCAAAAAUGGUAUCGAGGCACGAAAAAUGUAAUGUAAUAAUGAAGGAGAUAUGAUAUCAAAAUGAUGGAGUUAGUUUGAUGAUAUUUUCAAAUAACGGUUUUUGACAAUUGUUCUUAAAAACAGUUAAUAAUAGUAAUUUUUAAGCAUGAUUUGGUUUUUAUGGACAAUGAAAUGAAAACUUUCAUGAUAGCAAGAAGAUUGAAAAAAAAAAUACUAUCAAGUAUGGUAUCUUACUUCGGUUAAGGGAAGACAUAUAUCCACUGAUCGAAAAAUUAAAUGAAAUUAAAAGAUUUGUAAAUUAGAUAUACUUCAAGGUGCCUAAAUGUAAAAAAUCUUGUAGUAGGUGUCAUUAGAAGAUACAUUAUUUUUCACAAUUAUAUUAGCAUGACAAAUUUUGAAAGUAAAAAUAGGAAACGUCACGCAAACCCUAAAACACUUUUGUGUUUUUCUCUCUUAUCGAUCUAAAUCAUCUAUAUGAAUUCCGACAUAUAUUGCAUGACUAGUAUUGAGUAUGAUAAUUCAAUUAUUUUUAUGAAUUUUUUUUUGACUUGCUUUUCACAUCAUUUUGUGAUAGGUCAACCAUUGAUCACUAAAUUUUCAAAUUUUGAAUUUUCAACAUGGUACUAUUCAAUCACAUAUGGUUGCUUUAGCCUUUAGGUGGGUCACUCUUGAGAAUCUAAUUGUAGGUUCAUAAUUGAUUGAUGACUCUUCACCAUACACCCAUUGAAAUUUCUUAUGGUUAAAUCAAUUGGUUUAAUACUAUAAACUCCUUAAGACUUCAAAUAACAAGCCAUUGUCAAUGGUGUACCUAAUUUUUAUCUUGUUACAUUAGGGAAAGGUUGCUUUGCUUGAUGGCUCAACACUUCACACCAAACAAUUUGCCUAUGGUUUUGUCUUCAAAAAUUUCUAAAAUAAAAUAAUCAUAAUUAAUAACAUAAAUAUGUUAAUUUAUCAAUAUUUUAAUCUACAAUAGUUUUUUUUUUAAAAAAGAGAGGAUAAUUUUUAUUUAUUUUUAUAAAUAAGAUUUUAUUUGUGAAUUAAAAUAUAAAAAAUUUCUCCACCCAUUCCCAUAAAAUUAGUAUAUUUUUUUAAUAUGAAAGUUUUCAAAAUAUUCUUCAUAUUUUUAAUUAUUUAUCCAAACAUUGUAUUGAAAAACACUUGAAACUAUCUUAAACUAUUUUUAAAAAUAAACUUUCAAAAAAAUACUUUAAAAUUUUGCCAAAUAUAUAUAUUUUUAAUUUAGAAAAUAAAUUUCGUUCUAAAUAAUGGAAAACCGUUUUUAAAAACAAUUCUCAAAUAAAGAUCAAAACCUGAAAUUAGAAGAGACUUUGUCUAUAGAAGCCGGAUAAAAUUUUGACUAAAUUUAAAAUAAAUAAAUAAAUAGAUUAUCAAAGACUAUAUAUUUGGCAUUAAACAACAUUUUUUAUUAAAAGAGGUAAAGGAAGUGAUAAUAUUGCUUAAAUAAUGUUUUGCUUUCAAAUUAUGGACCGUUCCACAAUAGUUUCAUUUACAAUUUCUAUAUUUUGACAAAUUCCAUAAUUAUUUUAUUAACUUUCUAUACUAAAUUUUCAUAGUGAUUAAAAAUAUAGAUUUUUUUUUGUUCUUCCAAUUGAGUCUCCAUUUAAUGGUUGUAGCAUUAAAAAAUAUAAUCACUAAAAGAAGUGUGUUAAAAUUAGGUGUGACCAUGAAGAAAUUAAAUGAGAUUCUCUAAUAAAGAUUUGUGCAUUGAUGGCAAAAAUUUACUCAAAAUGUCUUUUUCCAAAAUUAAAAUUAAAUCAUAAAUGGGGUCCAUAUGCCAUUCCAAACAUUCCCUGUGAGUUAUACUCAUACCAAACUUGGUUGAAUCCAUUAAUACUUGCUGCAUUUUUAUAUUACUUUACUCGAACGUCCCAAUGCCAAAGUCAAAAUAUUCUACAUGUUAAACAUAUUUUAAUGUUCAUGUAAUUUAAAAUUUAAGCACUUGUUCAUAUUGAACCCAAACAAUAACCUCUAUAUAUUUGUAUAAUUUUUAAAUAUUUUAAUAAUAAUAAUAAUAAUUUUUUAUUAUUAUUAUCUUAUAAUAGUUCAAAACUCAAAUCAAAUUUAAGGUUUAAGCCAUGUUUUUAAAGUAUAAUCUUAAUAUUACCAGUCUUUCUAUGUGUCUUUCUAUGGGUGUUAAGAGUAUGACAUUCAUAUCAUACUCAAAUUAUGCGAACUAAAACUUUUAUGUAUUUGUAUAAUUUUUAAAUAUUUUAAUAAUUUAUUAUUAUUAUGAUAACGUGGCUAACCUUUUUUUUUAAAAAAAAAAAGAAAAAAAACUUGAAAAGUAUUCUCAUUUAAAUAAAUUUUCAUAAUGUUCAAAUUAUUUUUUAAAAGCAUGACUUUCUUCGUUUUAACAUUUCGUUUAACAAAAUCUAAGCGAGUGAUAUCAUUUUCAACAUCUCAUAAAAAUCAAAGCUAAAGUUGAAAUGAUUCUCGUAAACUUAUGUCAUAAAAAGUAUAAAUCACUAAAAUAAGUUAAGAUCACGUAAUAAAAUGACUAAAAAUAACAAAAAAAGACCAUCAUGCAUGCAUGUUGCAAACGACAUGACUUUUGGUACAAUGAAAUGGUGGAAAAAAACAAAAUGUAUGAAAUGAUAUAACUUAAGUUUCAAGUUUUAUUACUUAGUAAGGUCUCAAUUCAAGAUUGUAUUAAUUAGAACGACAACGGAAGUUAACUCAAAUUCAAUAUUUCCCUAAAAUCAUACUAAAUUGGUAUGCUUGCUUGUGUACAAAUUAUUCUUGGAACUUUCUAUCAAAGGAAAAAAGAAAAGUCCAAAGUCAUCUAUGUACCAUUUCUAUUUCUACCAUUAUGGACGAUAUUGCCGUUGUGACUUUAUUAUUUGUGGGGUUUCGCAUAAAACUUGUAAUAAAUGUCUUCUAUGAAACCAUGAAGAUGGAACCAAAGAUUUUGACCAUGUUCUAUUUUUUCUUAGAUAUAAAAACCUAUAAAUUCAAAAUUUUAUUAUUAUAUAAUUUUAUUUUUACAUUUAGUUGUCACCUUAUUUAUAAUCUCAUUCAUUGUAAUUUUAGAAAGUAUUUUUAACCUAAACAGAUGCUUUUGAAAAAAAUUAGGAGCUUGUUUGAGAAUGGUUAUUUUAGAAUAUUUUUUUGCCCUCUAUAACAAAAAAUAUGUUUGGCAAUAAAAAUUUGUUUUCUAUUUUCGAUUUUUGAGAGAAUAUCUUUUAAUUAUUUUCAUUUGUUUUGUGAGAAUUGUUUUAAUAAAUAAUUAUAUAAACAUAUAAAAUGAUUAAAAAUAAAAUAUUAGAUAUAAAAUUUAUUUUAAAAAUAUUAAAAAUAUUUUAAGUUUUCAAAUAGACUUUUGUUCAAUAGAAAUCAAAAACAAUUUUAAAAAACUAAUUUUUAGAAUUGUUUUCGAAAACAGUUACUAAAUAUAGUUUGAUUAUUUGAAAAAAUUUUAAAAUUAUUUUUAAAAAUAUAAAAAAUCACACAUAGUUUUGAAAAAAAAUACUUAUAAUGCUUUUUAGGAAAACAUUUAAUAAAUAAUAUUUCUAAAAACACUUAUAAAUAAAACACUUUUAUUAAAAACAGAAUAAAAAUAUUACCAAAUACAUUUUUAAUUGUUACUCUAUUUUCUAAUUUCAUUUAGAUUAUAAUAACAAAUGUUUAUGCAUAAUUUUUGAAUUAAUUUUAUUAAUUUUUUUUAGAUUUCGAUUAAAUACAUUUGAUUUUAUUAAUUUAAGAUUAUUUUCAAAUAUACCCAUGAGAGUAAUAAGUGAAAAUGCCAAAGGAAAAAUGAAAUUCCAAAGGAAUGGGAUUAUAUGUAUUUACAAAAAAUUAAGAGAAAAAUAUUAUGAUGCAUGAAAACAAAAGGUAAGGGAGGAAUGAAAACAUACUUUUCUAUGCAAAACGACAAGAAGAAAAAAAAUAAAAAUAAUUGGGCAUUAAAAGUAGAUACCAAAAUCUAUUGCACAGUGUCGAUUAGGGCGCCACAACGCGCUCCCAUGGGGCGUGAGACUAAAAAAAACCCCAUGAAUCUCCAAGCCAAAAGUUCAAUCAGUGGCUUUCAGAGAUUUUGAGUGAUGACAAGCCAAAAUCACCACUUUUCAACACAGUGAAGAUGUGAAAAAUACCCUUUCUUUAAUUCUUUUCUCUCUUAUUAGAUUUUGUUUCAUUUUUAUUCUUUCAUCUUCAUGGCCACAUCACCACUGCAAGAGUACAAGUAAAUAAUGGAAACAGCUCAUCUUUACCUGUGGAUGCAAGAAUAAAUUUCUUUUUCCAAAUCCCAAUGGCCAGAAAAAAUGCCUGUCUGUGUUGUCUGUCAGAAGUUUUUUUUUGACUUGUUUUGGACUGAUGCCCUUCCGUCUUCCUCCCUUUCAUCCUCUCCGUACUCCACACAUCGCCAAGACUCCAUCAUCAAUCCCAUCUUUUUCACCUCACUUUCCUGAAGCAGUGAUAGUGUAAUGGUUGGGUUAAUGGUUUGUUGCUGUUGGAGGUGUGAACUACCAUUCCAUUUGGUCUCAGCCUCAACUACCCUGUGGCUGUAAUGUAGUGUCACUGCGAUAACAUUCUGUUUGGGUUUUGGGUUUGGGAUUUGAUCUGGUCUUCAACUAACUCAAAGCUCAAUAAUUCUCUUUGGUGUUGAGUGACAAUCAAAGGAGAGUUUCAGUGGUUGCUAUGUCUCUCUUGCUUACACUUCAGACAACUCAAGACACUUGAAGUUGCUUGAAAACACUGGAGUCGAACACAGUUCUACCAUGCCUACAAUUUUUUUCUUUGUUUUUCUGUUUUGUUUGUCAACCGAUUUACGUCCAGCUGCCGCGGCUGACUAUCACCUGCAGACGCGGCGGAUUCUUCAUCAACCCUUGUUUCCUCUCAAUUCGUUUCCCCCAACUCCGUCGCCAGCGUCUUCCCCUCAAGCACAUCCUCAGCAGCAACCUAAGUUUCCGUUCUCAUCCUCAUCUUCGAAUAAGCAGCCAUUUUUUCCCGCGUACGCAUCUCCGCCCCCGCCUCCGUCUUCGACGGCUUUGGCCACAUUUCCAGCGAAUAUUUCCUCCCUUAUUUUCCCGCAGUCGUCUUCCCGGAAGGGGGUUUCGCCGAAGCUAGUGGCUAUAGCGGUGGGGGUGUCGCUUGCCGCCGUCGCGCUCAUCGCCAUCGCUGCCGUAUUGCUCUACCACCGUCGCCAGCCUAAAAGAAAAGACCCGAGAUCCGACAGCCUCCGCCUAUACCCGGCUAACACCGCCGUCUCCGACGGCAUCCAGCACCACAAACAGCCGCGCAGCAGCAUCUCAGGCACGAGCUCCGAGUUCCUCUACCUUGGUACGCUGGUAAACUCUCGCGGCGUCGACGACGAUGCCGCAGCAAACUCCAGCAAUGCCGGAACAAAACGGAGCGCGUCGGCCUCGCCGCCGUACCAGAAGCUCAGUUCGCCGGAACUCCGCCCUCUUCCGCCGCUUCCACGGCAGAACUUCCGGCAUAGCUUCAGAAACGCCGACGUGGGCUCCUUUGGUGACGACGACGAGGACGAAGAGUUCUUUUCUCCGAGAGGGUCUUCCAGUCCAGUGGGCGCCGGAUCGAGUUCCCGAAGAACGUUCCCGAUGGUAGAAGCCGAGAAUUAUCGAAGCAGAAGCGUGGAUUCUAGAACUCCAUCGUACCCAUCUUCUAACUCAGCUUCUCCGACGAGCUCUACUUCCAAUAGCCCUUCUCCGCCAUUGAAUUCAAGUCCCGAAAUCUCAAAAUCGAAAUUGCCCGUUUCCAACAGUGCUUCCCCUCCAUUGAAUUCGAGUCCCGAAGUCUCGAAACCAAAAUCCCCCACUGCCACCAUCAACUUCCCUGCUCCUCCACCGCUGCGACCUCCCCCGCCGCUGCCACGGCGUUCAAGGACCCCCUCGCCGCCAUCAGAGACAGAAGAAUUGGGGCAAAGAAUUUCGGAUGUUUCUGGAGGAUCUCCACAAAAAUUUGAGGCUGUAUCCACUGAAAUUCCCAUUGCCAAGCCACCACCACCGCCGCCUCCACCUCCCCCACCGCGAUUUUGGGAAAUUCCGGCGGACCCAACGCCUAUUCACGAACCGAAUUUCGGGCCACCGGCUCUUGUACCGCCUUCAAGGCCAGUGGUGUUCCAAAACCCGGGACUGGAAGCCCCAUCUGAACAGCCUCAGGGCAUUGAAGCUCUUGAAAGGAAUGGCGAAACCCCGAAACCGAAGCUGAAACCCUUGCAUUGGGACAAGGUCAGAGCGAGCUCAGAUCGAGCAAUGGUGUGGGAUCAGAUGAAAUCAAGCUCUUUUCAGUAAGCCAUUUAUCUGGAUUUGGGUUUUUGUGUGUUUUAAGGUUCAAUAAUUAGCUUUUUGUCAUAGACUGAAAAAUGAUUCUCAUAUUUUAUAUGCUUGGUGUAGUCAAUUAUGGAGUCUUGUUCUGUUUGCAGAUUGAAUGAGGAAAUGAUCGAGACAUUGUUUAUGGUGAAUGCUUCAAAUUUGACUCCAAAGGAUAAUUUGCGGCGACAGAUUCUUCCAACCCCGAAUCAGGAGAAUCGGGUUCUUGAUCCAAAAAAGUCUCAGAACAUCGCAAUUUUGUUGAGGGCACUUAAUGUGACCAUUGAUGAAGUCUGUGAAGCCCUUUUGGAAGGUAACUAAUCUUUUUGUAAGCUUGUAAAAAGUAGUUCCAAUAAUGUUUAUUCUGUGCUCCGUAUUCAUCGACAAUGAAUCUUGCUUUCGGUGGAUGAGCUGCAUGCAUUAUUUCAAGUUUGUUUGUUAGCAUAUAUAUUAUUUGUGCCUUCAAGCUGGCUCACUAGGGCACGAUGAGCUGACACACACUGUAGUAUUGUUUGCCGUAAAAUGUUUGAAAACCGUCACGAGGUUCCAGACAUUACGAACUCGGGUUAAGGUUAUGAUUGGUCAUAUAUGUUUUUUCUAGAAUUUGUAUCUUUGCCUUGACUAGGUUUGACAUAUGACUUAGUCCUGGUAUUAUGAUUUCCAAGGGCAGAAGAUAGGAAAGAAGUCGAUAUGUUUUUUUAUGCUCUUUUAUUCUUCUCCUCUUGAUUGUAAGAAUUGGGAUGAGAUAAACUUGGCUAAAAAUAAGGGCAGUGCUGAUGAUUCCAUGGUGUGAUGCGAUGAAGGUGGGUGAUACCCGAAAACGCCUUCCACUGCCAUCAGCUCUCCUGUGAUCAUCAUAUGGAAUUGGGCGUCCUAAUGCCAGUUACACAGCACCCAAACAAUGGCAUUGCUUUAGAUUUGGAGCAACUGUGUUUUUUGUCAGGGUUUUGUUGUUUGGGUUUUAUGUGAUUGGGAUGGUUAGAAUUUCUACUUGUUGGCAAGAAAUUGAAAGUUUUACUUGAAUUUGCUUGACAGUAUAUUUUGCAUGUUCCAAUGCCAUUAGUAUAUGCUCUAUACCAUACUUAAUUCAGCAUUUGUGUUGAUUUUCCGGGGCUUUUACAAGUGAUAAUAAUCUCUCUCUCUCUCUCUCUCUCUCACACACACACACACACACACACACACACACACAGAGCCCUUGCUUGUUACGAGUUUUACCAAACCAUUACUAUCCCUGAAAAUUUUCCAUUUUCUACCUGCAAACAGGCAAUACAGACACACUGGGAACAGAGCUUCUUGAAAGUCUGCUAAAGAUGGCUCCAACAAAAGAGGAAGAAUGUAAACUGAAAGAAUUUAAAGAUGAGUCACCGUUCAAGUUAGGUCCUGCUGAAAGAUUUCUAAGGGCUGUGCUUGACAUACCCUUUGCAUUUAAAAGGGUUGAUGCAAUGCUUUACAUAGCCAAUUUUGAUUCAGAAGUCGAGUAUCUCAAAAGGUCUUUUGACACUCUAGAGGUAAAACUUUUCACCCCUGCAUUUCUUUUUUAUUUUUGCUUAUACUAUCUGUGCUUUUAGGAUUUUCUAUUCGUUUAAACAUCUCUUGAGCCUCUGCGCAUCACCAUUCUAUCUUCUCUGGUUCUUUUCUGCUCAUCCUUUCACCUACCUCGCAUACAGACUUAACCGUUUCUUAACUGAAUACUGGUAGUUAAUACAUUCUGCAUGCCCAAGUAACCUGAGGUGCUAUUGUUGUGCUUCUUACAAAAUAAUCCAACAUAAAAGGGAGGGAUUAAAAUUGUUUAAAUAGUUCUUGUAGGCACCAAUAUGUUGUGUGUUGGUUAUAAUUGGUGUUUAUGAACAUGAUUGAGAGAUGGAUAAAUGAUAUAAAGUGUUGAUAGCCAUUUAAAUUUUCUUCAUUCUUGCAGGCUGCUUGCGAAGAACUGAGGAACAGCAGAAUGUUCUUGAAGCUUCUUGAAGCUGUACUCAAGACUGGGAACCGAAUGAAUGUUGGGACCAACCGUGGCGAUGCACAUGCCUUCAAGCUCGACACGCUCCUCAAGCUUGUUGAUAUUAAGGGCACUGAUGGGAAAACCACCCUUCUGCAUUUUGUUGUACAGGAAAUCAUCAGGGCUGAAGGUUCUCGGCUGGCUGGUGCCAACCAGAAAACAAUGGAUGAAGUGACCCAGCAAUCUGCUUUCCGGGAUGAUGUUGAAUUUAGGAAGCUUGGCCUGCAAGUUGUUGCUGGGUUGAGUGGUGAGCUCACCAGCGUAAAGAAGGCUGCUGCCAUGGAUUCAGAUGUGCUUAGUAAUGAAGUUGCAAAACUUGCUAGAGGGAUCACAAAAAUCGGGGAAGUUGCAAGAUUAAAUGAAGAGAUAGCACUGAAAGAGAGUAGCCGGAAAUUCUGUGAGUCAAUGAAUGGGUUCUUAAAGAAGGCAGAGGAGGAGAUUAUAAAGAUUCAAGCCCAAGAGAGUGCUGCACUCACCCUUGUCAAAGAAAUAACUGAAUAUUUCCAUGGGAACUCAGCUAAGGAAGAAGCUCACCCAUUCAGAAUUUUCAUGGUGGUAAGGGAUUUUCUUUCUAUUCUUGAUCAGGUUUGCAAGGAAGUUGGGAAAAUCAACGAGCGAACCAUAGUCAGUUCAGCUCGCCAAUUUCCUAUGCCUCUAAAUCCAAGCACGCCACCAAUUUUUCCUGGGUUCAACCAGAGGCCGCAAUAUGGUUCGUCUGAUGAUGAAAGCUCAUCCUCGUCUUAGCACUUGAUGCUUUCAGGAACAGAAGCUGGUGCUGGCAACAAAGGGACUUUUUGGUAAUGUGCUUGCAUUUGCCAUUUUUUGUUUCUCUUGUACUUAUAUAUAAAUCCACGUAGAAGAUUUUGGUAUUGUUUCAUCUUACAUCUGUAAUAUACGAAGGGAGGGAAUCAGAAUUGUCAGGAAACAAUAACGAAGUAUUACUGGAAUAGUUGGAACUAUCUUGUAAAUCUCUUAGGAACUGAAUCUAAGGAUUGUUAUUCAGUAAUAGAAUCUUUUGAGUUUAUGCUCCAACUUGUCCUCUAUCUACAAAGCCUGCAACAUGUCUCUGGAAUUCAACAUUUUCCUCAGACAUGGUCUUUGUUGCAGAAGAGUGAUCUUGUUGUAAUAUUCAUUCCCAAUUAUAGAUGAGUCAUAAUAUGCAUUUUCAGUAUAAAAUAUAUAUCAGUUUCUGCUUUGUGCAUAACAAUUUGCCAGGAUUUCUAGAAGAUAGUCGUAAAGAUGUUCCAUACUGGAGCUGGAAGUUUACUUUUUCUGGGUUCUUCAAUGGAACUCUGUAGGUCUAGGCUUCUCUUCCGCUUAUCUUUUAUUAUAUGAUGACUCAGUUCCUGGUCUGAACUAGUUCUGGGUUCUCAGCAUCCAUACGUUUGAGCACCCGCCGUGCCUCCUCUUCUGUAGCAGGAACAACACUCCUAAUUUUCAAUCCAUCCUUCAUUGCCUCUGGCCGGGCAGUGAAUGUGAAGUAGAAAGUGUUUGAUACCUAUUCAAAAUUGCAGAAACAUAACAAAGGCGAAUAAGCAAACUCAGGUACUCUGGCAUUCAAGUCUCUAAUCUCUAGUCUUUGCGGUUUAAGCUUUUAGAAAAAAGUUGGUAGUUUAAGGUAACUCAAGAUCGCUAGAGUUGAAGCUCUGAUUUCUAGUCUUUGCCUUGUUUGGUUCUGUAUAUCCUAAGGUGUAAAUGCAUCCUAGAAUACACAAUGUAUAAAAACAGGAUGAAAUAAAGCUUCGAAAAACAGAAUAAUCUUAUCUCACUUUCCAUUUGACAUGCUGGGUAUGAAUAUCCUUUGUUUUAACUGUUGAUUGUAUUGUGUUCUUUCCCUGAUACUCACCUCACUUGACCUGAGCUCGGGCCUUGUAACAUGAGCUACAACUUCUACAUUGAUCAAUGGUCGAGUUGGGUUCUCGAGUUCAGUAUACAGAACACAAGACUUGAGACGAAGGAAAUUUCCAACAUCCACCUGCGCCAACAAGAAAUAGCAAACCAAUUGAAGUGUAGUUACCUUUACCUAGAAAAAUUUAGGCUCAGCUCAAGGAUUAAGCAAUCGAUACGGUUACUCCAUUUUUAGGAGAAUUUGAUACCAGUUUUAGGGUGGGUACUCACAGGCUUCAAGAAAUCAACAUGAUCAGCUUCUACGAAGAGCGGCGCAGCACCUGCGAAGGCAUAAGUUGUUGAGAAAGCCAGCUCUAAUGCUUUUCUCAUCAAAAAUCCACCAAAAAUCCGACCAUGGAUGUUCCUCUGCUGUGGCUGGCAAAUGAUGGUGUACUCGAGGCGAGUAUCCCUGAUAAGAAUGCUGUCUCUAUCAGCCAAAGCGGGCAUGUCGCAGAAGACCCGUCCUUCAGCCAGUAAUGCUUCGAGCCGGUCAGCCUCCCUAUCCUCGAGUCCCCUCAUGUUUUCUCCUCUCUUCUUUUUCCUCAUCUGAUUCCGGUCUUCUGCUUCUCUCCAGAGCAGUUUUUCUUGUUGGGUUUCUGGGGAGAUCUGGUUAAUGGGAGCUGAUUUUCCUGUCUUGGAGUCACGAGCCACAAAUGUGAAGUUUGCUGUUAAGGCUAGUGAGUCUGAGGGAUCAGAGGCCUCUGCAAAUGAAGUUUAUACCAAUCAAUCAUCAGGCAUGUGGAGAAAAUGAACAUAAAUUGACAUUUUAAAGGAUAGAUUUACCUGAGACCUCCCACUAAUCAGAGUUUUGAUUCUAUAUUGAGUAAUGAAUUCUUCUAAAAGUUUAGGAUUAUUAAGAUUUGAGCUCAUAUGCAUCCACAUUAUGUGAAAAACACUUAAAAACCCGAGAGUUACUUUUUUGAAAGCUUAAGGUAUUAAGAUUUGAGUUCAUGAUGUAUGUCACGUCCUAACAAAUAUGCAGCGUGUUAAUUAGCGUUUUGGUUUCUUAUUAAAGACGAUGUAGAAGCAACAGAACUCCCAUUCAAAUUAUUGACAUUUUGAAAGAAAAACAACUGAAGUUCAACCAAGUAUGUCAAAUUACCUGGUGUUGGUUGAAUCACCUCUAAUCUUAUCUCCAUGGAUGACCUUCCAACCCAUGUUACAGCACCAACUAUUUUCAGAUCAGUGUCAACCCGGAUGGGUUUCUUGAGCACCAUCCUGUCGACAGAAGCUGUGACCAGUAAGAAGGGCAUUGCUGCGCCCUUGUCGUUGCUGCAGUGCUGGUGCAAAGCGUACAAAUGAAUUAUGAGAUGGAAAAUUUUCCAGUCAACAAUGAACGCUUUGAGGUCGAUUCAAGUUGGGACACAAGCAUUGAAGUAAGACAAUGCUUAUACCUUCAACUCCCAUUAAUCAAAAUAUUUUCGGGUUCAUAUUUUUCUAACACAAAAUAUCUUAUCUACAUUAACCUAAUCUUAACAAAAUCGCAUUGAGUGAAGGCUCAAUUUGGCCACCAUGGCUGGAGUAAAGUGAGAGCUCCUGAAGAGAAACAACACAACCUUCUUGUAGCCUUAUAGGAGAUUGAUAUCCGCCAAAAUCAAACCCCAUCUCUCAAACCCCAGUUCAAUUCCUUCCCACAUCAAUCCUGAUUCUAUAAUUCAGGAAAUCCAGGAAGUGUAAAUUCAAUAAAGCACAAGAAAACCAAUAGAGAGAGGACCUUAAAGGAGAUUGUUCCAGCAAGAGCAUCAAGAUCUUCAAGCAACUUCCCAGACCUGAUCUCAUUCCAAGGGUUCCUGUAUUGCUCUCUGAGUAUGUAAUCAGAUGAAAAUUUAUAUAUAAUACUGGUCCGGCUCUGCGCUGGGGUUUUGGGCACUAAUUCACUCUCUGAAGCGGCAUCACUUGGAAGCUCUUGAGAUUUCUCAAAGAUGCUGGAUCUUGCUUCCCAUAAAGCAUUGGUCACAGGUGAAUGAUACAUCCCAGGCCACAAACUAAUGGGUUUUCGGAUCAAAGAACCAGCAUCGAUGGAUGGAGAGCUCUCAAAUGGGGAAGCAACAGUGGAAACAACAGGAAUUGCAUUGGGAGGAGGUGGUUCAAUGGAAGAGGGGUCUGAUCUUACAGAUGAGAAAGGCCUUCUGUGAGUGAACUGAUGAUGUGGGGUUGGUUGAUUUGGAGAAAUGGGGAAGUGGGUAUUGGAAGGAGAUAGGGUGAGGAGGUGGAAGGAAGAAAGUGUGUGGAGUGAUGGAGUGUUGAUGGAGAGGUUUGAAGUGGAGAAAAAAAUGGAGGAGGAGGUGGUGAGUCUGAAGAAGAGAUGGUGGGACAAAGGUCCUCUGAUGAUUGGUUUCAUGAUUCAACUGAAUCUUGAGUCUUGAGGGAAGAAGAUGAAAAAGCUCUGGUUUGCUACCAGCUACAAGGUCCAAUUUUACAUAUUUUGAUACAAAAUAUUAAUGACGUAAAAAAUUAAUGAAAACACUUAAAAAUAUAUAUAUAUAUAUAUAUAUAUAUAUAUAUUUAAAAUUAUAUAAAAAAUAAAAAUAAAUAUUUUAAAGCUACUUCUUUCAAAAAUAUAUAUAUAUAUAAUUUAUCUUAUUUAAUAAUAAUAAUUUCUACAUCCAUAAAAACUAUAAAUUUUAUAAACAUAUAUUCAUUAAAUUGUAUUAUAUAUCAUUUUAUAAUAAUGAUAUAUAAUACAAUGUGAUAAGGGAUUAGAGCAUUAAACAAAGAAUACAAAUAUAAAUAAAAUUUAAAAAAAAUAUUAAUUAUACCAUUAUUUUUAAUUUGAAUUAUAAUAAAUGAGAAUAUUUUUAUUUAAGCUAUUAGCAUACAAUAAAAUUUAUAGUAUUAAACAGAAGUAGAAAUAUACGAGGUGUUGAGACAUGGAUACAAAAUAAUAAAAAAGCUGUCGGUGGACGUGGCAGAAUCUAAUUGGUGGUACCUUUUGCCUUACAAGCAGGGGUUAAAUACGUCAUUUAGACUUUAACUAAGAGGGAGGUGUUGUGGCUUAAGCCUUGUAGGGUUCAAUUUGGAGAACGCAAGAGAAGGAACUUCACAUCGGUUCUUCUUCAGGUAUUUCCCGCUUAAUUUCUUGUAUACUAAUAGUCUCUAAUUCUUGCCAAAGAUCUCUUCUCUUCCGCACUGAUCUGGGGAUUUUCUUCCCUUUCCUUUUAUGUUUGUUUCGACCUUUCUUCUUCUUCUUCUUCUUCUUCUUCUUCUUUUUAAUGGUUUUGGAUGAUGCAUUCAGCUGUUUUUGUUAGUCUUAUUAAUCCAGAAUUGGGUUUUGGGUAUAAAUUUAAUCUUUUCUAUUAUUUCUACAAUUCUUGUUUAAUUUCUAGGUUCAAAUUUUUUUUUUCUGGGUCUGUAGUCUUAUGGAGUUAUUUCUUGAGAAAGAGCUGAUGUGAUUAGAGUUUGCUGAAAAGUUAGUUCAUUGUGGAUUAUCUCUAAUGGGUUCAAGUUUUUAUUUGGCAUUUGGCUUGGAUGUUUGAAACUGAUGAAGUGUUUGAACCGCUGUUAUUAUUCUUCAUACACAAUUGGGUAUUGGGCCUUUAGGGUUUAAAUUGAAUUACUUUUUUAGGGUUUAUGCAAGUAUGAAAACAUCAGAAAUUUUGAAUUUUGGAUUUUAGGGAAAUAUUGGAAAUAUCAAAUUUUGGAAAAAUAUUUGGUGGGACAGAUUUUUUUUUCUUUUUGACAAAGGAUAAAACAUUGAUAAUACAUAUAUUAAAUUAUUAUUAUUUAGAAAAAGAAGAAGAAAUGAAUGUAUGUAUGAUAUGGUGAUAUUAGAUGAUAAAAGAAAUGUAUACUAAUAUCAAUAUCAUGAAAUAAAGUUUACAUGAUCAUCCAUAAGUAUUUUGAUUUUUUUCCCCUGGCCUAUCAUGAAUAGCGAUUUCUUUUUGUUUGUUGAUUACAUGAAAUGCACGAUUUUUACAAAAAUGGGAUUGCUGAAACAUAUUGGUACUCUGUUUGUAUAUUUGUUCAUUGAUGCUUACAUUUAUCGAGUUUUAAUAUUCCAAUAAAAGUGACACAUUUUUUCGAUCAGGUAAAGGGGGUACAUAGUUUGAAAGGAAGAUAUGAGUACAGGAGGAGAGAAAGGGUCUGCAACCACAAAAACUCCAGCAGAUUUCCUCAAGUCAAUUCGUGGGCGACCUGUUGUUGUUAAGCUUAACUCUGGUGUGGAUUAUCGUGGUAAGAGUUUUUGUUCUUUCUUUUGCAUUGCUUUUAAUUGUAUGUUUCAAUAACUUUGGUAAUAGUUGGAAUUGUGAAUGAAGAUUUUUCAAGUUGGCUUGAUUUGCAUUCUAUAUUUUAUUGAAAAUUUUGAUUUCAAUCUAAUAAUUUUCUCAUACAUUAUGGAUGUGGUUGUCACAUUUCAAAUGGAGUUGGUACAUAGAACUGGGAAUGAAGAUUUUUUGAGUUGCCUUGAGUUGCAUUCUAUAUUUUAUCAAAAAUUUUGAUUUCAAUCUGACAAUUUUCUCAUACGUUAUGGAUGUGGUUGUCACAUUUCAAAUGGAGAUGGGCUUCCUGUGUACCUUAGUGUAUAGUUUCUCUGUCGUUAUCUAUAAUGUCUUUUUGCUUGCUUAUCAAAAGGAAAAAGAUUCUAAUGGAAUUGGGGCUGCUGGAUGUGGCAACCCUCCAAAAACUAGAGAAUAAAUGUGAAUUUUGUGUGUUUGUUCGUGAAAGUUCAGUGUGGACAUCAUAUAAAAUGUAGAAUGAAAUAUUUGAUAUGAUACGUUUUAUACGUAAAUGAUUCAUUUCAAUGAUCUGGAUCACAUAUCAACUAUGUCGGUUGUGAUGGGUGAAUAAUAGAAUGAGCCCCAAAAGUGGGGGCAGCCCAUAUGCAACAACCAUGAAAUAUCUGAAGGAUGGUCUUUCAUUUUGUACCGACCCAGCUGGCUACUGUAACAAAGAAUUCAUAAAAUAUUUUUAAGCUGCUAUUCUUUUCUGUUGAAACUGUCUCAAGACGGUAUCUUACAAUAACAAUAUAACACAUACUUUGAUUCUUUUAAUGGUAGCUGUUGGAAUCUUAAGAAAAUUUAAUUCAACUUUUGGUUAAAAAUAUUGUUGUAUUGUUGAUUGAAUGUAAUUUGGUGGGAAACGAAGAUUCUAAAAAUGACCUUUUGUUUUCCUUUGAGGCCCCAUAAGAAAAAUCUUCUCUCUGGUACUUAGGACUAGUGACAUGUUAUGUGUUUUAGAGCUUUUGUACCAUUUUUUACAAAAUUCAUAAUAUCCUUUGCUUAAGUAUCUUCAAACCCAAUUUUUCUUCUUCUUGUUUUUGUGCCUUAAGAGGAGGAUUUGCCUUAUUUUUCUGUGAGGCUUAGUGACUCUUUAUGUUUUCGCACCCAUAUUGCUAUGAUCCAUGUAAUAAAUUAGUUGUGAAGAUUUAGUGUCUCUUUGUGGUUUCUACAUCCAUAUUGUUAUGGUUCAUGGAAGAAAUUAGUUAUAAUGGAACGUGCUUAAGGUUCUUUUUCAUGUUUGGUUGGAUAGGGGAAUUUUUAGUAUCCAUAUUCUGUAAAAGGCAUGCUUAAAGCACGCCUAGGCUUAAGGCUCAACUACUCCCUAAUUAUAUAGCACCUUGUUGGAGAAGUGUGCCUCGUCUACAUCAUUUUUUCUUUCUUAACGCUUCAUAGUCAUAGAGAAAAUUUUCACAUAAUCCUAGUUAGUUUGCAUAAUAUAUGGUGGUAUCAAGGUUUUAGAUGGGAUAUUUUUGUCUUUUGUUUUAAGGGGCCUUCUCAUUUUUCUCCCCUUAAUUGGAUGGCUCUGCAUGAGCUGUUGGAGUCCUGUUAUUUAUUUAUUUUGAUAGGCAAAUUUAGUGUUGUAUUAAUAAAGCGCCUAUCAAAAAAGGGGUGCUGCCUACAUACAUAGGAAGUAUACAGAAAUGUUGAAGUUCUUUUAUAUUGCUUCAUCAUGCUCCUUUUGGUGCUCCUUGUAUACGUCCUAUGUAUUCUUAUGUGCCUUUUUCUAUUACUAUUAUAGACAUAUCUAUCUUAGCCUAUCAAAAAAAAAAAAAAAACAGCUUCAUCAUGCUGUUUUUUUUGUUUUUUUUUUCUGUUGCUAAAUAUCUUCUCCAAGUUGGUGUAAUUGCUAAUUUAGUAGUAUCUAGUUUCUAGUUUCCAAUCCAAAAAAAAAAAACAAAAGGAUUAAGGCUUGUUUGGGAACUAUUCUUGAAAACAUAAAGAACAUAAAUGAUUUUCUAACUUAAAAAAAUACAUUUGCCAAUAUUUGUCCGAGAACAAUUUUUGAAAAUUUGGUCUUGAAAAUAUAAGGAAUAUUUUGAAAACUUUUGUUUUGUAUAUUAGUGCACAGUACCUUCACGAAGAAUAAGUUGAGAAAAACAAUUUUUCAUAUUUGAAUUUUUAAAGAGAAGCUUGUUUUUGAAAACAAUUGAAAUUUUUUUUCAAAAGUUAUUUUUUUUGAGAAUUGUACUUGAAAAUAUUGUAAAACAUGCUCUUACUUUCUAUUUUGAAAGGGUCCUCUCUUAGGAAAUAGUAUUGAUAAUUCUAAUUGGGGUCAAACAUUUUGUGCACCAUUUUUAUGAAUUCUCAUAUAAGAUAUGAGUUUCUUUCAGAAGCUCAUUUUCCCAUCACAUUAACCACUUGGUUUGUGCAGCUGAUAAAUCUCCUCUAAAGGGAAGUAUAAUUGAUUGCCUUGAUAUAAAUUACUCAAUAAUGUGUUGCCCAAAUGUUGAUUAAUUAUUGGUUUGUAAUUUUCUUGUUGCUGUUGUAAUGUAUAGGAUAUGAUUUUAUAAUUUCCUCAUAGCAUGAAAAUUUGGAAAUGUUGAAUUGUUGCAAUUAUUAACUGUAUAUGUUGAUUCCCCUCAUAGUCUCAUAUAAAGCACACGAAUGAUGAGCCAUUUUUAUUUAAUUAACAAUUAUAGUGAUAAAGGAAAGGGUUCUACAAGAGUUCUACUAGUAUGUGUAGUAUAAUAUUAUAUCUAUGUGUGUAUAUAUAUUUUUUGAUAGACAAAUCAUAAGCCAAAGGAACAACACACCAAAGUAUAUAGGGCCUAUACAAUAGGUGCCAAAAAGGCACAUUCAAAAAGAGGGGAGACAGAAAAACAACUUCCCUCCUUUAGCGAGAGACAACCAAUCAACAAAAUCAAUCAAGGGUAUCUUCUAGCUUAUCUUCAGUCAUAUCUUUUUUCCUAGCCUUAUCAAGCCAAUCAACUUCAGUUCUCUUCUCUCCUGCUAAUUUCAUUUGGAAAUCAAAAUCCUCAUCAAAGGUUAAGACCUUUCCUUGGUUAAUGGCCAACAAGAAGGUUAAUACCAAUGACAUGCUCUAAAUGAGAAGACCUUUUAAAACCCUUGGUCCAGAUUGUUGCACUCUAUGUAUGGGUGGUAAAGAAGUGAUGUGUCACUUUUUAUCACUGUUUGGUGACUAUGGAGUUAUGAAAUAAGCUUUUUAGAUUGAUCAACUUGGUUUGGGUUCCUUUUAGAAGUGAAUGUGACAUGUUGACCAUUUCUUUUAGGGGGUUAGGGAGCACAAAUAAGGGCAACAUCCUAUGGAAAAUCACUUGUCAUAUUUUGAUUUGGAUAGUAUGGUGGAAAAGAAAAGCAAGGAUUUUUAAGGAUGAGUGGAGGAUAAUUGAAACUUUAUGGGACCUCAUCUAUUUCUUCUUUUUUUAGGCAUCUACUACUAUAACUAUCAAGGGAAUUUCUCUCAACUUUAUUCAACUUGAUUGGAUUUUGAUACAUAUUUUAGAAGUGUCAAAAUAGUAAUGUUGAGACAUUUUGAUGUCUUUUGGUUCUUUUUUCUUUUUUCUUUUCCUUUGUAUUUAUCCAGGUUUGUAAUUAGGGAAGGAUUUCUCAUCCUUCUCAGUUUUACUUUGUCAAUGAAAAUACUUUUGCUUCUGAUAAUAUAUAUAAUCUAUAUCCAUGUACAGCUUCACUUACAAAAAUAAUAACUAAGAAAAGAACUUUUUAGGGCAUGAUCUAGUUGCUCCUCAUUAUUCAAUGACCUUCAAUCCCUUUGUUUUGACAUAGUACAAAAAAUGCAUGAGGAAACCACUCUCCAAACUUUCUUAAGUCUUUUGCUCCAUACCACCCUAAAUGAGUCUCUUUGAUCGUCGGAGAUUGCACCCAAGAAACACCAACCGGUGAAAAGCAACUGCUAAAUGACCCUUGUCUUGGUGGAAUGAAAAGUAUGUGAAUCAUGUGAUCAAUGGAUUCUGUGUGUGCUUAUAUAUUUCUUUACCUAUAAAAGGAAAAAAAAAAAAAAAAGAGUAAAAGAAAAAGAGAAAGUGUUAUAUUAUAAAAAUCUGUAUUGAUAUCUAGCCAGAUCCUUGUCAUGUCUGUCUCUUGCCAUAUCAGUAAUUGUCCUGUUGGUGUAUUGAUGUUGUAUGAACACAGAGCACCAUGUCUUGUGUUUUGUAUUCAUGCUAGUAUAGACUCUCUCUUUAAAAAGUAGUCUAUCUCUCUUUAGAAAAAUCUUUAUAAGCCUGAUUCCUAAAAUUUUGCAAUCGAAAUGUAGGGUGUUCCUUGAAAUUUGUUUUAUUGAGUGAUGAGGACAUAACAGCAAGGUUGGAGUGCUACCCUAAAAGUUGUUCAAUGUAACUGGUCUAGGGACCUCAGGUUUUGGAGAAUUUGGCGAUUUUUUAAAUUUAGGCAAACAUGGUUUUCAGUGUAAAAUCAGGGUAUGACAAAGGGAGAAUAUUCCUAUAGCACUUAGAAGUGCAGGAGGAUUAUGGAGUAUUCCUGAUGAAGAUGGUAAUCAUCAAUGUUGCUUGGACUUGGAUAUGGGUACAUAUUUUAAGAGUUAGAUCCUUAAAAAUAUGAAAUUUAGGAUACAAGGAAAUAGAUAAAAUAAGAUCCAAAAUUUAGGUACGGAUACAAGGAAAUGACAAGAUUUAAAAAGAACCCUAUUAGAAAUCAAUUUAAAAAAGUUAUAUUCGAUAAAACCUUUUAUGUUUUUUUUUUUCCUUUUAUCAGCUAUGUAGCUUGACACUUAAAUGCUGGGUGAAGUUGGAGAGUCCAGGUAUGGCUGUGUGAAAAUGGUUGUACUUCCACUACUAAUCAUUAACUGAGGAAUCUAGUCUACCUACUACAUGUAGCUAAAUGUGCACUAUGUUUACAAUUUUGGUGUCUUUCGGGAAAAGAAAGUUCGUUGUAGCUUUGCUUUGACCCACAAAACCCUUGUUUCAUAAUGGUAUAUAAUAUACUGGCUAAGCUAGUUUCAUUCUUCUUAUACAGGUAUUCUAGCUUGUCUUGACGGAUAUAUGAACAUAGCAAUGGAGCAAACAGAAGAGUACGUCAAUGGGCAGCUAAAAAACAAAUAUGGCGAUGCUUUUAUCCGUGGAAAUAAUGGUAAAUAUCAAAUGACACCUCUAUUUAUUCGAUAUUCUACUUAACAAUGAAAAUGGACUGACAUUGACAGGUUUAAUUCUUUUCCUUUGAUGCAGUUCUGUACAUUAGUACAUCCAAGAGGACCCUGGCUGAGGGCGCUUAGCUUUCAAUUCUUCCCAGAAACAAGAUCAUCUGCUAUCAUGCUAUUUAUGAGUAUAACUUCAUGUAGAUUAAGAGGGGUUUAGCCUCUGAGUACUGGGUUAAUACAAUUUCAAUCUAUCCGAGAACUGAGUCAUGUAAUGAGCCAUUAAAACGAGUACUUGAUUUGAAGAUUAAUGCAUUAAUUUUUAACUGGAACCGUUAUUAUGAUAUUGUUAGUGAAGUGGACGAAAUUAGCGCUUGAGCAGCACUGUCGAGUACCCUUCUACUCGGGUGCCCAUGUGCGUGACAAAAUGAGAAUCCAUGUGCUCGAUGAAAAGGAUCUCUUUUGCCUAUAAUGUUAGACAAAGCCCCUCCUAGAAUAAGACACACGGUGCGAAAAACCAGUAUAUAAAAAAAGAAGCUUCCAAAACUGAGUUUUCAGUUUUUGGGCACCAACGGUGAGCAUGUUAGUAAGGAGCCCAACAGCUCAAAGUUGCCACUAUUCAGCUGCCUCUAUCCAAAGAAAAAGGUCUUUAUUUGAUUCUUUAUUUUUGUUACAAUAUCCAUUUUCUAAUAGGAGCCGGUGCAGCGAUACAGGCAGAUUGUUAUGAACGUAAUGAAGUGAAUUGAGGGUGUCAUAGUAAACCUGAGCUGCGAGCUGGGAAUGGCCCCAGUGAAUUCUUCACUGCUAUCACUUUGCUAACCAAUAGUUUCCAUUUUGUCUCGUCUUUCUUACUCUGUUGCUGCAUCUUUUCCUUGAAAUGCCUACAAUUUGAGACACAGUUUAUAAUGUUAGGAUGGUAAUGAGACAUUUUUUUUUUUGGAUACUCAUAAUGUUAAAAAUUACUUUUUAUAAAAAUGAACAAUAAAAGUUUAUAACAUUUAUUUAUUUAUACAUUAUAUUCAUUGUAACAUAGUUAAAAAUAAAAUAAAAUAAAAAAUAUGUUAAAAUUUUUUUGGGAAGAGGAUAAGAAUGUGUAAAUAAUCGGAAUUCAAUAUGAUGGCGCUAAUCUGUAGCUUACCUACAGAGAGGGACCUUGCAACAAUCAGGUUCACUGCACAUCCGGGAGUGCAGUUCAAGAAGCUGCCACAUGCGCUUGCAGUGAACACAUCCGCCGGGGACUCGGGUCUUGCAGCUGGAGAAAUGGCGGACUAAAGUCUCAAGCCCUUUGCAGGCUGGGAAGCCACAAGCAACCUGGCUUCCUUUCAGUACCUUGUCACGAGGCCCAAUCGUCCUGCAUCCGUCUCUGCAUAUGUGAAGGAGGGCCUCCAUGGCCUCGUGCAGUUGCAAGUACACCUUUUUCUCUUCUAUCUUCUUCAAUCUCUCCUCUUUCCUCUGAAAUGAAGAGCUGAUAUUAUCAUACUAAGACCCCAGUUUCAAAAUUUUGAACCAAUUCCAAAUAAAGAAGAGGAACCGCCUUACGGAAUCAGCUUCAACAACUGCCUCCAGCAGCUCUUGUUCAAGUGCAGGAUCUACACGCUUCAUUACUUUCCAUCCUUGGGUUGAAGAUAUAGUUUUGAAAUCCUUCACAAUCAUGCGGGUGCAGAUGAGGGAAAGACGGGGUGCAUCACACUUCCUAGCUAACUGAAGCACAUCUAUGAGGUUUUCAGGUGUCAUCCAUCCUUGCUCCAGAUGGUGUGCACAAAGCCUUUUCAGAGAUGGAACUGAAUAGGAGUGUGAUAAAACCAACAAGUGGAGAACAAAUUUCUUCAUUUCUUCCUCUUCAAAGCUGCAUCACAGCAUCAAAAGGAUACAAAUUUUAGGACUCUAAUACUAGGAUGGAUAAACAGAAAACUGACUAGGAACCUGGGAACAAUGACACACAAGGCUACAUCAGUACAGGAAGAUAAAAUCAAUCCUCUUUUCAGCAGGAUAUGGUUUUCUUAUAACAGGAUAGAGUUUGACCCUGUUUAUGUUAAGGUUAAGACCUCCUCGGAAAUUGUUCUUGAAAAAAAAUUUCCAACUCAGAAAACACGUUCAGCGAACUUUUGAUUUUGUGACAACUUAUUCUAAAAAUAUGUUUGUUUUUUAGAACAAAUUUUAAGUGUUUUUAGUUGUUUUUUUGUAGAGUGUUCUAACCAACAAUUAAAAAUAUGAAGAAUUUUUUGAAAACUUUUGCACUGUUCAUAAAUAUGUAAUGCCUUCAUGGAGAAACAGAUGAAAAAACUGUUUUUCAUGUUUGAUUUCCCAAACAGAAUUUUAUUCCAAAAAACAAUUAAGAACUAUUUUUGAAAACAUUCCCAAACUGGUCCUAAGCUUACAAGUAUUUCUAGUAUUAUCUAACUCUAAAGGGUCAUAUCAAUAUAAAAAUGGCAUGUUGCAUGUGAAGCCUCCAACACUCUUUUAACAGUUUUUCCCCAAGGUUUCCAAGAUCUAGCUGAUUGAAAGAACAAUCUGUAUGUACUGUGUCUGGAUGGGAUUACCUUGAAGUUUAUUGCCAUCAUUAAAUCAUAUAUGUGCUUCAAAACAAUCAAAGUAAUGAUCUAAUUUGCCACUGGGCCAUACUCACCUCACUAAGCAAUUUAAGAGGGUUGAAUAUAUGGAAAAAGAGACUUCCAACAUACCUGGAUGAGUAAAGGAACCGAAUAAAAGCAUAUGCAGCUUCACAAGGUACCCCAGGAAUCUUAAUGUAUCUUAUUCCCUUCUUAACUUUUGAUAGCUGUAGAAAAUUCCCCAGUACUGGUGAUGCUACACCCUACAUAAAUGAAAGUUAUAGCUGAUAAUCUUUUCAGAACCACAAAUUUCAUUGUUGUUUAACUUCAAAGACAACAAUUCCAAAUAGAUUUGUUAAAAAGCAAUGGGAUUUUCAUGUUGUCAUGUUAUGAUUUCAUCAGUCUUUGUUUAAAAAUUUGUUUUAAUACAUAAACCUGUAAAAGCAUGCAACCAUUUAGUUUGUCCUACCAGGUAGUUUAAAACGAAGAUUUAAAACAAUAUAGAAGCUGCAUCCUAUAAUCAACAUAGUCAACUCAAAUUAGACAAAAAGCUUAUAACCGAAACUUUGAUUUACCCACCAGAACACAAGAAUGAGCUGGAAUAAUAGGGCCAUCUUCUGUGAUAAUAUGAAUAUCUGCUCCAUAUCCGUCCUUAAAGAGCUUGUCCCAUGUAUCUUUUGUUUCUCUUGGGACAGAACUACAGUUCGCAAGCCUUUUGGGAUAACUUGUUUUCGUAUAGGUUUUACCAGGGAGUGGAGGUGGUUUGGGGAUGUUACUGUUAUUGCACACAGACGAGUUGGAAACUUCCAGCACUGGUAAAAAAUUGGCUGGACUUGUUUCUUCUAUGGCUAUAUUGAAUGAUCCACUGAAGGAUUCACCAGUUGAGCAUGGUAAGGAAGAAACAAGAUCUGGUGAAGCCAUCAACUGUAGCUAUUGAUGUCAAUUUGAAAUAAAUUAUUGCUGAACUGCACAGAAAAGAAAAAGAAAGUUAAAAGUUAAUAAUCAAUAUAAAGAAAAUAUUGGGCAUUAGUAAUCUGCUGUGCAUGUGCCAGAAACUAGAUAUAUAGAUAAUCUGAUACAGGUAUCUCAUGGUUGCAUCAAAAACUAAAACCUCCUUUCCCAAGGUACUUUGGACAAAUAACAGAGAAUCAGACAAGAAAACUUAAUGUUUUCAAACAGGAAAAGAAUCUGAAGAAUAAUCCUUCUCAAUAACCCAUAGACCUAGCCACUCAUGUUGGGUCAGAGGAAAAAUUCCUUACUUUUCUUUCUGUUUGGUUCUUGGAAGAUAUGACGGAAUCAGAAACAGAAGUUCUACAAGUAUUUCAUAAAGGAAGUCAUUUACUCCUUUUUAAUCACGUCUUCCCCACUUGUUUCCUUAAAAGAACUAAAUGGAUUCUUACGGGUAUAAAAUUUCUUCCAUGUCCAAUGGAAUCAAUUUUCACAACCUCAAACAUUCUACAAGGAAUAUGCAAGAGGCCCUAGACCCGUCAUAUCAUAAAAGAGAUCCACAAAGAUAACAAAUGGAUUGAUAGAUCACGCGGCCGUGCACAUAACUUUAUAUGUCAAUGGAUGGAUAUACCAUGUGUUUACAUUACAGAAUUUUUCUUUACUAGAUUCAGUUUGAUAUUAAAAAAGACCUGGUCUUUAAAUUACAAUUAAGAAAUAGCAUAACAAACAGAUCAUAGGCCAAAAGUGAAUAAAAGGACAGAAUCUAGACUAAACCCAUUCUUAAAUGUGCCAUCUCCAUUAAACAAACAAAGGAUCAACUUUUUUAAAUAUGUUCAAAGCACUGAAGCACAAUGAAAGCCUGACGGUACUUUCCAAAUACUCCAACUUUUCAGUAAAAAAUGAAAAAGAAAAUAGAAAGAAUAGCAAGCUUUUCAUAUAAGAUGGCAAAUACUGAUGCCAUCCCAUAUUCACAUUACUGGAAAAGAGCACAGUAGUUAAUUAAAUAUAAAAAAUAAACAGAUUUUUUUCCCCAUUUAUUAAAAAUAAAAAUAAAAAACAAACUAACAAACAUAUUCGGAUCCAUGCAAAUACCAAUGCAUUUUGCAGGUAUUACCCAAAACUGAUUACAAUUCUGUUUGGUUGCUGAGAAAACAUAGGAAAAUAACCAAAUCUAAAGAGUGUCCGAAAUUGAAUUCGAUAUAUCAUUCCAAGUUUUCUUUUCUCUUUUACUACACUUUUUCGAAAAGCAAAUGACUAAUACGCAACAUAUACACAAAGGAAAUAUAGAUACCUUUGAAUGAAGCUGCAAAUCUCCCCAAAAAAUUCGAGAUUUGCCCGAUCUUCCACAGAUUGCAAAGGCAGAUAUACACCAACCGAGCUAAACAACCUGAAACAAAAAAGUUUAAUUAAAUAAAACAUAAAUAAAAUAUCACACGGUUUAGGCCAGUAAUUUCAAAGAAAUCACUACUCCAAUAAAAUCCUAAAAAACAAAAAAAAGAACUCUGAUCAACAUUGAAUCAGAUUGAAUUGAACAUCAACUCAUGAAAAACCUUUUCUACCAAAAAAAAAAAAAAAGAGAGAGAGAGAGAGAAAGAAAGUUUCAGACGCAAAGUGGGAAAAAAAUCCCAAUAUUUUUUUUUUUUAAUUUUUUUUAUUCGUUUUCCUCUGAACCAAACGGAGGCAAAACAAAAUAAAUUCCUACCAAUCACCGUCAAAACUCAACACUGAAAUCACAUUGAAGUAAACAUCCUAAACUCACGAAAAACGUUUUCCAAUAAAAGAAAAAAGACCACAAAUUUCAGACGCAAAGUUGAAUAACAUCUUUUCCGAGAAAACAUUUUUCACGGCCAAACAAAAUCAAACUCCGAUCAAUCACCUUCAAAACUAACACUGAAAUCGCAUUAACGCAGACAUCCUAGACUCACGAAAAGCGUUUUCCAGAAAGAAAAAAAAAGUCCAUAAUUUACAGAGUCUAAGUAGAAAAACCUAUAUAUAGCCUUUUUCCCGGGAAAAUUUUUCACUUUCCACCGAAACAAACGGAAGCAAAACAGAAGCGGAGCUCGCAUGGAUCGCCGAACCGAAUCGAACACUGUAAAAGCAGGAGAGAGAGAGAGAGAUGAGACGACUAGAGUUACCUCGACCAGAGCCGUUGAUUCGCACAACAAGAUCAUCAGAAUGGUAUAAAUUCAGGUGAUAUCCGUACAAGCACUUUCUAGAGGGAGGAGAAAUAAGAGAGAGAAGUAAAGCGCGACUCUGAAAUUUAUAGAGACUCUGAACUCCCAAACUCAACGUCUCAUCUCUUGUUUAUUGUAUCGCGAUAAAUUGAAAUGACCGCAACUCAUCCCAGGGCAUGUUUGGAUUAAACUUUUUUAUGGAUUAAUUAUCCAUAAAAUUGCUUCUAAUUUUAAAAAGCCUUAUACAAAAAUGAGAAUAAAAUUAUUUUAUUUUUAUGAAAAUUUGUUUAAUUUUUCCAUUUGAAAUCAUAAUUCAAUUUUAGCUUUAACUUAUACAAAAAAUUAUUGUUGUGGUAUUUUGUGUUUGAAUUAUAUUUUGAAAAUAUUUUAUAAAAAAUAAAAAUAAUUUUGAUAAUUUAAAAAGAAUUACUCGAUUAAAAAUGAUGAAAUAAUUCUGAAUUUAUAAAUCCAACCCUUCCCAUUCUUUUAUUUGAAAAAUAAUUUAUUUAUUUUACAUAAAUGUUAUUUAUUAUUUCAAGCAUUUACAUGUAAAUUUUUUUUUUUUAAAAAAAAAACUAUUUUCUUUUUUAAAAAAUAACGAGAAUAUUUUUUUUUAUCUAAAUGAUGUCAAAAAAAAUAAUGAGUGGUUAAGUUUUUAAAAUUAGGUUUUUAAUGACUUUUUAAAAAAUAUAAUUAAAUAAAAAAUUAUUUCUUGAACACAUUUGAAAUACGAGCAAAUAUAUCUGAAAAUUGUGUUUGAUUUUUAAAAGCUUUUCCAAGCCUUAAAAAUAUAGGGAAAAAACAGAUAUAUGAAAAGAUUCAUUUUUUUUUUAUAUUAUUUGGUAAUGGGUUUAUUUAUUUAUUUUAACAGAUUUAAAUAUUUAAUUUUCAUUCUAAUCUAUUUUUUAAGUAUAAAAAAAGAAAAAUAUAUACUAAUAAAAAUAAUAUCCAACAAUUAAUUUGGAAAAUUUAGUACUAGAAAUUUUCGUAUCUAUAAUUAAAUGCCACAUUUUUGUGCUAUAUUUAAUGUCGUACUCUAAACACUGCUUCGAAGAGUUGACUAAUAUCAUAUAUGAAAGAAUCUGCUAUAUUUAAUGGCUCAAUCCAAAAGGUAUGAAUUUUUUUUUUCAAAAUAAAUUAUAUUUUGUGCAUUUCCGGAAAUAAUAUUAGCACUUAAUUAUUGUUUUUUAAAUUAAAUAUUUUAAUAAUUUUUUAUUGAUUAAUAAUAUUAUGAAAAGAUUCAAAAUUAAUUUAAAUAUGAUUAUUAUGAUCAUUUAUUUGAAAUAACUUCUUAUUUUUAAUAUUAAUUGGCAAGAAUGGUAGUCAAAUCAUUGGCUAUGUUUUUCUUUAAUUUUUAAAAAUUGGUAAAAAAAACCCUUACUUGUUAUCUAAAAAUUGUUAUUUAUUCCACUUUAUUUUUAAAAAUUGUUUAUGGAAAACACUAAUAAAACAGUGUUAAGAAUUUUUACAAACAAUUUUUUAUUUUUAAGGUAGAAAACCAAAACCGUUUCAAAAUCAUACAAAAAUUAUUAUUUUUUUACUUACAUAAUAACAAUCAAUUAAUCAAGUCGAACAUAUCUUAACAUUUACCAAUUAAUCUUUACCGUUAUAUUUUCUUUUUAAAAAUUUUGGGGGAAAAAGAAGAGAAAAAUAUAAAGUUUACAAAUUUUUUCUCUUGUUUGGUUUAUGAAAAAAUUGAAAGGAAGAAAAUUAAAUAAUUGAGAAGAAAUUUUUUUUCUUUUCUUUUCUUACUUUUGUGCAGGGAAGACGAGGAAGAAAAUAUUUUAAUAUCUUUCUAUUUUUUCUUAAUAUUUUUUAAAUAUGUUUUCAUGACACCUAAACAUUAAAAAAAAUUAUAAAAUUAUUUUUUUUCUUAUUUAGUUUACCAUGAAAAAAAAUUAAAAUUAGUAAGAAACUUAUAUAUUUUAAAAUUAUUUAAUCUUUGUAUAAAAGAAGAAAAAUAAGUUAAAUGAAUAUUAAAAAGUGUGUAACGCCCAAGUUUUCUUUUUAAAGGGUAAUUUAGGAAAUUCUUAAUAAUGAUAUUAAAUUAAUUUAGGAUUGACAAACCUGUAAUUUUAGAUAAAUAGUAAUGAUUAUUUCUCUUAUAUUUGUUAGGUGAAGAGUAGAUUUUCAGGAUUAUUUUUCUCCAAAGUUUUUGAGGACUUCUUUUAAGGUAAGGGAAGUUAAUGCAAUAUUUAUAAAAUUAAAUUAUUUUAUAUGUUAUUUUGAAUUGUGGAAAAGAAAAUGAUAUUUUGUUACCAUGCAUGGAUCAAACUGUUUUGCACUAAAUAUUAUGUUGGAAUAUUUUGUUUUAUUUAUGACACAAAAUAUGGAAAUAUUAUGUUGUGUAAAUUUGAAUAUUUGAACAAAAACAUCACUCUGGUUUAUUUGGCCCUUGUCAACGGGAUAUAAUAGUUGACUAUUUGGCCCUGUCAACGGGAUAUAAUAGUCGACCUUUACAUUUCAUGGUGGGAAUGUAAUUGAUUUGGACCCCAACCUCAGGGGUUUGGUUAGAGGUUACUAGUACUAGUAGUGUUUGGUUCCGUCCACUAGGAAUAAUUUGAGGCUAGCCACCCAUUUGAAAAGUCCCACCUAACUGGACAUUUGAUAUUUGAUAACCAGAGUAAUGAAACUUAAAUGGAUUUGAUUGAAUUUUAUGUGAAAGUAUUUGAAUUUGAUAUGAAAAUGGUUGGUUGAAAUUUGAAUGUAUUGGUAUUUUUAAAACUUUGAUAUUUGAUGAGAAAAAAAAAUGAUAUCUCCUAUUUGAAAUGAAAAUAUUUGAUCCAUGAAUUGCAUUAAUAUUCUUUAUUGGGCUGUGAGCUCAUUCCCAAUUGUUGAAAAUUUUUCAGGUACUCUUAGUUCAGGUGAGGAGUGAUGGCUAGGCUGAGGAAUGGUCAUCAUUAGGAUUUGACUUAGGAUUUUAUGUUGGAUUUUGUUUAACUGUUAGUUAUGUUUAUUUGGAUCCUUUGGUAUUUGGAAGUUAUUUGGAUGUUGAUCUUUCAAAUUUUAUGUUAGAUCAAAGUUGAGUUUUGGAGAUUUUGAAAUUUGUUCUAGUACUUGAAUUGUUUAAGUUUGCAAAUAUUCGGACAAUGGAUUUUGGAUAGUAGAUGUUUUAGUUUGGAAAUUGAAUUUUAAGGAUUUUAGAUUUUGUUCCGCUACUCUUAAUAGGUAUUUGGUAAUUGGUAACAUCUAGUUACAAUAUAAUUGUUUGGGUCAGAUUAUACUUUAAGCCUUCGGGUUUGAGGUGUGAAAUGACCGUCACGCCCUUGGAGUGGGUCUUGGGGCAUGACAAAGUGUGUAAAAAUAAUUUAUUAACUUUAAAUGUAUUUUUCAUUUUUUUCUUAUAUUUUUACUUUGUAUUUUUUUCUACUAUUUUCCUUCAAGUUUUAUAACAACUAAACAAAGGGUUGGCAUUUUCUCUCCUUUUUACCUUAUGCUAUAUGUCUAGAUUAAGGAAGAAAAAAAUUGUUAAGGAAAAUAAUUUUCCCAAAGUUGGUUUAUAAUACAAAAUAUAUAAGAAAAUACAAUAUAUUUUAAAUUAGUUAAAAAUUUAUACAUUUUUAGAUAGAAGAAUAAAAAUACAUGAAAUGGGAUUGAAGAAGUAAGUAAAAAUAAUUUAUUAACUUUGACUUUUUUUAGGUCAUGUUUGGUUCUCAAAAAAUAUCAUAAAAGGAAAAAAAAAUUUUAAAAAAAUGAUUUUCUCGUAUUUGAUUUCUAAAAAAUAUAAAAGAAAAUCAAAUAUAAUUAAAAUUAAUUUAAAAUUUAUAUAUUUUUAAAUUAUUUAAUCUUGUUAUAAUAGAAAUAAACAAGUAAAAUGAGUUUGAAGAAACAUAUAAAAAUAAUUUAUUAAAUUUAAAAAAAAAAUUCUUCACUUUUAUUUAUUUAUUUAUUUUUUCUUUCACAUUUUCCCUCAACUUUUCCAAGAACCAAACAUAGAGUUAAUUUUUUUUUUUUGGUUUCUUCAAAUUUUCAAGAACCAAAGCAUUUUCUCCCUUUUUAUGCCAUGCUUGGUUUCAGUGAAGUAUUAAAUAAAAAAAUAUAUACGAAGAAAACUUAUUUUAUUUUAUUUGGUUUACCUUAAAAGUUAAGAAAGAAAAUAAAUAUAAUUAAAAUUAGUUAGAAACCUUUGUAUUUUUAAAUUAUUUAAUUUUUAUACAAAUGAGAACAAUAAGCUAAACAAGUUUGAAGAAGGAAGUAAUAAUAAUUUAUUAAUUUUAAAUAUAUUUUUUUUUACAUUUUUCAAGAACCAAAUAUAAAAUUAGUGUUUUUUCAUGAUAUUAGAACAUAAGAAAAUCAUUUCUCUUUUUUUUUUUUAAUUAUUUUUUAGAAAUUAAGAGUGUGUUUGGUAGCGAUUCUAAUAAAUGUUUUUAACUUUUUUAACACUUUAAUGAUAAAAAUUUUCAAGCAUUAAAAAUAUUAGAAAUGUUUUCUAGAACUACUAUCAAACAGGUUUUAAUUAUGACCUAGACGUUUUUCAUAACAAAAAAAAAAUCAUAAUUGAUGAAGAGUCCGUCUGAUAGUGAUUCUAAGAAGCGUUUUAUAACAUUUCUAAUAUUUAAAAUAUAAAAAAAAUUUAUAUAUUAGAAAUACUAAAAACCUUCUUAAAACCAUUACCAAACACACUAAAAAAAAUAUUAGGCAAUAUAUAUGAAGCAAAAUAUUUAAGCAUUCAAUUAAAAAAUAAUAGUGAUAGCUUCACGAGGAAAUAACACACAUUCCAAUUCAAGGAGUUGUUUGAGUGUACAUAGUCCAUGAUUAUAGUUUUACUCUUAAUCAUAGUUUUGACGAAUUAUUUGAUAGCAAUGUGUAACCCCUUUCAAGCUACGUGAAGAAAGAAAGUGACUCAGGUCUAUGUUUGGUUACUAAGAGAAAAAAUAAAUAAAUAAAGAGGAAAAUGAGUAGAAAAGAAAAAGUAAAAGAAAAUAAAAAAUAUAUUUAAAAUCAAUAAAUUAUUUAUAUAUGUUACUUUAAAUUUAUUUUAAUUUAUUAUACGAAGAUUAAAAAAUGUAUAUUUUUACUACUUUUAAUUAUAUUUUAUUUUCUUUAAUAUUUUUCAUAGUACAAUCGAUAUAUAAGAUUAAAAAAUUAUCAUUUUUUUCUUUAAAAUUUUCUUGAAACCAAACAUAAUCCAAAUAUUUGAUAUGAACUUUACCCUUUAUUAUAACGUGAAAAAAAAAUGAAGGGAUAGAAAUUGAGAUUUUGAAAAAUAAUAUUGUUGAAAAUAGUUUUAAAAACCCCAUAGAAAAAACAACUCUUACUUAAAAGAUAUUCAUUUUUUUAACUUUUUGUUGAAAAUAAUUUGCUUACGGAUUUUAAAUUGUUUGUUUUUCCAUUUUUUUCCGUAACUUAUUAUAAGGUUUUGAAUGAAUAGAAAAAACAAAAAUAACAUGUUGAUUUUUUCUUUAUUUUUUAAUAUUUAAUAAAAAUAAACUAUUAAAGAAACAAACAACCUAAUACUUAAUAUUAUUAAAUACUAUUUAGUUUUAAGUUCUAUUUAGAAUUAAAUAAAAAAAAUAAACACCACCUUUUCUCUUGUUUAUUUUAUUUUUAGAAAGAAUCAAAUUACUUUAUUGCCUAACUUUAGAGAAACUAAAGGCAAAAUAUUUAAAAUUUUCCACUACUUUAACAUGGAUUUCUUCUUUUUAACUUAAACUAGUCUUGAUUUUAAUUUUUUUAGGGUGUUCUAAACAAUAAUUAAAAAUAUAAGAAUAAUAUGAAAACUUUUGUACAUCGAAUAAGUUGAAAAAAUUAUUUUUUAUAUUUCAAUUCUAAAAUAAAAUUUCAUUUAAAAAAAAUAAUUGACAAGUAUUUUUAAUAAUUUUUUUAAAAUACUAUUUUUUUAAAAUUGUUUUGGAAAAGGUGUCUUUCACUUUUUUUUUUCUCUCCAAACAUUUCUUUCAAACAAGCACUAAUGGAGCACCUAGAAAAGUCACCAAAAGAUUAGUGGUGCACAAGCCACAAGUUUGAGAGACCACUAAACUUUCAUGCGUCAAACGUUUGGUGGCUUCUCCAAAAGCAAAAAUUAUACCUCUUUUGACUUAGAAAAGAUUCCCCUUUUAUUUAUAGAUCAACAUGGGGUUAUUCUCUCAAGUCCGGUUUAGGCUGUUUUUUUUGCAAGUUAAGAUAAAGUCGACUAAAAUCAUAAUUAUUGAUGGAUGACAUAAGUAUUAUAAAUUUUUUAUUAAAUAUAUUUUUUUAUAUAAAUAAAAAUAAAAAUUUUAUGAACACAAAUAAUUAUAAGAUUUUUUAAAUAAAUAAAAUAAUUUUUAUUAAAUUUAAAAUAGAGCUUUUAAUUUCUUAGAAACUAAUAUAAAUAAAAUUGAUUUAACCGUUGGUAGCCACAUCUAAAAGAUAAAUUGAAUUUACUUUUUUUAUUUUUACUUAGUUUUCUCCUUGAUUACUUUGUCUUCUUUAGAUUUAAUUGGUUUCUGGCAUAUUUUAGGGAAAAAAAAAUUGUUUAUAUUCUUAUGCUUGAGAUUUGUCUUUUACUCUGCUUUCGAUUUUGCCUUUUAUGCCAUUUGUUACAUUAAGUUUUGAAAUAUUAUCUAGUUUGAUAUCGAAUAAGGUUCUUAAUCUUACUCUUCCUUCAACAAACUUUUUUUCCAUUAGCUCCUCAAAGAUUUUGGAAACCUCUUAGCCUCCAAGUCAAAUUCAAUUAGCACCUAGACCCUAAGGGAGGGGGAAGUUGAAUACAUUGCAAUUGAUUGAAAUCUCUAAUAGGAGUUCUAUUUUAAGGGGGCAUGCUAGUAAAAGUUAAAGUUUAUCCUUAAUUUAAAUAUUAAUAUUUAUCUAUUAUUAGUUAACUUAAAAUAGAAUAUAAUUAUUAUUAAUUUGGACUAGAGGAAGAUAUUGAGUUUGAAUUAAAUUAGAAGACUAUUAUUAAUUUGAAUUAGAGUAUGAGAAAGAGUUUGAAUUAGAAUAGAAGUUAAUCAUCAAUGCGAAUGUCAUGUCAUAUUUUCUCCAUAUUGGUGUUGAUAGAAAGAAAAUGAAUUCAAAAUUUGUAGAGAGUAGUCUAUUUGGGUCCAAGUGCUAAGUGUAGUGGAAUUUUCUUGAGUUGUGUUUUCGCCUUAUUUGGUAUCGAACUUCAGAAACUAAUGCAAAUUAUGACACAAGAGGCAAAGAGGAAAGCUGAGUAAAAGGUAAAUCUUAAGUAAAUAAAUAUGAGCAUGUUUGUUUUCCGAAGAUAUUCAAGAAAGUAAUUAAAUCUAAAAAAGAUAGAGAAAUCAAGGAAAAAGUAUACAAGAGUAGCUAUUUAAUUGUCGAGAAAACUCAUGAAAACAAUAAGAAAAGAAAAUCUUGAAAAAGAGAACAAAAUAUUUGGAAAAAAACCUUUUGUUUAUAAAAUAACAAUAAAAAAAGGUUUUUAAGAACUUAUAACGAGCGUUAAUAAAACAAAUUAAAUAUAUAAGAAAAGUGAAUGAAAAUCAAGAGAACUAAGGUUUUCAACUUAUCUUUGUGGAAGCUUUUAAAGAGAGAGAAGCAAUGAUUAAAAAUGUGAAUUGAGAGCAUACAAAAAUAACUAGUAAUCAUCAUAUGAUGAAAGUUAUAUUAAAUUUCUAAAGAAAAAUGACAAGAAAAAAAAAAAACUAAAUGUGCGAGCCGAAGCCGAUGAUAAGAAAUUAAGAACAAAAAAGUGGUAGGAAAUAAAGGAAAGGAAAAUUCUCAUAGGUUUGAACUAAACAAAUUUCGAGCUCUUAGAUAUAAAGAGACAUUAAAACCUAGAUAUAGAAUAAGAAAGAAGACAAUGACAGAUUAGGUGAAACUAAAGCAAAAAUUAUUGAUAUAAACAAGGAAGCCCAUUUGGAGGACCAUGGUAUCAUUGUUAAUACAUAGGCAUGACAAAAUCAUUACCCAUUUGAGGUAGAGAGGGAUGGUGCAAGACCUCACGCAACCUCAAUCUUCCUUUCUCUCUAUACAUUGUACAAUCAAAUCUAAAAAAACGACAAACAAGUGGAAGCUUUCAAUAAAAAAUAAAAAAAAUACGACAAGGUCAUUUUAGUAAUUAUGUUAUCAAAGAGGAGUGUGAAAAAAACUCUAUUCUUGAUGUAAAAUUAAUGGUAAGUUAAAAAAAAAAAAUUAAUGUAUGGCCAUAAAAUGGGAUAAGAGAUGAGUCAUAGCUUUUGUCUCUCAGCUGAAAGUCUUUGAAUCUAAAUAUUAUAUAAUAAAUUCAAGUUAAUUAAAUGAUAAUAUCAUGAGGACUAUGCAUUGAAGAAUCCAAUGUGGGUCCAUGGGAACUUUUUCUCUUAUAAAUUAAAUAUUUAAAUUAUUAAUAAUUUAAUCCAAUAAAUCCAAUUAUUUAAUGAGGUGGAUGAUGACUUUGUUGAAUUCUUAUUGACCAUUUAGAAUGAAUUUAAUAAAGUCAAUGUUUGCAUUAUGGGGUCAUGGAGACAAGUGUUAAAAAUGUAGGGUGAACCUUCUAGGAAAUUUCUGGUUUAGUCAAAUUAUGAAAAAUCCUAAAAAAAAGGAAAAAAAUCUUAAUUAACUACCAACAAAAAAUUUCAAUGGUUUAUAAUUAAUUGAAUGAAUUAUAAAAAAUUUAAUAACAUUUUCAAGUAACUUGACCAAAUUAAUGGCAAUAAAUUAAAAAAAAUGAAUAGAUAUCUUAAAUUUAUUACAAAUUAAUAAUUCUAUUUUUUUUUUGGCCUUUAAUUUGUUCAAAAUUAUAUUAUAUGAAAUUAAUAACAAAAAGGGUAUUAUAAAAAAAUAAUUUCCAAAAAAAUUAUUGUUAAUUAUAUGAUAUCUUUGUAAAAUUGCUUCUAACACAAGUAUCUAAGAAAACGUAUUUAUAAUUUAUAAAUAAUUAUGUGAUAUAUCAUAGUGUGUAGACGAAGCAUUUAAAAAAAAUAUUUUUUAUUUAAAAGUUAUUUUCAAUUUAUCAAGAGACGAUAAAAUGGAGGAGAGGAAAAGAGCGGUGGUGUCGUGUGAUGAGUGGGUCUUGGACGGCGCAGGGGUUGGGGACCACCUGUGUACUCCCAAUAUGACCAACUCGUGGAGCAUACCUCAACCGAACAAUGAGAUGAUGACACGUGGACAAGUGAUGGGCCGAGAAGAGAAAAAAGAAAGUGGGGCGGCCACUAGGAGGCCAAAAAAACAGAGGUAGCUAACUGGGAAGGGCGGUUGUCGGAAAGCGAGAUUUUCAUGAGAUUCCGAUGUGGGACCAGUUUGAGCCUAUGACGUGUGACUGGGUUGAGAUUGGCUCGCAUAUUUAUGAGAAAUUGUAGGAUAACGUAUGGGAUGAUGAAGGUGACGGUUCUUGUUAGUCACUAUUUUGAACGCGAUCGAAAGGAUAAAAUUGGAAAACAAAUUAAUAAUAUUUUUGUUGCGGCUUGGGUGUAGUAUUCGAAUGGUCUCUCUUCCAUUUUGGUGUUAUACUGAAAAAAAUAUUAUCAAUCAAAGAUCGUCACGUGUAUACUCCGUCCCAUUGCUUUCUAUUUGAGAUUUUAUUACUUGUUAUUAUUAUUAUUAUUUUUAAUUUUCACAUUAUUCUAUACUUUAGUUUUUUCAAGAAUUGUUCAUAACAUAAUGAGUAUAGGAAAAUAGGCUUACGACAGGAUAAUAAUAUCUAUAUAGAAGGAGACGAAUCGUUAUAUGAUAAUGAACUUACAAUAAGAUAAUAUUUAUAUAGAAGGAGACGAGUCGUUAUGAAUGAUAUUAAAGUUGGUUUUUGAUUUGAGGUGGAGUUUUGUUUAACAUCAUAAAAAAUAUUUAUUUAUUUAAUCUUACAAUCUUAAAUGACGUAAUUUUCUGAUAGUUUGUUUGAUCCUAUAAAGGAUGUUUAUCUAUUUGGUCUCAUAAUUAGACAUGACAAAGAUUUCAUAUUUGCCUUGAGUAUAAUUAUGAUAUCCUAUAUAGAAAACAAUUUUUAGCAUUAUAUAUUUAUGGGUUCAUUUAAUUAAGUAGAGAUGUCUUAAAGUCUUGAAGAUCCAAUCUUUACAAAUAUUGUGAUAUCCCAUAUCAAAUGUUAUAGAACUAUGAAAACAAAUAAUAUUUAUACGGGAAGGAGUGAGGGUGUUAUAAAACCAUGAAAAUAGAUAAUAUUUACAUGAGAGAGAACGAAUAAUUAUAAAUAGUGAUAUGAAAACCGAUCUUCAACCUUCAUGUGAGAAUUUGUUUGAUUGUUUGGCCUUGUAGCUCCCAUUAUGAGGGUUUCCAUUGAGCCCAAAAUGAACAGUAUUUACAAUGGAGGGAGUGAGUCAUUACAGUGGAUGGGUUGAAUGAGUGUUAAUUCAUGCUAAACUUGUCAUCAACAUGUUUAACUUGCACUAAAUUUUCAAGUUCCCAUAAGUUAUCAUGGGAUUAGGUUCAACAAAACAAUUAUUUAGGUGACGUUUGGUUCCGAAAAGUAUUAACGAAAAAAAUAUAUUAAAGAAAAUAAUUUUCUUACGUUUAGUUUCAAUAUAAAAAAUAUUAAAAAAAUAAAAUAUAAUUAAAAUUAAUUAAAAAUUUAUAUUUUUUUAAAAUUAUUUAAUCUUUACUUAAAAAAGAAAAAAUAAGUAAAAUACAUUUGAAAAUGUAUAUAAAUAAUUUAUUGAUUUUAACUUUAUUUUUCAUUUUCUUUUACUUUUCCUCUUUAUUUUCUUUCUCUUCCAUUUUCCCUCAAAAUUUUCAGAAAACAAACAAAGCGUUAAAGUGUAUAAAAUAAAAGAUCAUGAAAUAAGAUGUUAAAAAAAUAAAUUUCUUAGUUAAUACUUUAACAUAAAUAAUUAUUAGUAAACUCAAGCUUGAACAAAAUAGUUUAACAAUUAAAGACAAAUGACAAACUCAUUAGUUUAAUAUUAAAAACUACGGUAGGUUAGAUUUAUUAUUUACAUUUUAAUAAAAUAAUAUAUAAUAUAAUUAAAAAUAAAUAAUAAUAUACAUGUUUAAGUUUUAACAAGUUGCGAGACCUUCAUCCCAAGCCAACCCUAAUAUUUUUGAGUUGAUAUUUUUCUAACCAAACUUAACAAUAACCUAUAAAAACCUUACUCACACCAACCCGAACACAAAGUCAGACAUGUAUAUAAACGGGAUAAAGAGGGGUAAAUACGAGAAAUUUGCUUACCAACCCAAUGAUUGGAGUGGAAUCGGGAGGAGUUGACCCAUCAUUCGACAUUCUUACUUUGUUUUAUUAUUUUGUACAAUGAUCUCCUUGCUUUACAUCAUAUCCCAUAAAAUUUAUAUUUUGAUCUCAUUGAUCGAUAACCAUAUUUAACAUUUAGAUUUCAUCAUACAUUUGAAUGGUUUGAAUUGAAAGUUCAAUAUACUAUUGGUAUCUUAAUUUUUUUUAUUAAUAUCAUGUUCAUGUCAUAAUUAUGUUAAUCAAAAUUCAAACAUUUAGUUAAUAAAUAAGGAAAAUGUUUUUAUAGGGUUUCUUUGAAUUGAUUUAUUAGUGUUAGUAAUUACUUGAAGCAACUCAAGAAAGGGAAGGAAGUCAAUACUUUGAUCGUUUGCCACAUCAAGAAAAUACAGGAAGAAUAUAAUUUUUCUAUUUAAAUAAUAAAUUUUAUUUUACACAUCUUUUGAAAGAAACAUUUUACCAAAAAUUUCAAUUACUAAAAAAGAAAGAAAAAAAAAGAGGAAAAAAAAAUUAAGGGCAUGUUUCAAAUUAGUCUAAAAACAAAAGAAAAUUUUAAUUUAUAAAACCGGUUUGGUAGCAAUUUUUUGAGAUUUUUCACGAAAAUAUUGAAGUGUUGUUAGUUAUGUUUUGUAGAAUAUUUUGAAAAAUAAUUAGAAGAAUAAAAAAUAUUUGAGAACUCUUAUACUAUAGUCUUUGUGAAGAAUAAGUCAAGAAAAUUAUUUUAUUUCUUAUAUUUAAAUUAUUAAAUAAAAAUUUAUUUUAAAAAUAAUUAAAAAAUGUUUUUAAGAAUAUUACUUGGUACACCUUAAAGCAUUUAAAGGGUUCAUUUUUUUUCUUUUGAAAAUAUAAUUCAUUAACUUCAAAUUCAUCUUUAUAACACGGAUUCGAGGUAUUGAGUCACCUCAAAAAGACACUUGGAAAAAAUUAACAUCUCCAAAACAUACCUCAAUAAAUCAUUUCAUCUAGUGUCUUAACUUGCAAGUUGCAACCCAUGAGAGAUGGAGAAAAUCAUUUCAUUAUUGAACAUGAACCCAACUUCCAAUAUACAAUUCAAGCAAUUUAGAAUGGUUGUUAGUUGAUCUAUAAGAAGAAAUAAUUAUCGUAUGACUAUAAUGGUGAUUGGAGCCCAUUUUUCUGUUAAAAUGGUUACAAACUGCGAUAAAUAUAAUAAUUAUAACCAACGCUUACAUAUUCAGAUGAGAUUGUUCAUUCAAACCGAUAAGACUAUUGAUGGAGUUUUAUUUAUUUAUUUUUUAUUUUGAUUUAGAUCUUGAACUUGCUUUAAGAUUGGAUUGGCUAUGAAUCAGCCAUCGAGAUGGUUGGACUAUCAAACUAGACGAACCAUGAACUAAUCGGUUUUGGAGAAACCUAUUGAUGCAUUAAUCUUUGUUCAUUUAUUAUUAUUUUUAUUUCAAAAUCUUGUUUUAAUCAUAAAAGACAACAUUUUGCUUUAUGCUAUAUUUGAAAUUAAGAAUUGAAAUCAUGCACAUUUUAAAUGUGAAGUUGUGAUGCAUGGAAAAACUGUCGAUUGUAUAUUUAAUAAAUUUUUCUCGAUAAAUGAAAUUAGAAAAUAAUUAAAAUCUUAAUUAUUUAUGUAUAUUUGAAUUCGUUAAAAUUUUAUUUAGUUUUAUUAAAUAUAAAUUAUAUAUUUAUAAUAUUGUAUAAUUCACUAUUUGAUCAUUCGUCGAAAACAAUAAACAAAUCAAACGAGGAUUAUUUGUUUUGGGCUUUGUCCGGUUUGGAAUGGGCUCCAUUAUUUGGAACCCGUAUGGGCUUUAGGAGCCCACAUGAGAAUGCUAAAAGUCCUCUAGCAGCUUAUUGUGGCCCAAAAAACAACAACAAGCGGGCCUCCCUUGGGUUGUAUAUGUACAUACAGGGCAGAUUAGAAAUAUUUUUUUCCAAAAAGAUUUAGGUCAUAUCAUUAAAAAAAUAAUAACUUGAUUGCAUUAUGUAUAUGUCGUAAUCUCCAUUUGGAUCAUCCAAAAUUUAUAAUAAAAUCGAAAACUAUUUUCAAUUCCGAAAAAUUUGAGGGAAAGUGUAAGAAAAAAAAACGGAAAAAAAGAAUUUUUUUUAAACUCAUUUAAUUUAUUUUAACUUUUGAUAUAAAAAUUAAAUGAUUUAAAAAUAUGUAAAAUUUUAACUAAUUUAAUUAUAUUUAAUUUCCUUCCAUAAAAUUUUAAUACAAUUAAAUACAAAAAAAAUUAUUUUUCUUAAUUUCUUUCCUUUCCUCAUACUUUUCUCCAAUGUUAUAUAUGUGAAGGAUGAGAAUACAUGAUCCUUCAUGUCUCCUAAAAAGAAAAAUCAACUUCUUAUCCAUUAUGGUGGGUUUUAUUCAUUUUACUUUAAAAUGAUUUUCUCUUCUUCCAAACAUCCAAAGGCAAGAUGGGUGCCAUUGGUGAAAAAUCCCCAAGAGGAUGGUAUGUAAAUGACUUUCCUUUCCUCUCCUUUCCUUUCCUCUUUUAUGAUAUCCAUUUUUUCUCCAUAAAGAAAAUAUGAUAAAUAUAUAAAACGGUAAAAAUUUAAAAAAAAGUCAUCCCAAAAAAACUUUUUCUUUUUCCAACCAUUUCUAUUGAAAAGAAAGCAACUUUUUCCAGAACCAUGGCUUUUUUUUUCCAUGUGAUGAUGAUUGAGGUGAAACCUUGUCAGGAUGAAAUGACUUAGACAAGGAAACUUUUUUUCUCAUUAUGUUUUUUUCAAAGUAUAUAUUACUUUAUUGUCCUUUUCCCAUCAGUGUUAAUUCCAAAAUUUAGCUAUUAUUAAACUUUUUUGUAUCAAAGUUUGACUUUGCAUGAAAAUUGGUGUUAAAAAUUAAAAUAGUAGAAAUAGACAGGUUGAAAUUUGAUCAUUUUUUUUUGGAAAGAAAAUGUGAAGCAAAGCAUCUUUCCACUAAUAGAUGAGCCAUAAUAAGUUAAAAAUAAGUAUUUGGAAAAUAUUUACAACUCAUUUUAAAUGAUUUUUGGAUUAAUAUUUGAUAAAUAAUUUUGUCAUACAUUCUACUACCAAAAUAAAUUUCAAAAUAUCUUUUUAAUUUACAUCUAGAAAGUACAGUCCUAUUUGAGAAUUUAUUUUUAAAGUAGGUUAUUUUUUAAACAAAUUUUAAAUAUUUUGGAUUGUUUUAGUAUGAUAUUCUAAAUAAUAAUAGAAAAUAUAAAAAGUACUUUAGAAACUUUUGUAUCAUGUAAAAAUGGAUUAUAUUUUCUAGUAGAACAAACAAAGGCAAUCAUUUUUAAGUUUUUAGACAAAAUUUCUUUAUUGAUAAAAAAUAAUUGACAAUUAUUUUUUAAAAAGUGUUUUCAAUUUAUGGAGGAAGAGUUGGUAAUAGUUCUUUAAAUUAAAAUUGCUUUAAAAAAUCACGUCAAAAUAAACCUUAAUUUUUGAUAAUUUUUAAUAACAAUUUCUCGAUUAUAAGGAUAUUUGUCGCAUGGUAAUAGUUAAGAUGUUCUAAUCUGGAUGACAACAAAGUGGAUUUAAGAUGAGUCAUCUCCGUCACAAUCUUAUCUUACUUAUUUAUAUCUAUUAUCAUAUCCUUUAAUAAUAAUAAUAAUAAUAAUAAUAAAUAAUUAAUGAUAUGAGGUGGGACAUGUCUUUUUUACCUUUUUGUUUUAUUUAUUUAUUUAUAUUUAUAUUUAUUUUAAAAUUUUAUUAAAAAAAUAUAAUUUAUAAAUAAAAAAUAUUAAAAAUAUUUAUAAUUUAUUUUUAUGAAAAAUAAUACUUUAUUUAUGUUAAAAAGUUGAAAAAUGAAAAAAAAAAUUCAAGUAAAAUAAUUUUUUAUUUAAAAUUAUAUAUAAUCAUAGUGGUGGUGGAAUGAGAUAAAUUCAUACCUAAACUCUUUUUAGAUUUUAAAAAUUUUUUUAAAUCUGUUCUAAACUUAUUUAUUUUUAUCUCAAAUCCUUGUAUGUAUAUGGAAGAAGCUGCCCAUCCCAUCCUUAGUUCUUGUAAUAACGUUGUUUUUAUAACUUGGGUGUUUUGUUUAAAUUUUAUAUUAUUAUCUCUUAAUUCACAUCAUUUACCCAUAUUUAUUUAUUUAAACCCAUAAUUUAUUAUUUACUUCUCCACGUGAUCCACAUUUUAACAGAUAAAUUAUUGAACUCCUAGCUAGCUUGACCACAAAAAUAUAUAAUAAUGGUCCUUUGUCACUGCAAUCCUGUAAUAUUUUUGUGGGACAGUUGAAGAGAUGGGUGCUUAAUAAAGAAUGGCUUUUAGGACGAAGGUUGGGCCCAAUGCCUCUAUCGCAUUAAUGACAUUAAUAAUGCCAUUGCAGGCCUCUCAAAAGAAUAUAGCCUACUUUUGUAAAUGCAUUUUACCGUGGUUGCCCUCCUCUGCUAAAAAAAUGUGGCUGAUCUUGAAUCCCUGCUAAUGAUGAGGGAACAAUGAAUUUAGACAACAAUUUUUUUUUUUUUUUUGAAAUAGUUAUCAAGAAUCACAUUUUAAAAAUAACUUAGUAUGAAAUCUUAUAUUAAAAAGGGGAGAAAGUUUUUUAUGUUAUACGAGUAUAAACUUCUCUUAAUAAUAUAAACAUAUUUUAAAAUCGUGAGAGUUCUUUUGGGUUUAAAACGGAUAAUAUCUACAUAGUUAAGUAUAAGUCGUUAUAAAUGAUAUAAUAAUUGAUCUCCGAUCUCCAUGUGAGCAUUUGUUUAACCCCGUGAGGGGUGUUUAUCUGUUUGACCUUUUAAUCCCAUGAGACAUAAUAAUGAUAUUAUGUUUGUAUGAAAAGUUUUUAUGAUAUUUCAUAUUAGAUAAAUGAAAAAGUUAUUAGCGAUAUAUAAGUAUGGCCACUUCUUAAUUAUAUAUAUGAAUUUUAAAAACCGUCACGAAAGAUUUUCUUAACCAUAGUUGAGUUUGUGUUUAAGAUGACAUUAAAUAUAGAACUCGAUGCAAAAAGGGUUGAGGUCAAUACCAAUACUUUGAACCUUAUUUUUUAGGAAAAUUCUAAGGAAUUAUAGUGGUAUUUUAUAGGACAAAACAUUUGGAUUGUAUCAUGUGAUAAUAGUAGAAACAGAUAAGACUUAAAAAUAUAUGCAAGAAAACACCUCAAAUACCGAUUUAGUGGGCACCGAAAAAGUGCAUUUAUGUAAUGUGGCCGCACCCAACUUCCUAUUAUUAAGUUUAUUUAUAGACAUAUGAAUGGCUGAGAGAUGAGAGUUAGGUGAUCUGAGAGAUCAGAGAUGGAGAAGAAAGCCUAUGGAGCUCAUGCCCUACUGCUUUCUUACCCAACUCAAGGCCACAUCAACCCUAUGCUCCAAUUCUCCAAGCGCCUGGUAUCCAAAGGCCUCAAAGCCACCCUUGCCACCACCCUAUCCAUCACCAAGUCCAUGCAACUAGACUGCAGUUCAGUCCAAAUUGACGCCAUUUCUGAUGGCUACGAUGACGGCGGUUUCGCCCAAGCCGAAAGCGUCGAGGCCUAUCUCCAGCGAUUCCAAGCUGUUGGCUCACAAACCCUAGCUGAGCUAAUUAGGAAGCACAAAAGAUCUGGACAAGUUCCUAUUGAUUGCAUAAUCUAUGAUGCCUUCUUGCCCUGGGCCUUGGAUGUGGCUAAGGAGUUUGGCUUGGUUGGAGCUGCUUUUUUCACUCAAACCUGUGCUGUGACUUACAUAUUCUACUAUGUGCAUCAUGGACUCUUGACCCUGCCGGUUUCAUCACCGCCUGUCUCGAUUCCUGGACUGCCCCUGCUUGAUCUUGAGGACAUGCCGUCCUUCAUUAGUGCUCCGGAUUCGUAUCCAGCUUACUUGAAGAUGGUAUUGGAUCAGUUCUGUAAUGUGGACAAAGCUGAUUGUAUUCUUGUUAACUCAUUCUACAAGUUAGAGGAUUCGGUGAGUAGUUCCGUUCUGGGUAUUAAGGGCCUUGACAGAUUUAAAAGCUGUCUACAAGCUUAGUCAUAUUAUUCGUUUUAGGUUCAAAGAGCCCUCACAAAUUUAAAUAGGAGCGUGUACAUAUAUAGAACUACAGUAUCCUCAUUAUUGUAUCCUAAAAAAUUGGGAGGCCAAAUUAUCACACCUUCUAUAAGAUCAAAUGGAUUCCCAGACGAGGUAGACAUUGUUGGCACUGUUUUGACCAAACUGCUUUCACGGUUUUAAGCUGUCUAUUAGGUUUCCUUUAUGUGGAUUUUACUUGUCCUGAACCCAAAGGGUCUUCACGUCUCUUUCCCGUGUAGAUGUCAUCUAUUCUGAACUUUAAUGGUCCUCAUGACUCUCUCCCAAGUAAAUACAAGAUGAAGAGGAAUACAUAUAUACAUAACUAUAGAAACUUUUUUCCGGAUUUGAUCAUGGAACACUAACAUCUUAAUUAGUAUAUAUUUUUGUGUUUUGUUUAUAGGUGGUUGAUGCAAUGUCCAAAGUCUGUACACUACUCACAAUUGGACCAACAAUUCCCUCAUUUUUUUCGGACAAGCGAGUCAAUGAUGACAUGGCUUAUGGGCUCAAUUUCUUCAAGGCACACCAGUCUGAAACCUGCAUUGAAUGGCUGAGCAGCAAGCCAAAAGGGUCUGUCGUCUAUGUCUCAUUUGGCAGCAUGGCCUCUUUGAGCGAAGAGCAAAUGGGGGAGCUUGCUUGGGGCUUAAAGGGAAGCAGCCACUACUUCUUAUGGGUGGUUAGGGCUUCUGAGGAGGCAAAGCUCCCAAAGGGGUUUAUCAAUGAGGAGUUGGAGAAGGGCUUUUUGGUGAGAUGGUGCCCCCAGUUGGAAGUGCUGGCCAGCAAUGCAAUCGGGUGUUUCUUCACACAUUGUGGGUGGAAUUCCACCUCUGAGGCCUUGACCUUAGGGGUGCCAAUGGUGGGAAUGCCGCAGUGGACAGACCAGACUACGAAUGCUAAGUUUAUAAAGGAUGUUUGGAAGGUGGGGGUUAGGGUUAGGGAAGGUGAGGAUGGGGUUGUGAGAAGAGAAGAGAUAGAGGCUUGUAUAAGGGAAGUGAUGGAGGGGGAAAGGGGGAAGGAAAUGAAGGAAAAUGCUAUGAAAUGGAGUGGUUUCACUAGGGAGGCAGUUGGGGAAGGUGGCACAUCUGACAGGAACAUUGACGAAUUUGUCUCCAAAUUAAAGGUUUCUAAAUAAUUAUGCGUGCUUGUUGCCAUUCUUUAUUUCACUACUUAUUGAUGUAAUUCAAUGAAGAAUGGAAUUAGUGAAUUAAUAAAUACUUGGUUUUUUCAUUCAAAGAAGUUUCUCAAUUUCCAUCAUAUUCUUCUUCUUCAUUUAACUCAAUUCCCAUUAAUGGAAUUGGAGAAAUAUAUUUUUUAUUUAAUUAAAUUUUUAAGAAGUGAAAUUUAUUCUCAUUUUUAAUAAAGUAUUUUAAAAAAUAAGAUUGAUAUCCCUAAUUUGUAUCUAAUCAUGUGAUUGAAAAACAUCAAUUCCAAAGAUACUAAGUUUCUUUUUUUUUUUUUAGGAAAGCAUUUUUCAAAGAUUUUAUAUAAAUUUCUACAUAAAAUCAAUCCGAAUAUGUCAUCAAUGAAUUUCUACCUCUUAUUCUAAUAAAUAAUUUUUAAAUUUAUUGUAAAAUUAUAGUUAAUAACUAUAAUUUUGAUUUUAUUUUUUAAACAUAAAACUAUACUUGGUGACGAUAAUUUUGAGUAUAAAUUCGAUAACUAUGAUUUUAACAAUUUUAAAAAUAAUUCAAAAUUGUGGUUAUGGGUUAUGGUUUUGUAACUUGGACACCCAUCUAAACUAGAAACACUAAAUUAUUAAGAAUAAUUUGGGGAGAAGACAAGAUCAAGUGUUUCACUCACUCAAAUCUCAAAGAUACCAACUGUUUUUCUUUCUUCUUUAAACAUCACAUGAGGAGGGUGCUGAAAUGACCGUGUCCUUAUGUACAGGAGCUUAACGUACUGAAAAUUGAAUGAUCGCGUGAGGAAGUGCUUGUAGGUAGGAAUGGCAACGGGCGGGUUUGGGACGGGUCACCCCUAUCCCAUUCCCGUCCCAAAAAGAUUUAGUUAUUUCCCAACCCGUCCCAAACCCGGGACGGGGCGGGGCGGGGCAUUCCCAUCCCCGGAUAGAGUUAAAAUUAUGUUUCCCAUCCCCGGCCCGUCCCGACCCGGGUAUGUGUUGUCGGGGCGGGGCGGGGCGGGGCGGGGCUGUGCUUGCCUGGGUUGGGCUGGGCUGAACCUUGGAAAGAAAGCACUACUAAUGCUUUUGAGUUAGAUUAACCACAAUUGAAUCUUCAUUUACAUUGCUGCUGGAAUGUAUUAAGAAAGUAAAAAUUACAUCAAAGUUGAAGUUUGUUUACAUAGUCUUCAACACACAAUGAGUGUUGAUGAGUAGAAAGAUAGACAAAUCAUAACAUAUCAAUCAAAGCAAGUAACCCACUUGGACUAAGUUCGUUGGCUUUUGAUUCACAAAAUAGAGCCUGACUGCAUACAAGACACAGGGCUGAUUGUAGCAAUUCUUAAUGCCAAGCUUCCUUGUCUCUGACUGCAUACAAGCUUUCUUGAUCCGUCACAUCAUAAACCACCUACCAGAAAAGCAACCAUAUGAAACUACUUGCUUGCACAAAGGAAACUCAGAAAUGGAACAAUAAAUGCAAAGAAAGAACUCAAAAUGAUUAACUCACAAUAAUUCCAUGUGCUCCACGAUAGUAGCUGCUAGUGAUCGUCCUAAAACGUUCUUGCCCAGCAGUGUCCCACUGUAUGUCCAGAGAAAAGCAGAAGGCUUAUCAAAUUUGUUAACAGAACAAUGGUUUAAAGCAGUUGACACUGAUUCCAGAACUGCCUAACAUUUUCAAUGUCCACAACGUGUAAAUUACAAUAUUCUAGAAAAAAAAAAUUAAACAAAAAAAGAGACGUGACAUUGCUAAAAGAUGCAACUGACCAAAAAAAUUACAUAAAUAAAUAAAUAGCUAUGUAUGUGUGCAUGUAGUAUGUAUAAAAGAGGAAGAAGAAUAAAGACUCCUACCAAUUUCAACCUUUUUUCAUAGAAAACUUUCAAAAUGCCCAAGAAAUAGCAAGAGAAUUACAUACAUAUCUUGAUAUUUCAGUUUGCUUAUGAUUGAAAGCAACAUUAACACUGGAAAUGCAAUCUAUAACCUCAAUAGACAAAGCAAAUUAUAGGCAAUUCAAAAACUUACAAUUUGCAGUUUGAUGGUCUUUCCAUCCUGUUCCACAGUGCGAAUUUUCUAUAUCACAGAAAAUAAGCAUAAGAUCAGUUCUAUACAAUUACCAAAAAAUAAAAAAUUGAAGUCAAAACCAAAGGGGGGGAAAAUGAUUUCUUACAAAGUCAACCCCAAUGGUGCUUAUGUAACUCUCGAGAUAUGAAUCAUCCUGGAUUAGAAAAUAAAAAAAAAAGCAUGGUUAGGAAAGAGAAGAAUUCACCUAAGGAAACCCCAAACCAAUGAAGCAAUCACAUGAAUACAACACAAACAAUUGAAGCACGCUUAAUCAGAAAUGGCCUAAAAGAAUUGUUUUCAUUUGGCAAACUUCUACAUGUAGACUGAGUUGUUCAUAUUGAAUAAAGAAUUAAUUGGUUAAAGGGAUGAAAUAAUCCUCAUAAUUGUGACUCAAACAAAGAAGCAAACCAGCCCUGUGUGGAAGAAAAAUAUAUCUACCUGUAAGAUUUUCCUGAAGCCAUUUGGAAUUUUUGGGACUUAUGUGGCUGUCCCACCACCAAGAAUACUUGCGUCUAGAAAUAGGAUGCGACAAGCUAGCCAUGAUACCAGUCAAGAACACCACCACAAACUAUUCAAACCUUGGAAAAGGCCAGAUCCUUGUACCGUUUGUAAAACCAGGGUAAUGGAUCCAAAGCAGGGCUUGAUGAUUACAGACUUAAACCACCCAAUUCAAUACCAAAAGACACACUGAAGCUUUGUACAUCCCACUCGCUGUACCUGACCCCAAAAUCAACCAAAAAGGGCAAUAAUUCAGUUUGAGAAGAACAAGAAUUGAUAAAUGGGUGAGAUCAGAUUAGACAAGUCCUGAGACUGAAUCAGAAAUGGUUUGCAAGCUACCUGAUUGAUGGAAGAAAAGUCCAAUUAUCAUGUACAAAAAGUAAUGGCUCUCUUCAAAAAGUGCACGAACUACUGAUCAAAGGCACCACGUAAUAUAAAAAAAAAAACAAAAAAACCAAGGUCAGUUAUCAUAAUUCAAUCGGGAUUCCUUGAAAGUAAGAAACCCAGAUGCUUCAAAGCACCAGAAAUCGCAGAUUUUCAUGAUCAUCCAAAACCAACGUUCAAAUGAUGAAUUUUGGCUAACUUGGGGCAAUGCUGUGGCGUGUUUUUGAAUAGGUACUUGCUGACUUUUCCCUAGCCUGAAACUUUUCAUCUGAUUUACCCAAAACUGAUCUUUAUUAGUGGCAUGACAAUGGUCAACAAUGUUCAUACCAGUCCCCCAAUGGCCACAAGGGGCAAGCGAAUCGCAGACAUAACAAUGGCACUGCAUUGUAGCACCAGCAGAGAUCAGCAAAAUUCUCCCAUAGGAGUAACAUAGAGAAUGCUAAUAUUUAUGGAGGCCAAAGUCUAAGAGAGUAAUCUUACCUGGUCACAGUGCCUAUCAUGUGUGGUAGAAUUAAAAGGAAAUUUAGCACAUUGGUCCCGUGAGUGAGGGUAAUCUCUGCAUACAACCUGCAACCAAAACAGAAAAUAAUGAAUCAAAGUUGAUACCAGAGAAAAUUUGACAGCAUCUUCCCAACUACACAGAAACUAAGAAAUUGAUAAUAAAGGUGGGAAAAACUUAAGGAAAGGUUUUGUGUGAGAUAGUAAAGCAAACGAUACUGCAAUGAUGCAGCACAGCUGAUCAAUGCCACCUAUAACAUCUGAGCCCAAAUAAAUCCAAAAUUCAAGAAUGCUUCAAAGGUUCUUUCAAUUCUGAUAUUGGUGAAAUUCAGGAUCAGCAUUAGGUUUUCAAAUUUGUAUCCUUGGCACUUCAGUCAUUUUUUUUGUUGUUUAUUUUUUAUUUUUUAUUUUCAAUGGGAACUUAAAUGAGUUAAAUCUAUGGCAUUACAUUAAUUUUAGUGUUGUUUUUAUUAGUAUCACAGUUGUGUUAUUCCUCAGACAAUAUUUCUUCAAAUAACAACAUAUCUAACUUUGUACUUCCAAGCUGCCUAAAAAGUGUUUAGCACAUGAGAGAUAAUAGAUCACAGUCAAGAGAGAAUUCAGGAGGAAGCCUUAGUAACAGAAAUGGCUCUUUUGUAGGGAUUUUGUUUGCAUGGUCCUAUUGAGGUUGUUUGUUAUAGGGACCUCCUUGAUCUUACAAGCAGGAUCAGCCCCUCCCAGCUUUGUCACAUGCAGCAGCCAGGAACCAAAACAGGCCCAUGUUUUCACCACCCAACCUCUCUCCAUGUGGUAAUUCAAACAUGCCAGUCUCUGCCAUAUGGGAAAACAAGGCAUGCCCACAUCUCUUUCCAUUUAAAAGCUAGAGAUCUAACUUCUCUCAUAUGCAGGAAACAUGCCCUUUUUAGCUACAAGACCACAUGUUCCAGAGUCGAAAGGUUAAUAGCCUAAUUGGCUGCCACCCCAGCUGCCACAUGUUAAAGUGGCACAUUUAUACAUAUUUGUUUGGAUGAGUAAUCACUUCAAAAAAAACCUGACCGUGUAAUAGAAACACCAAUUCUAAAGCAGUAUGAUGCACCACCUAACUCAGUGCCUUGCAGAUAACCGGAUAGAACUGCCCAAGUCAUAACAAUGCACCCACAUGAUGGAGAAACAGUCUCCAAACAAUCAGCAUGUUCCUGAGAACUGAAAGGGCCCAGCAUGCCAGAAAGCAUUAUUAAUUUGCCCAAAUACUAUUGAUAUCUGAAUGCAGCAUAUAAGAUAACAAUAUUGAUGCUGCAAGUAAGAUAUUCAAGUUAUAGAGAUAUUCUAAAAGAAAUGCCAAUUCUCCAUGGAACAGGAUAAUAGCAAAUAAAAAUGUAAGGAAACACACUAAUCGGGCAUUGAUACCAUAUAAAAUCUCCAUUAAAAUGUAAAAUCAUAUUAUAAAAGUAAACUUAAUUCAAUUCCUGAUUCAAAGAGAAUGCAGGACUCAUUAUAUUUUCACAUUCACCAUGACUAGAGUGUUCUCACAUUUAUUUCCUGAUCUUUCCAAAUUUUUGAUAAUUAUACAAUGCAUGUGCAUAGUAGGUAUAGGUGGUAAUUAUAUAGGGAAAAAGAACCUAAAAUCAAAUGUUCCAAGUACACACUUCCCACACUAAGACUACUUAUCACUUUGUCUUAGCUACCAGUUUAUAGGAUCUUCAUGUCACUUAAUACUGAGAACAGUGGGACAAAAAUCGGGGCCACCGUCCAUAAAGGAUCCUUUACCCCCCAAUUUCAGCACUGCAGGACAAUGCAGUAUUAAGUUCAACUGUCUACAACCACCAAAAGGUUCUAUGGAUUCUCACAUGAAAUUCAAAACAGCAAGAAGCUUCUAUUUGAUUGGAAAAUAUAAAAGGUUUGUAGGGGUGGCAUCUCAGAUCAUACAUACUUAAUGAGCCAAAAAGUUCUUGUUCAACACAAGGAAAUGCAAUCCUUUUAAAAAAAAGAAAAAAGAAAGAGCAUAAUGUAACACAGCCUUGUUGUACACAAGGAUAUGCAUUCUGAAAAACAAACAGCUAAAAGCAUAACAUAACAACUUUAGCUAACCAUAAAUAAUGGAUAUUAACAAAAUGCCACCUAUAAGAAAGCAGACAGAAGAAAAAUAGUUGAAAGAAAGCUUUGCAAUACCUGUGGACAAGGGGUGGGGAACACUCAUGAUGGAGAUAAGAUAGACCUUCUGCAGCUCCUAUUGCAAUUUUCAAUCUGGUAAUCCAAUCAAGCCGGGCGUAAAUCAACUAGUUCCUGCAAAGACUGUCAAAGACAUGGGAGGAUAAGUACAGGAAACUGAACAAAGAAGGAGUUUAUACCUCCAAUUGUAUUGACAAAAUAUUACCUUGCGGUGGAGUCCAGUUUCAGAUUGUUUAAGCCGGGCAAAAGCUGCAUCAGACAACAUCCUCUUCAGUGCAAGUUCAUUUUCAUUUGCAUUAGCUUCAAGCUGAGGUUUUGUUGAGGACAGUGUAGAAUUUUCAGCUUCCCCAAUAACAGACUCUGCAGGGGUUUUUGAUUUCUCAGACUGCAUUUUCAGAUUGUUGCCAUCUAAAUUUUUCUUAUUGUUCUUAAGAGAUCUAAGAGGAGUACCAAGUCCCUCGACCUUCAUCUCAUUUUUUGUCUUUGCAGUAGAUGGUUUCUUAUCUUUCUCUGUGUUGUUUUGAUCCUGCAAAUGCUGUAUCCAGCACGCUCCAAGUUCCCAUCUCACAAAAAUUUCAAACAAAAGAAAAAGAAAUAUUACAAAUUCUUUUUGGACUAACAUAAUUUCCUCAUUCUCUACAAAAUAAAUAAAUAAACAAAAUAAAACCUUGGCUAGAUCCAUGAAUAAUGAGUUCCUAAGGCGCCAAGCAAUUCUCAAUUGUCAACGCAAUCCAAUAAUCCACCCAAUGGUAAGAUUUCCUCAACUGUAACAGUAUAUUCACAAGUUCAUAAUGAAUAUCUCCACUUCUAGUGUAAAAACAUGAGAACAGCAUAGCUUACACAAGAUACUUCAGUGACAUGUUGUAGGGUUUGACAAAAACCUGUUAAUAUUAAGGGCAUUGGCACCACCUUCAGGCUGAUCAAGAAGUUCAAUGCUUUGAAAAUGAGUAUCCAUUUUGCUACUUUCUUUCCCUUCAAGUUUAACCACAGCUAUAUACCCACAGUAUCUGACAUUGACAACACCAAGAGUGGCAAAAUCCUACACUCAAAAUGCAAAAUUUUCUUCAACCAUUUUAGCGGAAACCACUUCAUAUAUACUAAUUCAAAAAGAAAAUAUUCCGGAUUCAAGGAACAGUCCUACUGAUUGAUCCUUUUUUUCAGAAAUUAUCUUACAUGUGCAGCAGUAUUUUCAUCAGCAAUGAUCCCUUUCAAUAGGUUUCUUUCUAUAACACAGGAUGUCAAUCUAAAAUAAAAGACCAGGUUCAUUUGAGAAUUUGUACCUUCCUUUUCAACGCAUUGUUGGCUUCAAUUAGCAUAUGUUCCUGCACCCACAUUUCCUUACAAGGACUCUACCUUGCAAGUCUUGAACUUGAUUGUAAAGAAUGUGGUUCUUAGUUACAACCAUGGUAAUUAACAUCAUAGAAGACAUGCCAAAAUAUAAUAUCCAAAAUUAAAAUAUAUCCAUAAGCUUAACAACAUUGAAAAAAAAAAAAAAAAAAGACAUUACAAAGAAAUUGUUAGCAAAAAAGAAAGAAAAAAUGUCUCUAACAUCAUCUUAAGUAAAAAAUCUAAAGCAUAAGUAAAUCAUCAUUUUCAUCCAUCAUUGUCAGUUGGGGUUGUGAGUCAUGAAUUGAUGAAUCACCUAAUAAAAAAAAAAAACACCAAAAAAAAUAUUAGAAAACUUUACUAAAUAUUUUAAUAAAAAACAAUUCAUAAAAUUGAUAAUUAUGUAAAUCGGUUACCUUCUUUUUCCUUCCAUAACCAACUUUGAGCACACAUUAAGGCCUCCAAAGUAUCUGGAUGAAGCCUACUGCGAUGUUUUGAUACCACCCUACCACCCGUGCUAAAGGCUGACUCAGAUGCAACUGUAGAUACCGGAAUAGCAUAGAUAUCACGAACAAUCAUCUGCAAAGUCGGAUACUUUAUACCAUUUGUCUUCCACCAACUUAAAACAUCAAAAUUUGAAUUCCUUGGCAGAAUAGACUCCUCUAAGUAAUAAUCUAACUCCGACUUCGUAUGACUUUCUCCAGUGGUACUAUGAACAAAUAAGUCAAACUUUGAAAGAGGAUCUUGUUCAUCAUAGUUUAACUCCAAAAGAGUUGAACCUGAUGAAGUACCAUAGGAUGAAGUUUUUUGCCCCAAAUUAGACUUUGCUUGAUACUCAGACAGCAACUCAUAACACAUUCCACGGAUUUUUUCUAUCUCAUUUGAAGCUUCAGACCCAUACAUUAGUGGAAAGUAAAACUCUAAAAUCUUUAUCUUGUAUCUUGGGUCAAAUAUAGCUGCUAUUGCCAUCACAAUAUGACACCCACUCCAAUACUUGUCAAACUUUUGCAACAUACUUGCUGCCAUCGUUUUCACAACAUCAUUUGAGCAUAUCAACCAAUCAUACAAUGCCUCUUUGAUUUCACACACUUUGAUGAAGAAAGUAUUUGCAGUGGGAUAAUUUCGUCCUGAGAACAACUCUGUUAUGUUGUAAAACAAUUUCAAUCUUCCACAUAUUUCCUUUGCCAUAUUCCAUUCUUCCUCUGAUGGCACAACCAUGUAGUAUUUUUCACGUUGCUUCAAACGUGGGAACACAUCUUUAUAUGUUAUAGCAAUUGAUAACAUCAAGUAUGUGGAAUUCCAUCGUGUCUUACAAUCAAAACUUAACUUCUUAGUGCAUGGAAUACGCAAUUGGCGAGCUGCAUCUUCAAACUUUUCCAUUCUUGAUGGGGUUGCUGACCAAUAUGCAACACUCUCACGAAUUUUUUCAAUUUCUACUUCAAUGACAUCCAAACCUUCCUUAACAAUUAAGUUCAACACAUGUGCCGCACAUCGCAUGUGGAAAAUUUUUCCAUUCAAUAAGAGUGAAUCGCUCAAAGAUAAUUUCUCCACCAAGAUAUUGAUCAUUCCGUCAUUACUUGAGCAAUUAUCCACAGUGACUGUAGAAACUUUUCUAUCCAUAUUCCAAUCCAACAAAAAAUCCAUUAAUACAUCUGAAAGAACUUCUUUUGUGUGUGGAGGAGGCACAUAAACAAACCUAAAUUAAGAAUAAAAAAUAUCAUUAACACAAACAAUAUCAUUAAAGGAUCAAAUAACAAAACACUUUGCAAGUUAAAAAAAAAAAAAAACAUAACUAACCUUACAAUAUGAUGGUGUAGUAACCAAGACUCAUCAAUGUAAUGUACAGUGAUAGCCAUGUAGCCUUUCUUUUGAUUUGAUGUCCACAUAUCAGUUGUGAUAGCAACUCUACUUUGAAGUUUCUCUAAGUAGCUAAUCAUCUUAUCUUUCUCAACCUCAUAAAUCUUCAUUAUAUCACCCUUAAUCGUAUUGCGGGAAACCAUCUUAAACAAGGGUUGGAGACUAGUAGCAAAUUCUCUAAACCCCAGAUGGUCAACGAUUGAAAGUGGGUACUCAUGCAAUAUAAUUGCACGUGCAAGCUUCUCUCUUGAGAUUUCUUGAUCAAAGGUAAAACCACCAAUUUGAACUUUUCCAUGACCUUUUCUCUCUACUGCCAAUAAUUGUUGCCUAAUAUCAACAUUUCUUCGUUUCAUGCACCUAUCUAUGUGUACAUGUAAGUGUUUUGUCCCAUUCUUGCUAUCGGCCUUAAGCUUUCCCUUACAGUGCUUACAAAUAGCAUAAUCUUGUCCAUCUUCUAUGAUUUUAUCAAAAUCAUUCCAAACAACCGAAGUCAACUUUCUUCUUUUAGAUAUCAAGGUUCCAUCAGUAGUUGAAGUACUGCCUGUAAUUGGAGUUGAACCCGCACUUGGCAUGGAAAAGUUUUCCCCUUCUUCUGAUGUCAUUUUUCUUAAUAUAAAAUAAAGUCUAUAAGUAAAACAUUCAAACCUAAAUUAAUAACCUAAAGCUUGGAUAAGGCUUGAAGCAAGGGUAUUUAGGUUAACCUCCAAGAAUUGCAAGAUGUGAACAUAGUUUUCACAUAGUUUCCAUUAAUAGGAAAAUAAAUGUAAUAGAAAAGCAUCGAGGGCAGUGCAACCGAAAGACACAUGCAGUUUAUAUGGACAGCCCACAGCAAGUGAGAAGAAAAUAAGAAGAAAAUAAAAAAAAACAGAAAACAAAACAAACAAAAGCAAACAAAGAAUAUUCUAAAAAGUAAUAACCAGAAAACAAAACAAAACAUUCCAAGAAUCAUUAUACAAAUUAUCAUGAGGCUAUGCAAAUAAAUUCUAAUUUUUCAGGAUUAUUUCUUCCUUGGCAAAACAAAAGCUCAAAGCUGCACAGGACUUGACUGCAGAAUUAUUUGGCACUGUUGAGGAAUUGAAGAGGGAAUGUGAAAAAUCAGAAGUUCUAAGAGAAAAUUCAGAGAAGUAGAUUCUUGAACUAUCUGAAGAAAACACAAGUCAGAACAGGGAAAUUGAAUGUCUUCGCAAGAUGAAUCGGAACUUGGAGUCUGAAUUGGAUAUGUUACAUGAAGAAAUUGAAGAAUAUAGAAUCAGAGGAGAGAAGUUGAAUUCAGAGCUUCAUGAAAGAAGCAAUGACUUUGAACUAUGGGAGGCUGAAGCUACAACAUUCUACUUUGAUCUUCAGGCUUCCUCUGUCCAUGAAGUUCUGUUUGAAAAUAAGGUGCAUGAGCUUACUGGAGUGUGUGAGAAUCUUGAGGAUGAAAGUGCUUCAAAAAGUAUCAAGAUUCAACAGAUGAGAGAAAGGGUUAGCUUCUUGGAAAGUGAAAUUGGAGGAUUGAAAGCCUUAAGAUUUCAUCCUACCAAAAGGUUGUCAAGGGAAAACCAAACAAAAUACCGAACUUCAUAUCAAGCACAUAAUGAGGAUCAUACCACCCAACAACAAGGAGCAACAAAUGAGAAAAGAACCGCUGUCUCCAAUCUGAGGCUUACCAAGAACAAUAUAUUUUUUUUAAACAAAAAGGUUGAGCAACUUCAUUUUUACUAAACUUCUAUGAGGAAUCUAUCUUGAAAAAGCAUAUAUAUUAAGGAUUUUUUUUUUUUAAUGGGAAUACAAAAAUAUUAUUAACAAUGCCUAACAAAAAGCACACCAAAGUAGGUAAAUCGUAUACAAAGGGCACCAUCCCUAAGUAAAAUGAAGGGAGAGAGAGAAAAAACUACCUCCCCUAAUUAAUACCUUAACACUAAGGAAAUUUUAGGACAAAAAUGGUUUCAGACUUGUUUCGGAAACACUGAUUUACCAAUGGUACUGAACUAAAAAAAGGUUUAGCAUAGAAACACUCUUACAUGUGGAUGACUGAUGACAGCAACUCACACAUGGAAUCCAUGGAGAACCUAAAGUAAAUCAACCCACAAUUAUUUCCCAAUUAAUCACACCCCUACUAAAGCAACAGGUUUAAGACUAUAAACUAGAAAACCGGUGAAAUAUUGGAGGAAAAGAGCAUUUUAUAAGCAGAAUUGGGAACUAAAUAGAGGAAAAUUUUAAAAUGCUCCUCCCUACAUCACCAAUCCGAAACUACACAUACUCUCUCUUCCCCCUCUACAAACACUGAUCUUAAAUCUAAAAGUGCAAACACAGCCCCAAUUUGCCUUACAAUAAUCCAACCCACAAGACCAAAGAAAUGGAUUCAAAACCCUAAAUAGCAACUCGAAAACUAAUAGAAAAAAAAAAUCCUUCAAUAAUCUGAAACUGGAAAUGGAAAAAUCCUAAAUCUCGUAUCUCAUUCCCGAAUUAGAACCGGAAUACAACACCAAAUCAAGGUAUCAUUCAACCAAAAAAUCAACAAAAAAUCUUACCGGUUUGUAGAUACGUGAAGAUAACAGGUGUGAUUCUUGAUUUCUUGUGAAUAUGGGAUAAACAAGGAUGAAUCGAGACUGAUGGAGGAAAAACCCUAGCGUCGACAGGAACGAGAACUGAGACGGAGAGAAGAAGACCUAAAAUGAGGAUAGGAAACUAAUAUUUAUAAGUGGGGGGUAAAGUGGUAAUUUCCUAUUCGGGGCGGGGCGGGGCGGGUCACAUUAUAACUACACCCGACCCCGCCCCGAACCCGAUUCGGGUUUUUUAAAAAACCCCAAACCCGGCCCAUCCCCGAUUGGCAUGUUCCUAUACCCGUCCCAAUAGGGGCGGGUCGGGGCGGGUGACCCGGGAAACCCGCGAAUUUGCCAUUCCUACUUGUAGGUGCUGAAAGGCUCGUGUCCUUAUCUACAAAUUUGCAUUGAAUGAAAAAGCUUCGUGUCUGCUGGUACUUUGUGGCAAUAGUGUGGCCAAUUUUUCUCUGUCCUUUUCCCUUCCUUUUUUGGUCCUAACUACUAAGAGAUGAAAGGCCAUAACCAAAAGGCUAUAAAAGGCCAUAGAUUUUUUACAACAACAAUAAUUGACCUCUCACUUUGGAUUUUCAAGCUCCCCGUAACCAAAAUUAAAGGUAUUCACCUCUCUAUCUUCUCUUUAGUUUUGGAGGGAUGUUAGUACUGUAAUUUAUAUAACACUCAACACUGAUAUCGUGGUGAUGUUUAUUUUUUUGACUUUUUAUUGAAAGUAAUUUAUUUUUAAAAUUUAGGUUAUUUAUUUUUUUAUUAUAUAUUAUUAAAUUUUUAUUAAGUAAAAAAAAUCAAAAUAUAUAAUUUUUUCUAUAUUGAUUUUUUUUUGCUUUUUAAUACUUAAUAGAAAUAAAAUAUUAUAAAAACACACAAUCUAAUAUUUAAUGCUAUUAAACAUUAAAGUUCUAUUUAAAAUUAAGUAAAAAAAUAAACACUACUUUUAUUUGGUUUUUGGAAAGUAUUAAAGAAUCUAAAAAAAUUAUUUUCUUUAUAUUUGAUUAUCUUAUAAAAAAUAUUAAAAAAAUUAAAUAUAAUUGAAUUUACUAAGAAACUUGUAUAUUUUUAAAUUAUUUAAUUUUUAUAUUGAUUAGUUAAAAUAAAUGAAAUAAAUUUUAAAUUAUAUAUAAAAAUAAUUUAUUAAUUUUAAAUUUAUUUUUUAUAAAAAAAAAAGGAAGAGAUACGAAUCUCAUAGUGUAUCAUGAUGCCAUAUAAAAAUCCAUGAGUUGGUCAUCAAUUAAACUUGAGAGCCUGGUCUUUUUGUAUGCAAAAUCCCCAUGUGGGCCUCAAAGUUGUCUUUCUGCUUUUUGUGUGCUUGACAGCCUUUAAUGGGGUUGUAAAAGCAUAUGAAGAUCAAAUCACCAAAAUGGUGGGAUUUAGGUUUUAAAAAGCUUUGUAAUAAGUCAAAUCAAACUUCAAGAGAAUUUUUAAGUGGAUUCGGAAAAGAGAGUGCCUAUGAGUAAAUGAGACAAAUCUUCUCAAGAUCAUUUCUCUCUUUUAAUUCUUAAGUUAACCUAACAUGUAUGCAAGUAGCUCCACUAAUUAAAUCAUAAUUCUUCUCAAUAAAAAAAAGAAAAAGGAAAAGAAAAAGGCCCUACUCUUCUAAGCACUCAACUAAUUAAUUACAAAAUUACCAAAUGGUAAUCCUUUUUAUUCUAAGAAGAAAAUAAUAAUAAAUUUGUUAUUAUUUUGGAUCAUAUUAAAAAUAAUGAGUGGUACAUUGAAUGAAAACUCAUUUAAGAAGAUGCAAAAGAUAAUCAUAGCAAUUUUAGCUCAUAUUUUAUUCAUUUAAUAUACAUGCUUAAGUAACAAAUGAUAUCAAUAAUAAAAAAUAAAUCAAAAAGUAGAAUCAAAGAAAGAGAGACAAUUACAUUAGAUUUUACGUGGAAAAUCUCUUAAGAGGUAAAAAACAUAGGCCUAUUAACGAUAAAAAAUUUCAUUAUGAAGAAUAACAAUAUAUAUAAAGGUUUACCUAACUUCAGUCCAUUAAUCUUUCAUGGAUUACUUGACUAACGUCUUCUCAUUUUAACUGUAUGUCUUCAUCUUUCAGAAUAUAUUUGAAGUCCACACUAAGCUUGAUCUCAACCUCUUUUUAAAGCUUAAUCAAGAAGAAAAUGAAUUUUCACCCCAACCCAAAUAGAUGAGAAAAUGACAAAUGAAUGAAGUACAAGAAUCAACCUAUUUUUAAGAAAAUCCUAUGAAAAAUGAUUUGGAAAUCAAGGGGUGAAAGGAGAUUUUCUUGACAAGAAAAUGGUUAUUAGUGUCUCUCUACCAUAAACAUGAAAUAUUUAAAAGGAAAUGAAACCCUUAUCCAAUGACUUGGUAAAAAUCCAACAAAAAUUGGAUCAAUCUUACUAAAAUCUAGAUUAAUCCCAAAAUAAGGCACAAAAUAUUUAGUUAAAAAAACUGCUACUCUAACAUCCUCUACACUUUUAAGAAAUAAUUCAAAAGAAAUAGUAAUUUGAAAAACUUGAUUGAUUCAAUUUCAUCCAUCUACAACUUUAAUUAAAUGUCUUGACUUUUAUACUAUUUUAACAUCUUGAUUUUUAUUAGACAAGUAGUUGGAGUAAGAUUUGAACAAUCAAAUUAGGAGAUACUUAGAAAUUUUGUCUGAAAUUACCAAUUUAGCUGAACAAUCAAACUUUUCUCUUUUCUUCUUAUGAUUCGUUUUUUUUUUUUUUAUUUUUUAUUUCCAUUAAAAUUUCAUGUAAAAUCAUAUAUUUAUAAAGUUUUCUAGAUUACAAUAAGCAAUAAGCAAUUUUUUAAAUCCUAAUCAAUUACCAAAAUCUUAACUCUAUAAUUAAUAUUAACUUUUCAAAAUAAUAAUAAUAAUUUGAGUAAAAAUUACUGACAAUUCACCCAAAUAAUUUUCGUGGGAUCAUUUGAACUUGUAAGUGAUAUGUGAACUAAUCAAUGGUUGAGGUAGAACUAGCAGCUCUACAUGGAGGAUGCAAUGUAAAUAUGGCAAAUAGAAUGAUCUCAACUAUUGGGGGUGGACCAUUUUAGCUAGGUCCAUUGCCUAAUUUGACCAAUUUAGCUUUUGGCAACCGCUUCUUUCAUGACAAGUUUGAUAUGUCAUCAAAAUUGUUAUUCCUAGAGAGCAUAUAUUAUAUUGUGGUCCUCAAUCCUAAUAACUUAAUGUUAGGGUGAAUUCACAAUAUUCCAACAAACACCAUAAUUUUUCUACCAUUUCUUUGUGCAAAACUAAAUAGGCAAUAUCAAUUAGAAGCAAUAAAUAAAUAAACUCAUGCAACAUAAAAAUAAAUUAGACACCAAAAUUUUUACGUGAAAAACUCCCAAUGCAAAGGAAAAAACCAUGGGACCUAGUCCAAUUCAAACUUCCACUAUCAACAAUAAUGGGUUGCACCUGUCUUUUAUAGAAUAAUCUCUAGAGGCUGUCAAAUACAUUAGGAACACAUAUAACCUUGGAUUAUACAAUCUCUCUUGGCAAAAACAAAGAAAAUUGGAUAAAGUAUACCAAAAGUGUCGUUACGGUUCAUGUGUAGUAACUUCAGUUCCCGAGCUUAAAAUCUGAUUUCCACUAUUCAAAUUGCAGCUACUUGAAUUUCAAAUAUCUUCUCCAAAUUUCAACUCGAUCGGACCAUAGAUGAAGUAGGAUCAACUCGUUGAUGAAAUCUAGGUAGUGAGAUGCGUUUUUUUUUUUCUCUCUUAUCUUUUCUUUGUUUAUAUAUCUAUAUAUAUAUUUGUUCAUUUUUGUUUUUUCCAAUGCAACCAACUUGGUCCCCAAACAUAUGAGGACCACUCCUUCACAUACGAGGAAACCCAACAAAUCUCUCAUUCUCGACUAUGUGAGGGACUCUACCAAGUUUCUUGCUUUUUACAGAAUUGUAGCUUCUCUAUAGGUAUUGGUUUUGUCAUCAUAUCUGAUUCAUUCUCAUCAGUAUGGAUUUUCUCAAGGCAAAACAAUUUCAUCUCUAGUAUAUCACGAAUCCAAUGAUAUCUCACAUCAAUAUGCUUGGAUUUAGAGUGAAAAGUUGGAUUCUUACUGAGAUGAAUAACACUUUGACUAUCACAGUAGAAUAGAUACUUUUUUUUUGCUGUAGACCCAAUUCUUGUAAGAACAUCUUCAUCCACAGUAACUCAUUGCUAGCUUCAGUGAUAACAAUAUAUUCAACUUUUAUGGUCGACAAAGCAACAUAUUUCUGUAACCUUGAUUGCCAUGACACUAUUCUCCUUGAAAAAGUGAUCAAAUAACCAAAAGUAGACUUUCUGGAAUCAAUGUCCCCAACCAUAUUUGCAUCUGUGCAUCCUACAAGCACAAGUUUGUCAGUCCCAAAACAUAAACAUGUCUUAGAAGUAUUCCUCAGAUACCUGAGAAUCCAUUUCACUAUAACCCAGUGUUCUUUGCCAGGAUUAGAAAUGAACCUACUGACAACUCCAACAACAUUAGCAAUAUCAGGCCCCGUGCAUAUGGUAUACAUUAAGAUACCCGUAACUGAUGCAUAGGGCACUUUUCUCAUUUCUUCCUUUUCUUUCUCACUUGAAAGACUUUGUUUAGAACUUAGCUUUAGAUGACUUCCAAGUGGAGAACUCACUAGUUUUGCCUUGCCCAUGUUGAAUUUGUCUAAAACCUUCUCAAUAUAGCUUUCUUGAGAUAGCCACAAUUUUCUAUAAGUUCUAUCUUGAGAAAUCUUUAUACUAAGAAUUUGACUUGCAGACCCCAAGUCCUUCAUCUCAAAGGACUUGCUUAACUCAUUUUUCAGCUUAUCAAUUUUACUAGUAUCACAACCAACAAUCAGCAUGUCAUCCACAUAUAGUAAGAGAAUAAUAAAUUCCCCAUCAGAGAAUUUAUUCACAAACACACAAUGGUCAGAAGCAGUUCUAUCAUACCCAUGCUCAACCAUGAAGGAAUCAAACUUCUUGUACCACUGUCUCGGUGCCAUCUUGAGAACAUACAAGCUCUUCUUCAAUCAACACACUAAGUGUUUCUUGCAUUUGAUUGUAAACCCUUCUAGUUACUCCAUAUAUAUUCAUUUUCUAAGUCACCAUGGAGGAAAACAAUUUUCACAUCAAGCUGUUCAAUCUUUAGAUUCAUACUGGCAGCCAAGCUUAACACAACUCGGAUAGAAGACAUCUUAACCAUGGGCAAGAAAAUCUCUUCAAAGUCAAUGUAUUUCUUCUGACUAAAACCCUUCACAACCAAUCUUGCCUUAUACCUUGGCUGGGAUCUGUUUGGUUCAGGUUUCCUUUUCAGUACCCUUUAUUCUUCAAUGCUCUCUUACCCUUAGGCAACUCUAUCAAUUCAUAAGUGUUGUUCUUAUCCAAAGAUUUCAUCUCUUCAUGCAUAUAUCUCAACCCUUUUUUUUCUUAUCAUGCAGCAUAACCUCUUGAUAAUUUUCUGGCUCUCUCCCAUUAGAAAACAACAAAUACUCAUCACUAGUAUACCUUAUGGAAGGUUGACGUUCUCUAGUAGAUUUUCUUAAUUAUGUUUCAGUAGACAACUUUGAAGUAGUUUGUUCUUGUUGUUGUUCUAGGCCAUCAUUCUCAAUUAUAGGAUUUUCUUCUAUAUCAUCAACUACAGACUCAUCAUUUUUGUUAACUGUAUCAACUUGUUCUUCUUGCACAAUUUCCCUAUGUUCAUUAUGUCCCACAAAGUUAGGAGAGACUGGACCCAAAUCAACUUAUUCUUCACUAAAAGGCUUUGGCUUCUUAACCUGAUCCAAAUCUUCAAUGGUUUGAUCAUCAAAGAAGACAACAUUUCUGUUUUUUAUAAUUUUUUUGGUAGCUGAAACUCAUAACCUAUACCCAAAUUCUUCAUUUGAAUAACCCAAGAAGAUACACUGUUUAGUCUUGUUGUCAAGCUUGGACCACUCGUCUCUAAGAACAUGAACAAAUGUCUUGCAACAAAACACUCUAAAGUGCUUAAAGGAAACAAAUUUUCCUGUCCAAACCCUCUCUGUAAUGUCACCUUCUAAAGGAUAUGAUGGAGACAGAUUAAUCAAAUCAACAGUUGUUCUCAUGGCCUCACCCCAAAAAGACUUAGGCAAUUUUGCAUGAGAGAGCAUACACCUAAUUCUAUCACAGAUGGUUCUAUUCAUUCUCUCAACUAUACCAUUUUGUUGUGGGGUCUUAGGAACCAUCUUCUCAAGCUUAAUGCCAUGAUUUCUGCAGUAUUGCUCAAAUGGCCCCCUAAAUUCACCACCAUUGUAUGCUCUAACAGAUUUUAACUACUUGCCAAUUUGUCUCUCAAUCUUCACAUGAAAAUCUUUGAAUACAUCAAGUACCUAGUCUUUGGAUUUCAAAGUAUAUGACCAUACCUUUCUUGAAUGGUCAUCAAUAAAAGUCACAUAAUACAGUGCACCACCAAGAGUAUUACUUUGCAUAGUACAAACAUCAGUGUGAACUAAAUCAAGAAUACUCGGUUUUCUACGUGAAGGAAAUCUACGAAAUGCAACUCUACUUUGCUUUCCAGACAUACAAGUGUACAAGGUAAUAGUGACAUACCUUUAACUGGUAGAAGCUUUUUUCUGGCAUGAACCUGAAGUCUCUUUUCACUUAUGUGACCAAGACGCUUAUGCCAUAGCUCAAUAGAGACUUCAUUCUCAACAAUGUUCACCCCUCAUUUGACUAGUCUCGCUUCUGUCUUGUAGAGAGUAUUGUUUUUCUUCCUCUUAGCUAAAACAAAAGAACCCUUAGUAAGCUUCCACUUACCCUCUCCAAGGUGACUAUGGUAACCCUUAUCAUCAAGUUUCCUAAUAGAGAUCAAACUAAAAUGCAUUUCAAGAACAUGUUUGACAUAUUUCAGAACCAAUUUGCACCCAAUGCUAGUUUCUAGCUCUACAUCUCUCAUGUCAACAAUUUCACAUUUUGCUUUAUUUCUCAUCUUAACCCAACCAAAAGUGCCACUGGUGUAAGAAGAGAAGAAAUCUCUACGUGCAGUGAUAUGAGACAACACUGUAGUAUCAGCCACCUAAGUGGAAUCUUGACAUGCAAGGUUUACGCACACAUCAUCACAAACAAUGAUCGUAUCACCAUUAGAUGCAACUACUGUGAUGUCUUUGUCCUGUUUUUGUUCUUCAUCUUUUCCUUUAAACUGUUCUUUUUUUGAAUUUUCCACACUUUCUUUUAAUGUGCCUUGACUUGCCAUAAUAAAACACUUCAUCUCUUUUCUGGACUUUGACUUUCCUCUUGACUUGUCACGGUUAUAAUCACUAGAAGGUUUUCUAUUUUUACUUCUCCUCUGUCUCUUUGUAACAAGUGCUUUUGUAUUAGAGGAAAUACCUAACUCUUUUCUUAUUGCCUUUUUAUUAAACAUGUUGUCUUAUAACCCCUACGUUCAAUGAGCUUAAACAACUCUUUGCAAUAUAGAAUAUCCUCCAUUCUAGUAUUCCAAAUUGAAUAAUUGGAAGCUGUGAGUUUAAUCAUUCCACUAUCAGUCUCCUCUAUUAAUUCAUACAAGAGAUCCCAUUGAUAAUCAACCUGGCUUUGAUACCACUUGUUAGGGUGAAUUCACAAUAUUCCAACAAACACCAUAAUUUUUCUACCAUUUUUUUGUGCAAAACUAAAUAGGCAAUAUCAACUAGCAGCAAUAAAUAAAUAAACUCAUGCAAUAGAAAAAUAAAUCAGACAAUAGAAUUUUUAUGUGGAAAACUCCCAAUGCAAAAGGAAAAACCACGGUACCUAGUUCAAUUCAAACUUCCACUAUCAACAAUAAUGAGUUACACCUGUCUUUUCUAGAAUAAUCUCUAGAUGAUGCCAAAUUGAAGAAAUUGAGAAUCAUUAAAUUGUAUAUUCAUUCGUAUGUUUUUUACAUAAUCGGGUCCUUAUUUAACAAAUACACAAAUAACAAAAUAUGGAAAAAAAUAAAAAAUAUAGAAAAAAAUAAAAUCACACAAAUCACCACAAUAUCUACCACAAUUGGGGCCUCAAUCAUAAUAACCUACAAAUCACCCCUCAAAUUAUAUCGGAUUUCCCCACUUCUCCUCAAGUUGGAUAAUAGAUAUUAAUCAUGUCCAACUUGCAAAUAAAAUCUUCAAAGCUUGAUUUCUAUAACCCCUUGGUGAAUAUAUCUGUCAAUUGUUCCCUUGUAGGGAUAAAAGUCAUGCAAAUAGUCCACUUCUCAAUUUUCUCAUUUAUAAAGUGUCUAUCCACUUCUAUAUGUUUGGUCUUGUCGUGUUGAACAGGAUUAUGAGAAAUAAUAAUGGCAGCUUUAUUGUCGCAAUAGAGUUUGAUGGAGAGCUCUACUGUAAUGUGUAGUUCUUCCAACAAUUUCUGCAACCAUAAUCCUUCACACAUACCUUGUGCAACUGCUUUGAAUUUAGCCUUAGCACCACUUCUGACUAUUACACUCUGCUUCUUACUUCUCCAUGUUACUAGAUUCCCCCAAACAUAGGUAUAGUAGCCGGUAGUAGACUUUCUGUCUUCUGCUGAUACUGCCCAAUCUUCAUUUGUAUAGAUCUUUACCUUCUUACUGUCACCCUUCUUAAAGAAUAGUCUUAUCCUUGAAGAACCCUUUAGAUAUUUGAUGAUCUUAUACACUGCUUCCAGGUGACUUUCCUUUGGUGAAUGCAUGUAUUGGCUAACCACGCUUACAAAGAAAACAAUGUAUGGUCUAGUGUGGGAAAGGUAGAUCAGUCUACCUACUAGUCAUUGAUAUAUAUCUCUAUCCACGGGUUUUCUGUCACUUUCUGUCAUUUUUCUUGCCUUGAUAGGGGUAUCGCUUGGCUUGCAACCAAGCAUGCCAGUCUUAGUCAAUAAGUCAAGUACAUACUUUCUCUGAGAAAUACUAAUUCCCCUUAUUGAUCUAGCGACCUCCAUUCCUAGGAAAUACCCCAUUUGACACAGAUCUUUUACCUCAAACUCUGUGGUUAAGACCUUCUUCAACGUUUCCACUUCUCUUAUGUUAUCUCCAGUGAGAAUGAUGUCAUCAACAUACACGAUUAGGAUGGUCAUCCUUCCAUCGUUGGACUGUUUGAAGAACAUAGUAUGAUCCGACUAUCCCUAUUGGUAUCCUUGGUUCUUAAUCACCUUUGCAAAUCUAUCGAAUCAUGCUCUUGGUGAUUGCUUGAGACCAUACAGAGAUUUCUUCAAUUUUCAUACCCUGAAUUUUUCUUCUUCCUUACAAAACCCUGGUGAUAGCGUCAUAAACACUUCUUCCAGCUCACCAUUUAGAAAGACAUUCUUGAUAUCAAAUUGAUGGAGUGGCCAGUCUAGGUUUUCUACAAAGGAUAAGAGAACUCGUAUAGUGUUCAACUUUGCCACUGGUGCAAAUGUCUCGGUAUAGUCGAUGUCGUAGGUCUGAGUGAACCCCUUUGCAACCAAGCGGGUUUUGUAUCAUUCUACUGUACCAUCCACCUUAUAUUUCACUGUGAAUACCCAUUUACAGCCCACUGGUUUCUUCCAUCUUGGCAAAGUUAUCACUUUCCAAGUCCCCAUUUUUUUUCCAAUGCCCUUAUUUCUUUUAUCACUGCCUAUUUACAUUCUAGAACCUCCAAGGCUUCUUGAAUGUUUUUAGGAAUCUAGAUUCUAUCAAGGUUAGUCGUAAAAGCACGACACUUUGUAGAAAGAGCAUUAUAAGACACAAAUUUCGAGAUAGGAUGCAGAGUACAUGAACGAGGUUGCUUCCUAAGAGCAAUAGGUAAGUCAUCUGUUACCUGAUUAGGAUUGGAGCCAGACUCCCGAGGGGUUGGAACUAUCCCCAAUUCUGACUCUUUUAGUGUUUCAGAGGUGAGUAUCUCAUUGGAUUUCGAUUUUGGCCUCCUUGAAUAGACAUAUGUUUCUCUAUUUGUCUAUAUUUUCGUAUCCCUCCUUGAGUUCAAGUGUCCUUCUAUAUUAGGUGAAAUGGUAGAUAUAAGGUACGAAGUGGAUUCGAACAUAGCAACAUUGAGGUAGUCUAUGGUUAAGAGUGGUCUAGCUUCACUCAUGGACUCCCCCUGAAGUGAGUAGUAGGGAGUAUGCUCAAAGAAUGUGACAUCUAGGCUAACAUAUAACUUUUGUGAAAUUGGGUCAUAGCAUUUGUAGCCCUUUUGUGUGGAAGAGUAGCCAAGAAGACCCAUUUAAGUGAUCUAGGAUCCAAUUUAUUCUGCUUAAGAGCGUGAGUGUGGACAAACAUAGUAGACCCAAAGACACGAAGUGGAAAAUAUGCACCGAGUCUAGAAUGGGGAAAAAAAUCUUGGAAUUUCUGGAGGGAUGUGACAAAAUAUAGGACCCGACUAGGCAUUCGAUUAAUAAGGUAUGUGGUUGUCAAAAUGGAGUCACCCCAAAAUUAUGAGGGCAUGUGAGAGGUAAACAACAAGGCACAAACAACUUAAGAAUAUGUUUAUUUUUCCAUUCUACAACCCCAUUUUGCUGAGAGGUGUCAACGCAAGAACUUUGAUGGAUAAUACCAUUUUCUUGUAGAUAAGUGCUCAAUGAGUGAUUGUAAUACUCAAUACCAUUAUCAAUACGAAAAAUUUGAAUUUUGGUGUGAAAUCGAGUUUGUAUCAUAGAGUGAAAAUUCACGAAGACUGAUUGAACCUCAGUUUUAUCAGUCAACAAAUAUACCCAACACAGACGAGUGUGAUCAUCAAUAAAAGUAAUAAACCAUUUUUUAUGGGUCUUAUUAGGGGUACGUGAGGGUCCCCAUAGAUCACUAUGAAUUAGAGUAAAUGGUAUGGAUGGUUUAUACUUAGAUUUAGGAAAAGACGCACGAUGGUGUUUGACAAGUUCAUACACUUCACACUGAAAAUCCCAUGAAGUUUUAUUUGAACAUAGUGAAGGAAAUAAAUGUUGCAAGUAUUGAAAACUAGGAUGACCCAUCAUUUUGUGCCAUAACAAAAGUUCAUUUUCCCUAGGACGAGAUGCAGAAUUACAAACAGUAGGAGAACAUUGUCCACACAUAUCAGUUUCAUCGAAGUAAUAUAGACUCUCACGUUCCUUAGAACUGCCAAUUGUCUUCCCCAAUGAUAGAUCCUGAAAAACACAAUGAAAGGGUAGAGAUUUAGUUGAGCAAUUAGACUGUUUGGUUAACUGGCUAAUAGACAACAAAUUACAAGAUAAAUUAGGAACAUGUAGGACAGGGUUGAGAGUAAUAGACUCAGAAAUACGAAUACUCUCUUUACCAGCAACUAGGAAGUACCAUCUAUAAUUUUUACUUUUAAAUUACUGGCACAGGGAGGGUAUGUAGAAAAUAAAUAAUGAGCAUCAGUCAUAUGAUCAGAUGCACCAGAGUUCAUAAUCUAAGGAAUAAUAUGAGACAUUGUGCUAAGUGCUGUAAAAAAUGUACUUUUGUGGGCUAAAGAACUAAAUGACAAAGUAGUAAAAGACUGACCAGAGGCUUGAAAAUUAGAAAAAAAACUCAUAUAAUUUCGCAAGCUGGUCAAAAUUAAACCUCACACUAGAAGUUGACUGAUGAAUUUCUGUGGGUGUUUUGUCUGCCUGGGUUUCGGUGGAGGCCUGAUGACUAUGGACUUUAUUGGGCUUCCAAUAAGCGGGUUUGCCAUGUAACGUCCAGCAAGUGUCUUUAGUGUGGCCCAUUUUCUUACAAUGCUCACAAUAAGCCCUUUUAGAUUGUCUUGGGCUUGAUCUAGCAUGAGACCCACCAGAUCCAACGUGAGGCCCACGGGUUACAAGAGCUGAAGCCUCGGGCCCAGUCAUGAGAUAUUCCCUCAACAUCACUCUCCUUAUGCUUUCCUCUAGUCGCACUUCAGAGAAGACCUCUCUGAUGGAGGGUAGCAGCCGACGACUAAUAACUCUGCUCUUGACGUCGUCAAGCUUGCAGUUCAACCCCGCUAGAAACUCGAAGACUCUCUCGUUCUCCAUCUUCUUCUUGAAGCGCACACUGUCGCCCAUGCACUCCCAUUCCUUUUCGCAGUUGAAAUUGAGAUCUUGCCACAAACUCAACAUGUCGGUGUAGUAUUAUGUGACUUCCCGAUUUUCUUGCUUUAUCUGCCAGAGCCGCAUCUUGAGUUCAAAGAUUUGGGAAGCAUUCUCGGCAUCAGAGUAUGUUUCCCAUAUCGCAUCCCACACAUCCUUUGCCAUCGAGAGAAACAUAUACGUUUUGCCAAUGGCUGACUUCAUAGAGUUAAUCAAGCAUGAGGUGAUGAAGGAGUUUUCAGACCGCCAUUUCUGGGAUGUUGCUGCAUCGGUCGGAGGUGGUUGCCGAGUCUCACCGGUAAGAAACCUUAGAUUUCCCUUUUCGUCAAUAACAAGUUUGAUUGCCUAUGCCCACUCUCUAUAAUUCUUUCUGUUCAAUUUUUCAACGGUAAAAUGGAGUGGGGAGUUGUCGAAUGCACCGGUCGAGCCCAUUGAGGAGUUUAUCUCUAACUCUCUUUCAUGGGUUGCCGAUUGAUUGGACUCAUGGUUGUCUCAUUUUUAGGUAGCCAUGGAUUGAUUAGGGUUUUAAAGCAAUUCGAGCUCUGAUACCAUGAAAAAACUAAGAAUCAUUAAAUUGUAUAUUCAAUCGUAUGUUUUUUACAUAAUCGGGUCCUUAUUUAACCAAUACACAGAGAUCAAAAUAUGGAAAAAAAAAUGGAAAAUAAUAAAAUCACACAAAUCACCACAAUAUCUGCUACAAUUGGGGCCUCAAUCACAAUAACCUACAAAUCAUCCCUCAAAUUAUACCGGAUUUCCACACAAAUACAUCAAGAACACAUAUAGCCUUAAAUUUUACAAUCUUUCUUGGCAAAAACAAAGAAAAAUGGAGAAAGUAUACCAAAAGUGUCAUUACUGUUCACGGGUAGUAACAUAAGUUCCUGAGCUCAAAAUCUGAUUUCCAUCGUUCAGAUUGUAGCUACUUGAGUUUCAAACAUAUCCUCCAAAUUUCAACUUGAUUGGACCAUAGAUGCAGUGAGAUCGACUCGUUGAUGAAAUCUGAACAGUAAGAUGCGUUUUUUUUUUUCUCUUCUUUGUAUUUUUCCCUAUAUAUAUAUUCCCCUUUUUUCUUUUCCAAUGCAACCAACUUGGUCCCAAGCAUAUGGGGACCACUCCCUCACAUCCAAGGAGCCCAACACAACACUUAAAUAUUUAGAAAAGUUGAUUGCCUGAUAUAAUAUUAGAGCCUUCUUCAAAGUACCCUCAAUUUUCUAGUCACGUGUCCCCAUAGGUGGAGUGUUUAGUGGAAAGGUGUUCCAAUUUUCUUCCAUGUUCCCAUUUUUUGUACUUCAGUUGAAUUUUAAAAUUAUUUUUUAAAAUAUAAUUUUUAAAAAUUAUCUUUUCGACAACUUUUAAUUGAUGUAAAAAAAUACCAAAAAUACCAAAAAUAGAUUUUAACAUGUCAUAUUUUAAUAAAUAUUCUUUUCGAGUAACAUAUUUUUUCACAAAAAUCCCUCCUUGUCGUAUAUAAAAAUAUCUUGGCUUACAGGAAAAAUGACAUCUGAGCUACCAAUCUCCUGGUAAAUUGGGGAGAGAAAGUGACCACAAAGUUCUGCAGACAAUGGAGAAGGAGAAGAAAAGCUAUGGAGUCCAUAUCCUUGUCCUUCCUUAUCCAAGCCAAGGCCACAUAAAUCCUAUGCUCCAAUUCUCCAGGCGCUUGGUCUCCAAAGGCGUCAAGGCCACUCUUGCAACCCCCAUCUUCAUCUCCAAAACCUUCAAGCCACAAGCAGGCUCAGUUCAGCUAGACACAAUCUCAGAUGGCUUCGAUGAAGGCGGGUUCAUGCAGGCCGAGAGCAUCCAUGAGUAUCUCACCCAAUUAGAAGCUGCAGGCUCAAGAACCCUAGCUCAACUCAUCCAGAAACAUAGAGACUUGGGACACCCUUUUGAUUGUAUAGUUUAUGAUGCCUUCUUGCCUUGGGUUUUGGAUGUUGCUAAGCAGUUUGGCCUGGUUGGAGCUGCUUUCUUCACUCAAACUUGUGCUGUUAAUUACAUAUACUAUCAUGCAUAUCAUGGGCUGCUACCACUUCCAGUUAAGUCCACGCCUGUAUCGAUUCCUGGGUUGCCUUUGCUUGAGCUCAGGGACAUGCCUUCUUUCAUCUAUGUUGCAGGGUCUUAUCCUGCCUACUUUCAGCUGGUAUUGAAUCAGUUCUGCAAUGUCCAUAAAGCUGAUUGGGUUCUUGUCAACACCUUCUACAAAUUGGAGGAAGAGGUAGGUUAAUUGUCUUGAUCUUGCAAUUUUCUAUUUAUAAUAUCUCUGAUGAAAACACUUUAAAAAUAGGCAAGUUUUGAUGCUCAGCUGCUUUAGGCUACGUCACAAGAUAUGUUAUAAAGAAAAAAAAAAUCUCUUUUUCAUUUUGAAAAUAACUAAAAAAAAUAUAUUUUGAAAGCAUUAUAUUUUCUAUUUUUAAGAAUAAAAAUAGUUUUUUUUUUAUUACUAAAUACAUUUUCUUACUUUCUUGUUCUAUUGUUCGAAUAUGGUCUAAUUCUAUUUUGGGCUUUUAAUAAUAGGUGGUGGAUGCAAUGGCAAAGCUCUCUCCCUUGAUUACAAUUGGACCAACAAUCCCAUCCAAGUACUUAGACAAUCGACUCGAAAAUGAAGCAGAAUAUGGAUUCGAUCUCUUCUCCUCAGAGCCAUCUGCACACACAAUCAAUUGGCUAGACAAUAAGCCAACACGGUCUGUAAUUUAUGUGUCGUUUGGUAGCAUGGCCUGUUUGAGUGAAGCUCAAAUGGAGGAACUUGCCUGGGGCUUAAAGGGAAGUGGCCACUACUUCUUGUGGGUGGUUAGGGAUUCUGAGGAGGCAAAGCUCCCAAAACAUUUCAUCCAUGAAACGUCAGGAAAAGGUUGGUUUGUGAAGUGGAGCCCUCAGCUGGAAGUGUUGGCCAACGAAGCCGUCGGUUGUUUUUUCACACACUGUGGUUGGAAUUCGACCGUUGAGGCCUUGAGUUUAGGGGUGCCAAUGGUGGGGAUGCCGCAGUGGACGGAUCAAACCACGGAUGCAAAGUUUGUGGAGGAUGUUUGGAAGGUGGGAAUUAGGGUUAGGGUCGAUGAGAAUGGGAUUGUGGGAAGAAAAGAGGUGGAGGAUUGUAUAAGAGAAGUAAUGGAGGGGGAGAGGGGGAAAGCAAUGAAGGAGAAUGCAAAGAAAUGGAGGAAGUCGGCUGUGGAGGCAGUCAGUGAAGGUGGGACUUCUGAUAAGAACAUUGAUGAAUUUGUAGCUAAACUCAUAAUUAGCUCCUAGGUUGAUCAUUCAUGUCUUCAAUUAAAUCAUCAUCCAAUUAGGGUUUCUAUUUUAUAGCUCAAUUUCAAUGGGAUUUAGUUGAUGAUGUACCCCAUUAAAUUUGUAAUGUUAUUCCUCAUUCAAUAAAGUUGAUAUAUUGGCUAUGUUUGGUUUUCAAGAAAUUUGAAGGAAAAUUCGAAGAAAAGAAAAUAGCAAGUAAAAGUAAAAGAAAAUAAAAAUGAAGAAAAAUAAAAAAAUAAAUAUAAAAUUAAUAAAUUAUUUUCAUACACUACCUCAAACUUAUUUAAUUUAUUUUAAUUUUUCAAUAUAAAGAUUAAAUGAAUUGAAAAUAUUUAAGUUUUUAUUUUAAUUAUAUUUGAUUUUCUUUUGUAUUUUUCAUGGUACAAUUAAAUAUGAGAAAAUUAUUUUUCUUAAUAUUUUUUUUUUCUUUUCUCAGUAUUUUUCGAAAACUAAACAUGACUUUAAUAUUUUAAGCUAUUUUAUUACUCCAAAAUAAAAAUGAGAAUGAGGAGGAUUGAUGAGCAAAAAAGAUGAAUCAAAAUAUAGAAGAGUAAAAUUUGAAUAUUUUCUUAAGGAUGGAAUUUUGGGUUUCAAAAUGAAAUAUUCAUUCAAGUUUAGUUAUAUAUAUAAUUUAAUUAUAAAAAAAUUAAGUUGAAUUUAUGAAAUUAAUUAUUGUAAAGAUAUGGAAAAUAAAGUUAUUUGGCUUGUAUGUAAGGCCCAUCAUCACGAUGUUAUGUUGCUUAUCCUUUUCCCCACCAAUUGUUUUCAUUGCUUACGUAUGCUGUGAUGUCAAUAGUUCUCUUGAAAAUCCAAUUAUUUUUGACAAAUGAGAUGAUUUACACCCAAUAUUAUAUAUAUUAUCUGUUUUGAGUUCAAGAGAUUUUCAUGGCUUUAAAUUGUAUUUACAUGGUGAAAAAUCAAUCAUGUAGAUAUUGUCUGUUUUGAGCUCAAUAAGUUUUUAAGACUUUAAAAUGUAUUUAUAUGAUUUUGAAGAACUCAUGCUUAUAUAGUGUUAAAAACUUUUCCCUAUUUCUAAUGUGUGAGACAUCACAAUCACCCUCCAUACAGACCCAUAAGAAUAUGAGACUAAAUAAAUAAAUACCCCUCACGGUGUAAAAUAAACCCCUACACCAGAGUUAGAGAUUGAUUUUAAUAUCAUUUAUAGCAAUCCAUAUUCAAAUGUGUAGAUGUUGUCCUCUUUUAGCUUAAGGAGUUCUUAUGGUUUUAAAACAUUUUUAUAUGAUUAAAAAAAGUUUAUAUUUAUAUAACGUUAGAAUUUUUUUUAUAUAUGAUAUAUGAGAUAUAUAUAUAUAUAUAUAUGAUAAAUUUUUUAAUUAUUCUAUGUUUUUUCACCUUAUUCAACAUGUCUAGUGACUAUUAAUUGUAUAAAGCUUGAUGGGGAAUAAAUCUUAAAGCUUAAACCCUAAACCUAAUUCAUUCAAGGAGACAACUAUGGUCUUAGAAAGGUGAGCAAUCCGUUCAGAAGGCAUUCUUGGUUUAUCCUUCUAAGAAAGACUUCCAAAAAUAGAGUAACGAAAACAGAGAGAAAAAAAAGCUCUUUAAUUCUAUUGGCUUGGUUUCAUAGUCACAGACUCACAGUAGACUUCAAUAAUGGGGAGAUUCCAAUCCAAGUAACGUACACACCUCAAACAAAUAUGAUAAAGAUGUAAAUGGAGAGUAGAGACAAAAAUUGAAGAAGGUAGACACCCAAGGGAACACAUUUUCAACCUUCAAAGGUAGUGUUUGACAAAUAGUCUAAAACAUCAUUUUUAAAGAAGAUUCGUCAUAUUUCCAUCCAUAAAAUAUACGUAUACUUCAAAUAAAAAACAACUUUAAAAAAUAAGUAAAAAUAAUUAAUUUAUUUUUAAAUUCAUAUUUUUAUUUUUAUUUUUUAUUUUAAUUUAUCAUAAUUACUUUUACGAUCUCCUUUAAAACUCUAUGACUUCUAUUAUUACUUAAUUUCUUUUAUUUUAAUUAUAAUUUAUGAAGAUAAAUAUAUUAAUUUGAUGAUUUAAAAUAAAUUUUAAGUUAUUUUUAUCAAAUAACCUUAAUACUUAAAAUAAGAAUUACGUAAUAAGUUUUAAAUCAAUAACUUAAGUAUAAUUUAAUUUAAAUUCAACUUAAGUUAUAUUAAGUUUUAUCAAACACUCCCUAAAUUUGGACUUAUCUCAAAUAUCUUUUGGAUAACAAAAAUAUCAUUUAGAAAACUCCUAAAAAAUGAUAAUGAAGAUAAAAAAAAAUGAAAUUAUGAAAAAUUAAUAUUUUUAUUUUAGAAAACUUUUUUUCUAUAUAUUAUAAUCAAAAUUGAAAUAGUAGGUAACACAAAAUUUUAAGAUAUCAAUAAAAAAGUAAAAAUAAAUUUAUAUAAAUUUUGAAAAAAAUGGAAAAAGAUAUGAUAUAAUAUAAUUUGAUAUUUUUUAAAAAAAUUAAAAAAGAAAUAAUAUACUAUAAUAUAUAAAAAUAUUAAAUUGGUUCGAAUUAGGCUUGGGUUGUUUAAAUUUGGGUUGAUCCCAACUCAAAUUAAGGUAAAAUUGAAAAAAUUAAACUCAAAUAUAAUUUGAAUAUUAAAAAUAAUUAUCUAAAUCCAAUCAAAUAUUGAGUUGAAUUUAAAUUUGAUUGGGUCGACUUGUUUAAAUUGCAACCGUUCAAUAUGUUUUUAAUAUUUUUAAAUAUGUUUUAAAAAUAUAAGAUGUUAUCUAUAAUCAUCGUAUUUUUUAUUUAUUUUUAAGAAUUAAAAUGGUAAACGCGUGUUCGUGCCUUCUUAUUUUUAGUUACGGAAAAGAGGAUCGUUUUCGAAAACAAUUGCGUAAAUCUGUCUACCAACGACUUGGUGUCAAAAAGAUUAUAAGAAUUUAUUUUAGGCCCUUUUUUUCGGUUUAAUCGGUAGCGAAAGAGACAAGAAAUAAUAUUUUCAUAAUUGACCGACCCGAUAUUUUUAUAAUUGACUGACCCAGGGACUUGAUAAUAAAAUUGUGAUAAGCUUUUGUUCGUGAGAAAAAGGGAUAAUAUUUUCAUAGUUGACUGAUCCAGGGACUUGAUUAUAAAAUUGUGAAAAGCUUUUCUUUGUGAGAAAAAGAUGUGGAUCAGAAUAAGAUGAGAAUAAGAUGUGGCCUGGAUAAUACUCCUUCCUUCUUCACUUGGCCUGCUUCAGAUAAAGUUUCUGAUUGGCUUGAAGGAAAAUGAAGAGAGAACUACUGGUACCCACAGGUAUUUUAUUCCCGAUCUUAAAUAUCCUUUCCCUUUUGACUUCCGCGUGUUUAUAGGAUAUUUUUGGUGUUUGGGUUGAAGGAAAGUUUGUUUGUUUGUUUGGGUUGAAGGAAAAUGGGGCGAGAAAACAGAUCUGGAGCGAUCUACACGUGUUUUAUCCCCCCAUCAAAUAAUGCUUCUUCCUCUUUGAUUUAAUCCUCCCUGUCGGAGAGUCUGUGUGUUUGGCUUGAAGGAUAGAGAGAUUUUGUGUUUGGUUGGAAGGAAAAUGGAGAGAUCAGAUUCCCAUAUUUUGGUAUUUCCAUUCCCAACACCAGGCCACAUAAACCCAAUGCUCCAAUUCUCAAAGCGCUUGGCCUCAAUGGGCCUCAGGGUCACCCUAGUUACAACCCAACCCAACACAAAGCCCAUUGAGGAGGCCCAAUCCAACUACCCAAUCCACAUUGAGCCCAUCUCAGAUGGAUUCCAACCAGGCGAAAAAGCCCAAAGCGUUGAGGUCUAUCUAGAGAAGUUCCAAAAGGUGGCCUCACAAAGCCUGGCCCAACUAGUUGAAAAACUGGCCAGGUCCAAACGGCCCAUUAAGUUUAUAGUUUAUGAUUCUGUGAUGCCAUGGGCCUUGGAUACUGCCCAGGAACUGGGCCUAGAUGGGGCUCCAUUUUACACGCAGUCUUGUGCUGUCUCAGCCAUAUACUACCAUGUGAGCCAAGGGAUGAUGAAAAUUCCUAUAGAAGGCAAAACGGCAUCGUUUCCCUCAAUGCCAUUGCUGGGGAUCAAUGAUCUGCCCUCCUUCAUCUCUGAUAUGGACUCCUACCCAUCUCUGUUGAGGCUUGUUUUGGGUCGGUUUUCGAAUUUUCGGAAAGCAAAGUGCCUCUUGAUCAAUACUUUCGACAUGUUGGAAGCCGAGGUAGGCUAUGUAGUCCUUUUCAUUUACGUAUGUAUGCAUAUGUAUCUAUAUAAUAUAUAUGUGUAUGUAUGUACUUAUGUAUAUAUAGGUGGUAUGCAUGCAUUUUUACAUAUAGAUACAUAGGUAUGGGUGUAUUUUUGUACCUAAGUAGAUAUGCCUGUAUUUUUGUUAAGCACAUAGGUAUGAAUAUACAUGUUAAUGUUUUAUCAACAUAGACAAAUUUAUAUAUAUGUAGGCACCACAUUUGUGUAUGAAUGUAUGUAGGCAUGCAUGUAUUUAUGUAUGUAGGUAUACAUGUAUCCUUGCACUAUGCACGUAGGUAUGCAUGUGUGCAAAUAGAUAUGUAUGUAUGCGUAUUCGCAGUUAAUGAUUAUAAAUUUUACAUAUACUCCCAAAGGAAGUAGGUCACAUGCACAAGGGAUAAUUCUCCUCAUUUUCCCCUUUGCUCCAUUGCAUAACAUGAAUUCAUUCAUGACAAAUCAUCAUUUUUCCAAAUGGACAAAAGGGGUUGAAUUCAGUUUCUUGGAAACGAUAUUAGAAAUGAGGGGUAUCUAUUGCUUGUGUUUUUAUUCAGAGAAGCAAAUUGAAAAAUUUUGGUUUAUUUUUUUUCCUUUUUUUUUAUCAUUACUUAUAAAUAUUAUUAGGAUAUCAUUUUUUCAUGCAUAUACCACCUAUAAGGGCUUUUAAUACAGAUAACCAAGCUUCUUAAAUUGCAUUAGGUUGUGAAGUGGAUGGGAAGCCAGUGGCCUGUGAAGACAAUAGGACCAACAAUUCCAUCCAUGUACUUGGACAAGAGGUUGGAAGAUGACAAAGAUUAUGGACUCAGCCCCUUGAACUUGAAUGUUGAUGCCUGCAUUACAUGGCUAGAUGCAAGAGACAUUGGCUCGGUUGUUUAUGUAUCUUUUGGAAGCUUGGCCUCAUUGGGAGAGGAGCAGAUGGAGGAACUAGCAUGGGGGCUGAAGAGGAGCAAAGGCUAUUUCUUGUGGGUGGUCAGAGAAUUGGAAGAGCAAAAGCUCCCUAGCAAUUUUAUAGAGAACACAGCAGAUAAGGGUUUGGUUGUGAGUUGGUGUCCUCAACUGGAUGUUCUAGCUCACAAAGCUGUGGGGUGUUUCAUGACUCAUUGUGGGUGGAACUCAACCCUAGAGGCUCUGAGCUUGGGGGUGCCAAUGGUGGUGAUGCCGCAGUGGACAGAUCAAAUGACAAAUGCUAAGUUUGUUGCAGAUGUGUGGGGAGUCGGGGUUAGAGUUAAGGCCUCUGAUGAGAAGGGGAUUGUUAAAAGAGAGGAAAUAGAGGAGUGUAUAAGGGAAGCCAUGGAGGGAGAGAGAGGGAAGGAGAUGAAAAGGAAUGCUGAAAGGUGGAAGGAGUUGGCUAAGGAGGCAGCAACUGAAGGUGGAAGCUCUGAUAAGAACAUUGAAGAAUUUGUUAAAGAAAUUUUAUGCAGCUGAUGAUGUAGAUUACAAGCAGAAACUUUUUCUACUUUGAUUUCAUUUGAUUUGGAGGAGUGUUAUAACACACCAGAGCUCCAAGUAGGUGUCAAAAUAUAUGUAUGGAAGAGACAUGCAUGAUCAAUAAAGAAAUUAUGUUGUGAGGAGGAUUUAUAUUAGAUCAGCUUGCUAAAACCCCCCUUGUUGACAGUUUUUGUAGUUUCAAAACUAUUAUGUAUUUGGACUAUAGAUUGUAGGAUUGUUCAAAUUAAUUAUUUGAAAUAUAUGAACUAAUAAAUAUGUAAAAUAAAUAAAUAAAUAAAUAAAAUGCAAAUUAAAGCUCACAAAUAAGAUUGAUGGAUGCUAGAAUUUAACAUUAUAUUCUUAAAAGCUCCAAUGUUUUUGGUUUAGUAACAAUUAUCAUUUAGGAUACAAUGAUUAUUUUCUUGUGAUAAUAUGUAACACUUUCAAUAAUUUGAAAUGAUGAAUCAAAUAAUGUUUUAUACUAUUUACUAAAGAUUGGAUGUGUCGAAAUUGCAUAUUGGCCGCUCACAUGUUGAAAUUGAGCAAUUUUUGCAGAGGGGCUUUCUAUGUAUUCUUAUUAAUAUUAGCUGGUUAUGCUUCUUAAUAUUACUAUAGAUUUAAAAAUAUUUUUUGAAUUAUCAUAUUUUAAAAAAUAAUUCCACCUUCUUGCCAAUUCAUCAUUUAUCUCAUCCACAACUCUCCCCAAACAUUAAUAUACAAUACAAAUGCUCAUUUUGUAAAAUGUUAGACCUUCUAUCACCGACUCUAUGUAACUUUAUAACUUAGAUCAUUGAGGCCAUCCAAUUAAGUGCCAUUUUGGAAAGAGAUGUCUUACUGACAAAGUCAGUCAAUCAUUUCUCUUAUCCUUAAACUUUGAUUCUGUGGUCUUAAAUGUUUCUUCUGACCACAUAGACAUGACAAGGAGUGUGUCACACUCCUUGUCAUUAUCUUCCAUCCAAUUAUCUUCCUUCCAAUCAUUCAUGUCAUCCGUAAACCUGUGAGGCAGAAAUAAACUCACAAGGGCAGUUUUCAUCCGCAGCUCUACGAAUUAAUGCCUUCUCUGAUAGCUCGGGGGAGUUUUGGAGGAAGAUGAGGAGAGGAAAAAGAGUUGGUGAAAUACAUAUAAUGGUUUUUCCUUUCCCCCUACAGGGUCACAUAAACCCAAUGCUACAAUUCUUCAAGCGCCUAGCCUCCAAAGGUCUCAAGGUUACACUACUGAUGGCAGCCAGUUCCAUUAACAAGUCUGUUCAAGACCAAGCUAGUAGCUCCAUCAACAUUGAGCUCAUUGCUAAUUAUGAGUCGGACCCAGACAAAAAACAAGAAGACAUUAAGGCAUAUCUGGAGAAAUUUAAGAUUUUAGCCUCACAAAGCUUAAGUGAGGUAAUUGAGAAGCACAAUAGAUCUGACCACCCUGCUAAAAUCCUUGUGUAUGACUCAAUCAUGCCAUGGGCACAAGACCUAGCUGAACCACUAGGUCUUGAAGGAGCUCGGUUCUUCACACAAUCUUGUGCGGUUUCUACCAUCUACUACCAUGCAAAUCAAGGGGCAUUCAAGAAUCCUUUAGAAGGGUCAACAGUAUCUUUGCCUUCAAUGCCCAUAUUAGGCAUCAAUGAUAUGCCAUCUUUUAUGAGAGAGAUGGGCUCAUACCCAGCUUCACUCGCCCUCCUCUUGAAUCAGUUUUUGAAUUUGCAGAAAGUUAAAUGGGUUUUCUUCAACACCUUCAACAAGUUGGAAGAUGAGGUAAGUUCUAAUUCACCUUUUAGAUCAGAGGUCAAAUCGUAAUAAGAAGUAUAGUUCAUUAGUUUAUGGGAUUUUUUCACGCCUACAAAUAUCAUACUCUUAAUAAUUUUUAAUCCAUCUAUACAUGAAUAGAUUAAAGAAAGAUGAUAAUGUCAUCCCUAAGCCCAUGGAGCCCUUAAUGAUCAAGACCUUGAUGUUCCUUACUAGUCAGUUUUUCAUCAUAAUUCUUACUUCAUAAUUCUUACUUCAUCUAUACAUAGAGACAUGGAGAAGUGACCUAACAGCUACCGUCAUAGAAUAUGAUUUUCAUGUGAUUUUCACUAGCAUUCUCCUUGUAUAAUUCAAAAAGCAAGAAGACAGAAAAAUGGCUCAUAUGAGCAGUUUUUCAACAUCUGCUGCUCUAUAAAUACUACUUCCUGACUCGGCUGAAGAAGAAAGACAAAGAGUUGGAUAAGAAAAAUGGAGAGAGGCAAAAGAGUUAGUGAAACACAUGUCAUGGUCUUUCCUAGCCCAGUACAGAGUCACAUAAACCCUAUGCUCCAAUUCUCCAAGCGCCUAAUCUCCAAAGGUCUCAAGGUCACCCUUGUUGCAACUACCUCCAUUGAUGCCAAGUCCAUGCCCACCUCCAUCAAUAUUGAGCUCAUCCCCGACGGCCUUGACAGAAAGGAGAAGAAAAGUGUUGAUGCCUCUAUGCAGCUCUUUGAAACUGUAGUUUCACAAAGCUUACCUGAGCUUAUAGAGAAACACAGUAAGUCUGAUCAUCCUGCUAAUGUUCUUGUGUAUGAUGCAAGCAUGCCAUGGGCACAUGGCAUAGCUGAAAGACUUGGCCUAGUUGGAGCUGCUUUCUUCACUCAGUCUUGCGCUGUUACAGCCAUCUAUCACUAUGUCAGUCAGGGGGUGGAGAUUCCUGUAAAAGGACCGACGUUACCUAUGCCUUUUAUGCCACCACUAGGUAUUGAUGAUCUGCCAUCAUUUGUCAAGGAUCCAGGCUCAUACCCGGCUGUAUGGAGCCUCAUUUCUAAACAAGUCUCAACUUUCCAGAAAGUGAAAUGGGCCUUGUUCAACUCUUUCGACAAGUUGGAAGAUGAAGUAAGUCUGGUAAUCAUAUAUAUAGAAUAAGCUCAGUUAAUUAACAACCAAAAAAAGACUAUUAGCCAAUGCAAAAAAAGGGGUGUAUACAUUUGUCGUAAUUGCCAAGAUGUUGGAUUGAGUAGCGUUAGUCAAUCUUUUGGCACUAAGCAGAGGGGAUGUUGGGGUUCAGUUCCCCAUUGAGCUUGCAGGGAUCAAGCUAGCUAGUCAGCUUGGGGGGAUCAAGUUAGCUCAGCUUGCGGGAUUUUAAGGGGAAAUGUCCACUAGAUAAUUAUUUUUUAUAAUUGUAUGAUAAGUUUGCUUUUAUUAUAUUUUUAACCUUCUGGUUAUUUAGAGUUCUGUUUCAAAGAGAAACAUCGUGUGAGACCACAAUUGAGAGGAGCAGAAGAGUAUUCACCAUUAUAACUUUUUGUCUUCGUAUGAUUAGUAGAUUAUUGAAUGUUGGUGUGGUCAUAGAAGUAAGGAUCGAAUUAAUUAUUGAAUCAUCUUUUUUUAUUUGUGCUCGUGAUUGAAUUAACACAAAAAACCUUAGGCCAUUCUCAUGUUGUUACCUAAUCUAUUUCAUUUCCAUUAGGUUGUGAAAUGGUUGGCGAACCACCAAUCAGUCAAGACAAUAGGACCAACCAUUCCUUCAAUGUAAUUAGACAAGAGGUUGGAGGAUGACAAAGACUAUGGCCUUAGUCUUUUCAAGCCUAAUACCGACACCUGCAUUACGUGGCUGGACACAAAGGAUAUCAACUCUGUGGUUUAUGUAUCUUUUGGAAGCAUGGCGUCACUGGGAGAAGAGCAGAUGGAGGAACUAGCAUGGGGCCUGAAGAGGAGCAACAGCUACUUCUUGUGGGUAGUUAGAGAAUCCGAAGAGGAAAAGCUUCCUACCAAUUUUGUGGAGGAGACAUCUGAGAAGGGUCUGUUUGUGAGUUGGUGUCAUCAAGUGGAAGUUCUGGCUCACAAAGCAGUAGGAUGUUUCAUGACUCAUUGUGGAUGGAACUCAACGCUUGAAGCCCUGAGCCAGGGAGUGCCAAUGAUAGCCAUGCCUUGUUGGGCAGAUCAACCAACUAAUGCUAAGUUUGUGGAGGAUGUUUGGGAAGUAGGGGUCAGAGUUACGGUGGAUGAAAAGGGGAUUGCCAAAAGAGAGGAAAUAGAGGAGUGUAUAAGGGAAGUCAUGGAGGGAGAAAGAGGUAAUGAAAUGAAAAGGAAUGGUGAGAAGUGGAAGGAGUUGGGCAAAGAGGCAGUAAAUGAAGGAGGAAGCUCUGAUAGCAACAUUGAAGAAUUUGUUGCACAACUUGUCUGCAGCUGAUGUUGAUUUGAACAGCAAUAAUUGUUGUCCAUGCAAAUAUAUAUUUAUUGGAUAAGCUAUGUUGAUUUGAAUAACAAUAAUUGUUGUCCAUGCAAAUAUAUAUUUAUUGGAUAAGCUACCCACCGUAAAAUUUCGAACUAAGAAAAUUAACAAAAAAUGUUAAGGAAAAUAAUUUUCUUUUGGUUCUAUUAUGAAAAAUGUAAAAAAAAAUCAAAUAUGAUUAAAAAUUUUAUAUAUUUUAAAAUUAUUUAAUCUUUAUAUAAAAGAAUUCAAUAAGUGAAAAUAAUUUGAAGUAGUGUAUAAAAAUAAUUUAUAUAUUUUAAAUUUAUUUUUUAUUUUUCUUCGUUUUUUCUUUUUUUCUAUUUUUCGUCUCAACUUUCUUUUUCUCAUAUUUUCCUUCGAACUUUUUAGGAACCAAACAUAACCUUAACGCCUCUUCACUAGUUCAAUAUAUUAAUAAGAGAGAAAUGUGGAGCACGAAAAGGAGAGGUGCAACAUCGGAAAGUGACAAUGGGUAAGAAUGAAAUUGACGAACAACUAAUCAAUAAGGGUAGUAAUUGAUAAAAUUUGAAAUUAAUAAUAGUCAAAUAUAUUUUACAACAAAGAUUAAUGAGUGGGAAUGAAAUUAACCCUAAUCCUGAAAACCUAUGAGUGGCCUGGGAAGAAGCAAUAAUGCAAGAAAGGGACUAAAUAUGAUAGUGAGAUCUUGGGUCUUCGUCCAAGCUCAAGCCCUUUUCUCUUUUCUAUGUUAACAUAUUGCAUGUAGCCCACAAGUUGUGUAAGUUUGAAUCGAGACACCUCAUUGUCCAAAAGUAUCUUUAAGUUUACAUAAGCCAUGAUGUCAAUAUUAUUAUCUUACUCUCAUACAAAUAUGACAGUGCCACUUCAGAAUGCCGUGCAGACUGCGCAAGUCCAAUUGAAAUUUUCUUCCUCUUGUUUUGUUAUUUUCUGGCUUUUUCCAAGCAGUGUGGUCCGUGCUUUUCACUACUUCAGAGUUUCUAUUUAGAAUACCUCACUUUAAAAUAGUACAAAGCACGUUCAAGUAACAUGCCAUCGCUUUUAUUUUAUGCAUAACUACAAGCCAUUAAGAAAGUUUUCCCAAUUUAGUUCGGGUCUCCCUUUUUCAAUCUGCUUCUGCUCUGAAACAUAAUUAUAUUGGAAGAAAAAGAAGAGAAAUUUUUUUACCUGUUUUUGAAAACAAAUUUGCUCCAAUUUGAUAACUGUUUUUGUAAACAGAUAUAAAAAAUAGUUUUCAAAACCGUUCUCUGAUAUUUUGUAAAAAAUCUAUUUGAAAAUUUAAAAUGUUUUUAACUUAGUUUUUAAAAAAAAAUUGUGUCUAUUGUUUUAAUUUUAAUCCUUUUAUAUAUCUAUAUAAUUAUUUUUUUAAAUAAUCAUAAAAUAAGUGAAAACAGUAUAAAAUAAUUAAAAGAUAUUAUUUGAAAAUACUAUAUUUUCUGUUUUUAAAAAUAGAAGAUAUAAAAUAGUUUUUAAUUAUCAAACAUGUUCUUUUGUUUUUUUUUUUAAAUUUUAAAGAAUAGAUAAUUAUUCUCAAAACAGUUAUCAAACAAGGUCUUAUAUUCCAUAAUUAUAAAAUUAUACAAGGGGAAGAAAAUCUUCAAAUUGAUAAAUGGUAGUUUUUUCAUUCAUGCUUUCAUUCUUUCAUGUGCAUAGUAUAUAUAGAGGCUAAUCAUCAUUCUAAGAAUGGGAAAGAAUGAUACAAGGAAAGAAUGAUAUAAGGAAAAAACAACUAAUAUCCUAAUAUCUCAACAUUCCUAAUAUCUCAACUUUCCUUAUAUCUAAACAUUCCUAAUAUCUCAACACUCCCCCUCAAGUUGGUGCAUAGAUGUCACACAUGCCCAACUUGUCUAAAAAUUUUGAGAACACUUGACUUGAGAUAGCUUUGGUGAGGAUAUCAACCAAUUGAUCUUCUGAUCGAAUCUUAGGCAAUUCCAUAAUCUUAUCAUCCAACUUUUCCUUAAUGAAGAAUCUAUCCACCUCGACAUGCUUUGUACUGGAUUAUGAGCAAUGUCACAUGCGGCUUUAUUGUCACAAAACAAUCGGAUUGGUUGCCUAGAUAAGUAACCUAAAUCCUGUAAGAGGAGUCUUAACCAUAAUGCCUCACAAAGUCCUAGAGUCAUACCUCUAAAUUUCGCUUCUGCACUUGAACGAGCGACGACAUUAUGCUUCUUACUUUUCCAUGUCACAAGAUUACCACCUACAAAGGUAAAGUAACCAGAUGUAGAUCGCCUAUCAUCCACUGCACCAACCCAAUCAACAUCAGUAUAUACUUCUAUACUCUAAUGAUCAACAUUUUUAGCGAACAAAAUUCCCUUCCUAGGAGCAUUCUUCAAAUACCUCAAAAUACGCAUGACUGCAUUCAUAUGUUGCUCUCCAGGAUUAUGCAUGUAUUGACUCACUACACUCAAUGCAUAAGCAAGAUCUGGUCUUGUAUGAGCUAAGUACAUUAAUCUCCCCACAAGUCUCUGGUAUCUUCCCUUAUCGGUUGAUACUUGAUUAAGCUCAACACACAAUUUCAGACUUUCUUCUAUUGGUGUAUUAAUAGGUUGACAUCCCGACAUUCCAGUCUCCUAUAAAAGAUCUAAGGCAUACUUUCUUUGAGACAGAAAAAUUCCUUCACUUGAUCGAGAAACUUCAAUCCCAAGAAAGUAUUUCAGAGAUCCUAGAUCUUUCAUUUCGAAUUCUCUAGAUAGAUAAUUCUGCAGAGCUUUUCUUUCUUCAGGAUCAUUUCCUGUAACUACCAUGUCAUCCACAUAUACGAUGAGUGUUGUAAUCUUACCAUGUUGUUUUUUCAGGAACAAAGUGUGAUCUGAGUUACUUUGACGAUAGCCAAAAGCUCUCAUUGACUUUGUGAACCUUCCAAACCAUGCUAUCGGGGAUUGCUUCAACCCAUACAAUGACUUCUUCAAUUUGCACACCUUCUGACAUUACUUUUCUGACACCAUGCAUUACGGUGGAAGAUCCAUAUAUACUUCUUCAGAUAACUCGCCAUGCAGAAAUGCAUUUUUCACAUCGAAUUGUUGUAAUGACCAAUCCAGAUUUGCAGCUAAAGACAGUAAUACUCGAACUGUGUUGAUCUUAGCUACAGGUGCAAAUGUCUCUGUGUAGUCAAUUCCAUAAGUUUGAGUGUACCCUUUUGCUACCAGUCUUGCUUUAAAUCGUUUAAUACUACCAUCUGCCUUGUACUUCACAGUAUAGAUCCAACGACACCCAACUGACUUUUUUCUUGGUGGACAUUCUACGAGUUCCCAUGUUUUAUUCUUCUACAAUGAUUUCAUCUCUUCAUUCAUGGCUGUUUUCCACCUUGGAUCAGCUAAGGCUUCUUGUACACUGGUAGAAAUAACUAUAGUAGAUAAUUGAUUUACAAAUGACUUAUUUGAUUCAGACAAACGAUGGUUAGACACAUAGUUGCUCAUGUGAUAUUUGACUUUAGUAGACAAUUCACGUUCAUAUGUGGGUUUAGGAAUACCUCUAUUAUGACGAUGUGGUAACCGUUUCAUGAAUGGAUCAGGUUCCAAAUUAAGAACACCCUCAACAGACGACGAUUGGAUUGGUAUUUCAAUGAAGGCAUCUUUAGACCCAAAUUGUUCAGAUGGUACAAUUAUACUGUCUCUCCCCUCUUCUAUCACUUCUUCAGCUUUUGGGUGGUCAUUACUACUUGAAUCUAGAGUUGUAUCACUCAUAUCCAAUUCACCCGCUUCUUGGUUCACUAGUUCAGAUUGUCCAGAUUCAUCCUCCUUAGAGAUAUGAUAAUCAUAAUCGAGAAUCUGAAUUUCCUUAUGGUACUCCCCCUGAAGUUCAGACUCAAAUGAAAAAUACAUCAAAUCUUCAUGAAACAUCACAUCCAUUGUAAUAAACAUUCGUUGAGUUGGAGGAUGGUAACAUCGAUAUCCAUUUUUGUGCAAUGCAUAUCCAACAAACACACAUUGCAAUGCAUGGGAAGUUAACUUGGUGCGUUGGUGUUUGUGUAGAUGCACAAAUGCCACGCAACCAAAAACACGAGGAGGUAGAUUUGUGACGGUUGGGGCAACUACGACAUAAGUAAGAGCUUGGAGAGGUGUUUGGAAGUCAAUUGAGAUGGAAGGUACCCGAUUGAUCAAGUAUGCGGCAAAUGUGAUUGCUUCUCCCCAAUAAGAUAUCAAUAUUUUUGCUGCUAUCAAGGAAGCACGAACAACCUCUAACAAGUGCUGAUUUUUCCGUUCAGCAACUCCAUUUUGUUGGGGUAUAUUGGAACAAGUAGUCUGAUGAAUGAUGUCAUGUCCUUCUAAAUACUUUUGAAGAUCAUAACUUUUAUAUUCUCCACCAUUAUCGCUACGUAGAACCCGAACCUUUGCAUUAUACUGAGUUUCAAUCAUUUUAUGAAAAUUUUGAAACAACAAGUUCACUUCAUCUUUGGUCUUCAUCAAGCAUAACCAGGUCAUUCUGGUACAAUCAUCAAUAAAAGUAACAAACCAACGUGAGCCACUCAAAGUUGGGACUUUGGAUGGGCCCCAAACAUCAAAAUAUCUAACCAUAAAAGGAAGCGGACUUUUAUUCAAAAUUAACGGAAAUGAAGCACGAUGGCUUUUAGCCAAUUCACAAAUAUCACAAUGGAAACCAGAAAUAUCACUUUUUGCAAACAAAAUAGGAAACAAUUUUUUUAAAUAACCAAAGGAAGCAUGUCUCAGACAUUGAUGCCACAACCAAAUUUCAGACUUUUUUUUCUCCUCCUCAGAUCCAUCUGCCAUCAAGGCUUGUUGCAACUUAUUUGAAUCUUUUGACUGCAAGUCCAAGUAAUAGAGUUUUCCCCGCUUAAUACCACAACCAAUCGUCUGUCUUGUUUGGAUGUCCUUAAUAACACAAAAUUCAGGCCAAAAAAUGACAAUACAAGAUAAGACUGCAGUGAUUUGAGAAACUGACAAAAGAUUAUAAUCUAAAGAUGGAACAACUAAAACAGAAUCCAAAUUCAAAGUAUCAGUAAGCGUUAAGGAUCCUUCCCCAAUGAUUGGGGUUGUGUUAUCAUUAGCUGUGGAAACAAUUUUUUGUGAGGAAGGUCUAAGGGGUGAAACCUGUCUAGAAUCAAAAGUCAUAUAAUCUGUAGUACCAGAAUCAAUUAUCCAUGCACUAUUAAUAACAAGUGUAGAAGUAUUUAAAAACUUACCACCAUAAUCUAUAGCGACUACCAAUGCAGCGGCUUUCUCAGCAACAUUAGCCUCUGUUUUUAUUUCGGCAAUAGUUGCAGUCGAGAUUUUCUUGGAAUCCUUCUUCUGUUGAUCACGAUUAUUAUCAUUAAUAACAAAGUGGUGAUAACCUAAACAUGAUCUAAAGGUCCAUGGUUCAAACCCUCAGUUCCUCAUUGUUUUCCUCAUCACACUAAGAGUCGUUACUUUGAAAUUGUGGGAUAUCCAGAUUGGUAGGAUAAGUCUUAUUGCAGUGAGUGCAUUUGAAGGUUGACUUAUCAAUAUUAGGGCUUGUCUUAGGAUGGUUGAUCGCUGUUGGACUACCAUAGCGACAAAAUAUCCAGGAUUUCAAUUUCAUGGCUUUGAUACCAUCUUCAAAGGACCCUUCACCAACUUUUCUUCUUUGAAAGGGCUUUUUGAUCCACCAGUCAAACACCAAGUGAAAUGGUAGUUGUUUCACACUUGCAUAAUGAUUUUCUAUAUUUUUUUCAAAGAAGGAUUAAAAUAUUAAGGACCCUAUAAUAUUUUAAGCAAGGGAUUCAUUUGUAUAUUUAGCUAUGUUUCAAAUGGAAACGUAUGUUUCAACUUCCUCCAACAUUGAUUGGUACUAUCUAUAUACUUUAUAGGUACCUACAAAAUGAGCUGACACUGCUGGUUCUGAAGAGAUAAAAGCCAGAAGAUAGAAAAAUGUGUCAGAUGGUCACUUGCUUGGCCUUUGAUUGUUGUAGAAUUAGGCCUUUCGCCGUCUGCAAGUAGUCUAUAAAUACUACCUUCUGCAGAUGGCCUGAUUAAAGAAGAAAAAAGUCUAGUGGGGAGAAUGAAGAGUGGUGCGAGAGUUGGUGAAACUCAUAUUAUUGUCCUUCAUUACUGUUCACAGGGUCACAUAAAUCCAAUGCUCCAAUUCUCCAGGCGCCUAGCCUCCAAAGGUCUCAAGGUCACAUUAGUGAUCCCAAGAGCCUCCAUUUAUAAUGCCCAAGCUAGCUCCAUUAACAUCGAGAUCAUUUGUGAAGGGCUCGAGGAGCGCAAAGAAGAAGAAAGUAUAGAGGACUUUGUUUAAUAAAUAAAUUAAAAUCAUUUAUUUGAAAUUGUUUUUAGUGCAAAUAAACUCGUUUGAAAUUUCAAGAAAAAUAAUAUAACAGAUAAUUACACUACAUAUUUGGUGGGGCCAUUUAGCCAACCAAUUAAUUUAUAAACCUUCUUCUAAGCUAUACCAACAAAAACAAUAUAACGUAUACGAAGGUGUGAAACACAUACCUAAAAAAUAAUGAUAAAAAUUUUAUAGUCCAUGUAGAUGCCUGAGUUCAUUUGGAUCACCUUUGAUCUUAUCGUUUUGUAUUCAAUAUCCCAUCUUCAAAUUAAUAAAUGGUAGCUUUUUCAUUCAUUUUUUCAUUCGUUCAUGUACAGAGUAUAUAUAGAGGGUAAUCACCAUUUUAAAAAUGGGAAAAAAUGAUACAAGGAAAGAAUGAUAUAAGGUAAGAACAAAUAAUAUCUUAAUAUCUCAACUUUCCUAAUAUCUAAACAUUCUUAAUAUCUCAACAUUGAAUGAUAUAAGGAAAGCAUUCCUAAUAUCUCAACAGAAAAUUACUUUUGGAUAUCAUGUAAUAAAAAUAUCAAUUAAUCACAAAGAGUCAAAAUGGAAUUUAUCUUUUUAAUUUGAAGACCUUAUUUGUCUAUGUUUUGACCUUACUUUGGUAUUUUUUUUUUCAAUACUUCGAGUCUACUCAGGAAUAUUAAAAACUUAAAUUCAAUUUCAUGUGGGUGUCUUACAAUUUUCCUUACAAAAGAAAUCUUUCAACCCAACACACUUUGAUAAAUGUUUCUAGAGAUAAUAUUUGAUAUUAGUGAGUGUCUUAUCAAUAUUCUACUACAUAACUCAACCCAAUUCCAAAUAAUAAUAAUAUUAAAAAUAUAAACUUAAAUACUAUAUAAUUAUUAAAUAAGUAACCUAUUUAGCUCAUUUAAUAAUUAGGUUGAAUUAAGUUUUGUAUAAGUCUAUCAACUAAACAUAUUUAUGAUUCAAUUAAUCUAUUUAUUUAAAAACAAAUUUAAAAUAAGGUAAAUAUGGAUUAAAUAAUUUAAAAUUAUAAUUAAGUUAAUUAUAUAUAAAUUAAUAAAAAAAUAUUAUUUAUUUAUUAAACAAAUUAUAUAAACCGACACAAAAUUGAUGUAAACAAUUGUAAAAUCGUGUUAGAUUUGUAUUGACAAAUCAUAACAAAUUUUGCUGCCUUAAUAAUUUCUACCUGGUUAUGAUUGACAUUGAAAAAUAAUAUGGUCGGGUUCCUCUCAGACAGAAUACGCUUUUCAUGCAAUUGUCACAUCUUUAUACUUCUCGAAUUACUUACAAAAAAGGGUCCGGUCCCCCACUGUCUGAAAAUACAACACGAGAGACAAAAGCUACAAGACAGAAAUCCACUCACAUGGGCACUUUUCUCCACCUUUGCCUUCUAUCAUCUGCAGUUCUAUAAAGACUUGCUCUCAUGGCUGAUUAAAGCAGUAAGAGGAGAGAGUUGUGGACACAAAAAUGGAGAGAGGUAGAGGAGUUGGUGAAACACAUGUUUUGGUAAUUCCUUAUCCUGUACAGGGGCACAUAAACCCAAUGCUCCAGUUCUCCAAGCGCCUAGCCUCCAAAGGUCUCAAGGUCACACUCAUCACCACCACCCCUACUAACAAGUCCAAGCAACCUCAAUCCAGCUCAAUCAACAUGGAGCAUAUUCCGGUUGGUCUCCAAGGUGAAGAAGAGAGCCUAGAUGAUUAUCUGGAGCGUUUCAAACUUAUAGUUUCAUCUAGCUUGGUGGAGCUCAUUGGGAGAUACAAUGGGUCUGAGUACCCUGUCAGAGUCCUUGUGUAUGACUCAGUUAUGUCAUGGGCACAGGACAUAGUUGAAAGACUAAGCGUGGAUGGAGCUCCCUUCUUCACUCAAUCAUGUGCUGUUUCUACCAUCUAUUACCAUGUGAAUCAAGGGGCAUUCAAGAUUCCUUUAGAAGGGCCAACUGUGUCUAUACCUUCUAUGCCUAUACUUGGUGUUAAUGAUCUGCCAUCGUUCAUUAAUGACACAAGCUCGUAUCCAACAUUAUGGAGUCUGGUCAAGACCCAAUUUUCAAAUUUUGAGAAAGUGAAUUGGGUUUUCUUUAACACUUUCUGUGAGUUGGAAGAUGAGGUAAGUAUUGUUGUUGAUUAAUAUUUCCAUAGUGUAACAAUUAUGAUAAACCACUCCCAACUCAAUUGUGGAGAUAUUAUUUAUUCUCAUCUCUCAUUGUUUUAAGACGCUUCUAAAUGGUUAAGAAGAACUUUUAUAUAUAUAUAUAUAUAUAUAUAUAUAUAUAAUGUAAUUUAUUUUUUUUUACAUUUAAUGUGAGAUAUCACAAUUACUUUUAAUGUAAACACGAUGUUCUUGUGAUAUCUCAUAGGAAGACAUCUUUGUCCCAGUGUGAGACCAAACAAAUUCUUACACUAGUUAGGUCAGGAUUUGGCUUUGACAUUAACAUUUGUAAUGAUAUACUUUAAACUGUGCAUAUAUUGUUAACUUUGAAUCUAAUAAGUUUUUACAGACUUUAAAAUAUAUUCACAUGAUUAAGAGGAUUAUAUGAAUAAUGCUUGAAAUUUUUUCUUCUAUAAGAUAUGGAAUAUCACAAAUUGAUGUCACAUGGCUGGCUGGAAAAGGAUGCUACCCUUCCUACUAACUGGCAGUCAACAACAAAAAAUGAAAUGGAAGUUUGUCUUUCCAUAUUAAAAUUAGGCAUGCAACCACCUACCUUGCCUAGCAGGCCUGCAGUAAUCAAUAUUUUAGUAUAUACCUCUAUAUGCUAUUUUUCAUACUGUUCAAUAAUGCUUACAUUCCACUAGGUAGUGAAGUGGUUGGCAAGCAAACGGCCAAUCAAGACUAUAGGACCGACCAUUCCAUCAAUGUACUUGGACCGGAGGAUAGAUGACGAUGAAGAUUAUGGCCUAAGCCUCUUCAAGCCAAAUGCGGACGCCUGCAUUACAUGGCUAGACACAAAGGACACUGUCUCAGUGGUAUAUGUAUCAUUUGGAAGCUUGGCAUCAUUAGGAGAAGAGCAGAUGGAGGAACUAGCAUGGGGCCUAAAGAGAAGCAACAGCCAAUUUUUGUGGGUAGUCAGAGAACUAGAAAAGAAAAAGCUCCCCAGCAAUUUUGUAGAGGAGACAUCUGAGAAGGGUCUGGUUGUGAGUUGGUGUCCUCAACUGGAAGUUUUGGCCCACAAAGCCGUGGGGUGCUUCAUGACUCAUUGCGGAUGGAACUCGACACUGGAGGCGCUGAGCUUGGGAGUGCCAAUGGUGGCGAUGCCUCAGUGGACAGAUCAAACAACAAAUGCUAAGUUUAUUGAGGAUGUGUGGGGAGUUGGGGUUAGGGUUAAGGUGGGUGAAAAUGGGAUUGUUAAAAGAGAGGAAAUAAAGGAGUGUAUAAGGGAAGUCAUGGAGGGAGAGAGAGGGAAUGUGAUGCAAAGAAAUGCGCAGAGGUGGAAGGAGUUGGCUAAAGAGGCAGUAAAUGAAGGAGGAAGCUCUGAUAACAAUAUUGAAGAAUUUGUUGCACGACUUGUUUGCAGUUAAUGUUGAUUAACAACAAUAAAAUCUCUCUAUUUCCAUUUCAUUUUAAUUUCAUAGCCUUUUAUAAUUGAGCUCCAAUCAAGUUAAAAUAAUCUUGUAGGACCAGAAAGAGAAUGGAUUUGCCUGCACCGGUUCCUUGUUAAAAUGUACUGAAGUCUAACUUAAAAUCCUCUUAAAUUUACAUCCAACUUUUAGUUAAUUUUAUUAAUAUGUUUAAUUGAAUGGAAGUUAGCAUGCUUUUGGCUAGGUUUUCUAUGACCCAAUUCCAUAGUUCUAUUGGAGUACAGUACUCUCCAAUAUGAUCCGGAUAGGGUAAAUACAUAUGUUUGAAAGAAUGAAAUAUCUUCAUUAAAGAAGGAUAAAUAAAUAAAAACAUGUAUGACUAGCAUCACACAUACCCAGGUGCUUAUAACAAUCAAAUUUCCUUUUUUUUUCCAAAAACAAAAUUAUGAGCAAAUCAAUAUUUAAUCAUAGGACUUUUCCAAAUUCUUCAAAAGAUACGAAGGAAACGAAGUUAAUUUAGAAAAAAAUUGAUAACUUAAAAAUAUCCUUAAAAUCAAAGGAAACGCACAAGCCGAAUGGAUUUGAACCCAAUAUGCGCAAUCCAAAUAUAUGAAACACCUAAACCACUAAUUGACCUAACAUCCUUUUUACAUACAAAGAACGAGAAAAUUCAAGUUAAUUAUGCUAAUCAAGCUUACAUAUGUUGCCGGUUGAUCCAUUACCUUAUAAUUUAAGCUUUUGGAUCAAUUAAUUACCGGCUUAACAUAUUAAUCUUUACUCUUUGUAAAUCUUGCGUUUUUCCAUGAAAUCUUGUCAUUCAGAACAAGUCUUUUUUGGUCAUAGCUAGCUAGCUACAAUGUUGUUUGAGUUGUUGAUUGAGGAAAGUGGACAAAAAUCAUAGAUGGUACUGAAGGAUAGAGUUAAUGAAAUCAUAUGAGUAACUCUUUUUAAAUAAGGGAAUGAAAAAAACAAGUAUAUUGAACAACUUCACAGUACAAUAUAUAAUACAUAUAAGGAAAAGGACCCUUCACCAACUUUUCUUCUUUGAAAGGGCUUUUUGAUCCACCAGUCAAACACCAAGUGAAAUGGUAGUUGUUUCACACUUGCAUAAUGAUUUUCUAGAUUUUUUUCAAAGAAGGAUUAAAAUGUUAAGGACCCUAUAAUAUUUUAAGCAAGGGAUUCAUUUGUAUAUUUAGCUAUGUUUCAAAUGGAAAAGUAUGUUUCAACUUCCUCCAACAUUGAUUGGUACUAUCUAUAUACUUUAUAGGUACCUACAAAAUGAGCUGACACUGCUGGUUCUGAAGAGAUAAAAGCCAGAAGAUAGAAAAAUGUGUCAGAUGGUCACUUGCUUGGCCUUUGAUUGUUGUAGAAUUAGGCCUUUCACCGUCUGCAAGUAGUCUAUAAAUACUACCUUCUGCAGAUGGCCUGAUUAAAGAAGAAAAGAGUCUAGUGGGGAGAAUGAAGAGUGGUGCGAGAGUUGGUGAAACUCAUAUUAUGGUCCUUCCUUACUGUUCACAGGGUCACAUAAAUCCAAUGCUCCAAUUCUCCAGGCGCCUAGCCUCCAAAGGUCUCAAGGUCACAUUAGUGAUCCCAAGAGCCUCCAUUUAGAAUGCCCAAGCUAGCUCCAUUAACAUCGAGAUCAUUUGUGAAGGGCUCGAGGAGCGCAAAGAAGAAGAAAGUAUAGAGGACUAUGUGGAGCGUUUUAGAAUGGUAGCUUCACAAAGCUUGGCGGAGCUUAUCAAGAAACAUAGUAGAUCCAGCCAUCCCGCUAAAUUCCUUGUGUAUGACUCAAUGAUGCCAUGGGCACAAGACGUGGCUGAACCACUAGGCCUAGAUGGAGUUCCAUUCUUCACUCAAUCAUGUGCUGUUUCUACCAUCUAUUACCAUUUUAAUCAAGGGAAGUUGAAAACUCCUUUAGAAGGAUAUACGGUAUCAAUUCCUUCAAUGCCACUUUUAUGUAUCAAUGAUCUGCCAUCAUUCAUUAAUGACAAAACUAUACUCGGCUUCCUCUUGAAGCAAUUUUCCAAUUUCCAGAAAGUGAAGUGGAUCUUGUUUAACACUUUUGACAAGUUGGAAGAGGAGGUACUUUCUAUAACCCCCUCUACAUAAUACAAACACAUGCAAUAACCUUCCAUGAUAUAUUUCUAAUUAAAUAAUCGUCUCAUACUGUUAAAUUCUCUGCCUAAAUUCUAUUAGGUGAUGAAGUGGAUGGCAAGCCUGCGACCAAUCAAGACAAUAGGACCUACUGUUCCUUCCAUGUACUUAGACAAGAGGUUGGAGGAAGACAAAGAAUACGGUCUCAGCCUUUUCAAGCAAAAUGUUGACGCCUAUAUUGCAUGGCUGGACUUAAAGGGCAUUGGCUCUGUGGUUUAUGCAUCCUUUGGAAGCAUGGCCUCACUGGGAGAAGAACAGAUGGAGGAAAUAGCAUGGGGCCUGAAAAGGAACAACACCCACUUCAUGUGGGUAGUCAGAGAAUCAGAAGAGAAAAAGCUUCCUUGCAAGUUCUUGGAGGAGACAUGUGAGAAGGGUCUGGUCGUGAGUUGGUGCUCCCAACUAGAAGUUUUAUCUCACAAAGCUGUUGGGUGUUUUAUGAGUCAUUGCGGAUGGAACUCAACUUUGGAGGCACUGAGCUUGGGAGUGCCAAUGAUAGCGAUGCCUCACUUUUCAGAUCAAACAACGAAUGCCAAGUUCAUUGAAGAUGUAUGGGGAGUUGGGGUUAGAGUUAAGCCGGAUGAAAAAGGGCUUGUGAAGAGAGAGGAAAUAGAGAUGUGCAUAAGGGAAAUGAUGCAGGGAGAGAGAGGGAAUGAGAUGAGAAGGAAUGCUGAGAUGUGGAAGGAGUUGGCCAAAGAGGCAGUAACUGAAGGCGGAACCUCCGAUAAGAACAUUGAAGAAUUUGUUGCAGAAAUUUUAUGCAGCUUAGAUUGAAAUCUGUAUGGACACAUCUCAGCUUGUGUUAAUUUUCAAAUAUCUAAGUUGUAAAUAAAAUGCCUAUGGUAAUUUUCAAUGCUUAAUGGCCUCUCUUUAUUAAGUGUGUAAAAAGUUUGAUUCAUUCUAUACUUCCAAGAAAAUUUAGGUUGUAUUUGGUUUAAGGUCAUGUUAUGCUUAAUGGCCUCUCUUUAUUAAGUGUGUAAAAAGCUUGAUUCAUUCUGUACUUCCAAUAAAAUUUAGGUUGUAUUUGGUUUAAGGCUAUGUUUGGUCCCAGAAAGUUUGAGGGAAAUAAAAUAGAAAUGAAAAGUAAAAGAAAGAAAAAAUGAAGAAAAAUAAAAAAUAGAUUUAAGAUAAAUAAAUUAUUUUUUUUAUACUAUUUCAAAUUUUUUAUUUAUUUAUUUAACUCUUCUGUAUCAAGAUUAAAUAAUUUAAAAAUAUACAAAAAUUUUAAUUAUAUUUCAUUUUCUUUCGUUUUUUUUAUAAGAAAACCAAAUAUGAAAAAAUAAUUUUCCUCAACAUUUUUUUCUUUUCCUAAUUUUUUUUGGGAACCAAAUAUAACUUAAAAUAUUGAAAGAAAGAAAAUACUACAAAAAAUAAAAAUUUUCUCGAGGCUUCUUUCCUCAAACUUUCAUCACCUUUGUCAAAGGAUUUCAAUAUUUUUUUUUAACCAUUUUCUAUUAUAUUUUCCUUUUUUUCUUCAUUUUUUUUAAUGGGAUCCAAAUAUUAAAAAAAGAAAAAUCAUUUUUAAAUAUUUUUUUCCCUUUUAUUGGUACUUUCCAAGAGCCAAGCAUAACUUCACAAAAUUGAUAUGAUUGGAUUAUNNNNNNNNNNNNNNNNNNNNNNNNNNNNNNNNNNNNNNNNNNNNNNNNNNNNNNNNNNNNNNNNNNNNNNNNNNNNNNNNNNNNNNNNNNNNNNNNNNNNUGAUAGAAGUUGUUACAUAGAUCAGAAAAUACAGAGUAAGAAGAAGAGGAAUUGUCUUAUUAUCUUAAGAGUACAUCGGUGUGGGUAUUUAUAAGCUAGGUGAGGUGGUUGGGUGAGUUGGUUUGGGAAUGGUUACACGGUUGUUCAGUUACAACUGUGGGAGAGGAGGUUAGGUUAGAAUCUGUUUGGUUAUCAUCCCCCCUCAAGCUCAUAGGCGUGGAGGUGACUGUGAGCUUGCUUCGUAAGCUACAAAAUUGCGAAAUAGAAAAAUGUUUGGUUAGAAUAUCAACAAGUUGAUCAGUGGACGACACAUAGCAUAUUUGAAGCUCUUGUCGCAACACCUUUUCCCUGAUAAAGUGCAACUCUAAUUCGAUGUGUUUGGAACGAGAAUGAAAGACCGGAUUGGCAACAAGAUGAGCUGCACUUUGAUUAUCACACCAUAAGACUGGUGGAGAAGUGGGCAAGCAAAGCUUCUGAAGAAGGGACUGAAUCCACACUAGCUCAGCCGUGAGGGAGACUAAUCCUCGGUAUUCAGAUUCAGCACUGCUCUUGGAGACUAAGUGUUGUUUGGAGGAGGACCAUGAGAUGAGAUUUGAGCCGAGGAAGACACAAUAUCCGCUGGUGCUUCGGCAAUCAUCCGGACAGGAGGCCCAGUCAGCAUCACUAUAUCCCUGAAGCUCCAUAGAAGUGGAAGGUUGAAAAUGAAGACUAAGAGAGAUGGUGCCCUUUAAAUAACGAAGAAUGCGUUUGACAGCCAACUAGUGAACAUCAAAGGGCUUGGCCAUGAAUUGACAAGCUUUGUUCACGGCAAAAGCAAUAUCAGGCCGAGUGAGAGUGACAUACUGUAAAGCUCCCACUAUACGACGAUAUUCUGAGGGAUUUGGGAGAUGAACACCAUCAAACUGAGAUAAUGUGCGUCCAAGGCUGCCGAGUGUAGGGGCUGGUUUAGAAGCCUCCAUCUGAGUGCGGUGGAGCAAGUCAGCAAUAUAUUUUUGUUGAUUGAGAUCCAAAACCGAGCCCUGCUGUUGAGCCUGAAUGCCCAAAAAAUAUGAUAAAGGGCCAAGAUCUCUGAGGGCAAAUUUGUCAUGGAGAUAGGAAAUGAAAUGGGAAACCAGCUUGGGAUUACUACCAGUAACCAAGAUAUCAUCCACGUAUACAAGAAGAAUAAGAAUGUCAGAAGCGAUAUGGUGAAUGAAGAGAGAAGUGUCUGCCCGAGAUGAUUGAAAGCCAUAAUCAACCAAUGCAACUCGAAGCUUCUGAAACCAAGCUCUAGGGGCCUGUUUCAGGCCAUAAAGAGCCUUGUGUAAUUUGCAAACAUAGUGAGGAUAUUUGGGGUGGACAAACCCUUGAGGUUGAGCAAUAAAAACCUCCUCUUGAAGGUCCCCAUUAAGGAAUGCAUUUUCCACAUCUAAUUGACGAAUUGGCCAUUGAAAGGAAACUGCCAAGGCAAGGAUGAGGCGUAUGGUGCAGGCUUCACAACUGGACUGAAGGUGUCAAAGUAAUCCACUCCCGGAGUCUGGGUGAAGCCUUAAGCAACCAGCCUAGCUUUAUGCUUUUCUACUGAGCCAUUAGGGAGAUAUUUUAACUUGUAUAUCCAACGGCAACCAACAAUGUGUGCUGAGGGCGGAGGAGGAACUAGACUCCAAGUGUGGUUGCGAAGAAGGGCUUGAUAUUCAUGUUGCAUAGCCUGAACCCAAGGUUCACUCUUAAAGGCCUGACUGUAAGUGUGAGGCUCACUUGUUGUCUGCAUAAGAAAGCUCUUUUUCUUAUGAAUUCCAGAUUUUGCCCUAGUCACCAUAGGGUGGGUGUUGAGAGGUGAAGGAGAAGAGGAAGGUGUAGGAGAAGGAGUGGGUGAAAAUGGGACCUGAAGUAGUGGUGGAAGAGAAUCUGAAGUGGAAGUGCAGUCGGUACUUGAAGUAGGGAUAGGAAAUGACACGGUUGGGGGUGAAGAUGUAGAUAAGAAAGGUGGAUUUAUUAAGGCAGACGUGAGAGGAGUGUGUUGUGGCAAGGGUAAAGGAGCAGGUAUUGACUGAAAUGGAAAAGAGGAUUCAUGAAAGAGAACAUCUCUGGAUAUGUAUAGACGACUAGUGGAGACAUCAAGACAAAUGUAACCUUUGUGAGCUGAGGCAUAGCCAAGAAACACACAAGCAGUAGAUCUAUAGGAGAGUUUGUGGUGAUUAUAAGGUCUUAAGGAGGGAAAACACAAGCAGCCGAAAACUCUGAGAUGAUGAUAAUUUGGAAUUUUAUGAAAAAGAACUUGUAGAGGAGAUUGAAAAUUGAGGAGUUUAGUUGGUAGGAGAUUGAUGAGAUAGACUGAUGUUUGAAAGGCAAAUGACCAAUACUUUGAAGGUAGGAAGCUUUGAGCCAGAAGGGCCAUGCCUGUUUCAACAAGAUGGCGGAUUUUCCUUUUUGCCCGACCAUUUUGUUGGGGUGUAUGUGGACACGAAAACUGAUGAACAAUUCCAUGAGCUUCAAGGUAAGGUUUAAAUGCUAUGAAUUCCCCACCAUUGUCAGAUUGAAUGCAUUUUAUGGUGGAAUUUAAUUGGUUUUCAAUCAUUUUUCGAAAGGUAAUGAAAGUGGAGAGGGCCUGGUCCUUGGUGGAGAGAAAAUAAAUCCAGGUAUACCUGGAAUAAUCAUCAAUGAAAAGAAGAAAAUACCGUGCACUUGAUGUGGAAGGAGAAGGAGCAGGACCCCAUAAGUCAGUGUGAAUAAGAGCUAAGGGUUGGGAUGCAUGAGAAGAUGACAAAGAAUAAGGUAAAGAAUGAGACUUAGCCAGUGGACAAAUUUUACAUGGAGCAAUUUUAUUAAUCUGAAAUGAAACAGAAGGAUUACAAAAGGCUAAAGCCUUGGAAAGAAUAGGAGCUGCUGGGUGUCCAAGUCUGGAAUGCCAAAUUGCACCAGGAGUGAGAGCAGGAAUGGAGCUUGUAGACACAAAAGCAUGAGUAGAUGAUGAAGAAGGAAACUCAUACAGACCAUCCUUAAGCCAUCCCUUGAGAAGUGUCUGCUUAGUGACCUGAUCUUUGACAAAGAAAUGGGUUGAAUGAAACUAAAAAAAGACAGCAUUAUCAAUGCAAAAUUUGGAAACACUGAUGAGGUUAGUGGAGAGUUGAGGAACAUGAAGAACUUGAUUUAAGCCAAAGAUCUUGGAAUGAAAGAAAAAUGAUUUGUUACCUGUGUUUAGGAUGGGUAAGGAAUGACCAUCAGCAAUGGUGACCUGAUCAGCACCUGAGUACGGUUGAACAUGAGAGAGAGUCUGAGCAGAAUGACUGAGAUGGUGGGUAGCUCCAGUGUCAAAGAACCAAGAAUCUUGAUGAUCUGGUGCUAUAGUAAGCAUGGCUUGUAAUGGAGAAGAGUCUUGUGAAGAAGAUACACCAUUGGUUCCUUGAUAGGUGAUGUCAAAACGGUGAUAACACUUUACAACGGUGUGUCCAAAUUUACCACACAAUUGGCAUUGAGGGCGAGUAGGGAGGUGAGGAGGUCUGUGAGGAGCAGAUGAGGAAAAUCUGUUAGCAGGUCUGUUAUGAGGUCUGUUAUGGGGUCUGGUAUGAGAAAAUGGGACAUGUUGGCGAUUUCCUGAGUAAUGAGAUUGGAAUCGGGGUUGAGGAGAUUGGAAUCUGGGUUGAUGAGGUUUGGGAUGUUGGGUGGAAGGAGUAGCAGCUAUGUGGGCAGCCGCAAAUGGCAGGUCUGCAGAUGAGGUAUGCUGAUGGUUUAAACGUUGCUCAUGGGUAAGCAGAAUGUUGUGGAUGGAGUGAAGAGAAAGAUCGUCUUCACGGGCUGUUAAGGAGGCCACAAUAGAGUUGUAUUCAGAACCCAGUCCUCCAAGAAGUUGCAGGAUAUGAUCAGUUUCCUUAACAGGCUCCCCAAUAGCAGCAAGAUUAUCAGAAAUAGUCUUGAUCUUGAGAAUAUAUUCUAGCAUAGGAUCAGCCCCUUUCUUUGCUGUCUGAAACUCAAGACGAAGCUGUAGAAUACGAGCCUUGGAUAAGGCAGAAAAUAUUUUGUGUAGAGCCAUCCAAGCAUCAUGGGAGGUCUGAAACCCAACGAUUUGGCCCAUAAUAUCUGGUGUUAACGUGGAAUACAACUAGCUAAGAACCAUGCGAUCGAAACGUCUCCAUUGCACAAAAUCAGGAUUGAGUUCGCCAGUAUGGAGCUCUUGAGGCAGGCAUGGCUUGGUGCCGUCAAUAUAUUCUUCAAAGCCAUUAGCGUAAACUACAUUUUCGAUCUGGGUUUUCCAGAGAAUGUAGUUGUUAUGGUCAAGUUUGAUUGGGAGGACAUGGUUGAGGGAUAAAGAAACGAGGCUGGAGGUUGAAGAAGAAGGUCAAUGAAGAUCAGAAGAGUGAGUAGAUGACGGCAUCUUGAAAGAAAAAAAAAAUCAAGAAAACAAAGCUAGCUCUAAUACCAUGAUAGAAGUUGUUACACAGAUCAGAAAAUACAAAGUAAGAAGAAGAAGAAUUGUCUAAUUAUCUUAAGAGUACAUCGGUGUGGGUAUUUAUAAGCUAGGUGAGGUGGUUGGGUGAGUUGGUUUGGGAGUGGUUACACGGUUGUUCAGUUACAACUGUGGGAGAGGAGGUUAGGUUAGAAUCUAUUUGGUUAUCAACUUGAACUUAUAAUAUUGCGUACCUUCAACAUAUCAAUCAGACUGGGUGAGUACUAAUUAUGAAUAGACAAAAGCUAAAGGACAGAACGCUCUUACAUGAGCUCCCAAGGCAUUUCCUUAAAGUCAAAUGAAAUAAGAAUGAAUGAGGGGAGAAAGAAAUGUGCAGAAAAAUAAAUUUUAUAUUUUGUCUCUCUCUUCAAUUUUUGAUCUAGUCCUUACUGAUACGUACAUUAAAGAGCAAUGGUAAUAACUCUUAAAAAGGAAACGAAGUUACUUAAGAGAAGAUUUUGGAGACUGAUUUUUGAUGGGCAUAAUCCCUGUGAUAAAGUCAUGCAUCAUGUUAAAUUAGUUGUCCAUUUUUUGGUCUUUUUUUUUAUGUGUAACUUUGUACAUCAUUGGGUAUGGUAUGCUUGAAAUUGAUUAGCUUGAUAGUGAUGGGUCCGGGGGCAAAUGCCCCCUUAAAUUUUUUUAUUAUUUUUUAAAUAAAUGUCUUUAAGAGGAGGGAAUUGUUUCAUUACCACUAGUCUAUAAAUGUUUUUUAUUUAAUUUUUGCCCCCUCCCCCUAAAUUAAGAGUUACAUGUUGCCUCCCCUCAAGCCAUUUGUAGGCUCCGCCACUGAGUUCAAUGAUUUUCAACCUCAUCAAGUUUGCAAGUGGAAUAAGAUGAACUUCAAGCUUAAAAGAAAGUGGUAAAAGAAUGUCAAGGCAUGGAUUUGGUUAACAUGUCUGCAAUUUGGAGGGAGGAAUGAAUAGUAUAUUAUUCAUAUAGGAAGUUUUUCUUUUCCCAUAUAAAAGAAUAAUCAAACUAGAUAUGUUUAGAACGAACAUAAAAUAUGAGAUUUAGAAUCACACAAAGAUCACCCCAAUGUUAUAAUGAAGUAGUUGUAGGUUUUUUUUCUAGAGUGAUGUCAAGUUGCAGUUAAGUUGAUGCUCCCAACUAGACUAUUUAACUCAUAAGAUUAAACUCAAAUUAAAUUUAACUUAAAAAUUAUUUACAAAAGUAUUGAGAAGCGAGGAGUCCUUUGGACUUUCAUCCUUUCGCGAUAUAGCCAUCAAUUAAAUUGACAUAACUUCAAUUAGUUACAAGUAUUCUUAUUUAGAGGGUUUUCAACACAAGCACAUCUUAACCAAAUCCAAUCUCUCAUAUUUAUGAGAUGGACCUCAUAUGUUAUCCUUGAAGCCCCUAUUACUUAUUUUCUUGUUAAAUCGCAUCAUUAAGAGGCUUAAUAAGGGUUGCCUCAAAUCAAAGUAAGGUUCAAUUAGUUGCAGUGAUCAGUUAGAUAGUUCAAGUAGUUACGAGCAGUUAGAUAGAUCAAGUAUAAAAGCAUAAGUGUAAAGAACAAGUUUUUAGAUUUUUAAAAGAAAUAUAUUCAAUAGUUUAGUUAUAAAAUCCCUCACUAUAUUCAGUAGUUCAGUUCCACAAUCUCAACUUCUCAUUAGGGUCCAUGCAUGCAUGCAUGCAUGGUGUCACUUUCACCGAGAUGAUAUAAAAUAAUGCUUUGAUUCAGCAUGGCCUUAUAAAAAUAUAGUACUUUGUCAAUUUGGCUUGUAAAAAUUGGCUGACAUUGGUACAAAGAGAGAAAAUUAAAGUUGAAGAAAAAAAAGUCACGGGGCCAUGUUUAGGAUUAGGCCUUCUGCUGGUGUCCUUCCCUUCCGUUCAUUGGAAAAGAAAGAGUUUUGCAGGAAAAAAAAAAUGGAGAAAGACAAAAGGGUUGAUAAAACACAUAUCAACCCUUUGUUUGUAAGCAUUUUCCCAAGGACCUCCGGAUUCCUCUGAUAAUUCAUUUUUUUCUUUUUGUCUUAAUAAGAAAAUUAAAUAGAUAAUCAAAACAAGUAUAACAAAAUAUUAAUAAUUCUGGUAGGUUGAUCCCAAAGGGAAAAAAAAAAUAGAAACAUUGUUCUUCUAAAAAUUUAAUUAAAUGUUCGUUGCAUAAUAGAUAGGAAAGGAACAAAUCUUGUUUGCAAAAUCAUCUUCAAUAUAUUUCCCUUAUUAAUGAGAUAUGGAUAUAUCUGAUAAUGAAUUAAGAAAUGUUUAUAUAUCCACUAAUAAAAAUAGUGAUAUUUGGAUUGAAGGUAGAAGUGGUAAUUUGUGUUGAUGAUUGGUGUUUAUGUUGUGUUAGAACCUAUGCAUCAUAUUAUAUAGGUCAAUUCAAACUCGACAUAGUUAAUAAUAUUGCUAAAAACAUAAACUCAAAUAUUAGUUGAUCGUUAAAUAAGUAAUAUGUUGUGUAACACAUUUAACCUAUUUAAUGAUUAGAUUCUUCUAUUUAAUAAUUAGGCUAAGUAAUAUAUAAGUUUUUAUGAUUAAAAUAUCCAUGAAAUACAUUUAUGAUUCAAUUGACCUAUUUAUUUAAAAAUAAAUUUAAAAUGAGUUAAAUAGUUUAAAAUUAUAAUUAGAUUAAUCAAUCAAAUUAUUAAAUGGAACAAUUCGAGUCAAAUUUGUAUUAUGCGAUUGUUGAUCCGAAAACUGCUCAUUUAUUAAAUGAGUUAUAGAAGUCGACACGAUUAUGAUUAAAUCCGAUUAUACUCCAGCAAAAUCCAUAAAAAAGCGUGUUAGGGUUGAUGUAUCAAACUUUGCCACUCGGCCCUAAUUCAGGACAUCCAAGUCGUUAAUAAAUCUGAAGGAACAAAUCUUAGUGUUUGGGUGUAACAAGCUCUUAAGUUUGAGGAUGAGUCACCCAAAUAAUGGCUCUUAGAAUAAGUUCAUGUGGUGUGAUGUUGAAUGCUAUAAAAGGUUUGGUCUACCCUCAUUAAACACCGAUUGGUUUUCAAAUGAGAUGGUUCAACACUUUUUUUAAGCAAUCUAACAUGGUGUUAACUUUUUUUCAAGGGAAAAGAGAUCUGAUUGAUAAGAUACUGAGCAAUAUAAUUUUGAAUACAAACACAUUUAUACAUAUAAGAUGUUGGAAGUGUUGAACAACUUCAACAUCAGCUGCAUAAAAUUUCUGCAACAAAUUCUUCAAUGUUCUUAUCAGAGCUUCCACCUUCAUUUACUGCCUCUUUAGCCAACUCCUUCCACCUCUCAGCAUUCCUUUUCAUCUCAUUCCCUCGCUCUCCCUCCAUGAUUUCCUUAAUGCACAUCUCUAUUUCCUGUCUCUUAACAAUCCCCUUUUCAUCCGCCUUAACUCUAACCCCAACCCGCCAUACAUCCUCAAUAAACUUAGCAUUAGUUGUUUGGUCGGAAAACUGAGGCAUCGCUACCAUUGGCACUCCCAAGCUCAGUGCCUCCAGCGUUGAGUUCCAUCCGCAAUGAGUGAGGAAACACCCAACUGCUUUAUGUGCCAAAACUUUCAGUUGAGGGCACCAACUCACAACCAAACCCUUCCCAGAUGUCUCCUCUACAAAAUUGUAGGGGAACUUUUUCUCUUCCAAUUCUCUGACUACCCACAGGAAAUGGCUGUUGCUCCUCUUCAGGCCCCAUGCUAGUUCCUCCAUCUGCUCCUCUCCCAGUGAUGCCACGCUCCCAAAUGAUACAUAAACAACCGACCCAAUUUCCUUUGUGUCUAGCCAUGUAAUGCAGGUGUCAAUAUUCUGCUUGAAAAGGCUGAGACCGUAGUCUCUGUCAUGCUCCAACCUUUUGUCUAAGUACAUCGAAGGAACAGUUGGUCCUAUUGUCUUGACUGGCCGUUGGCUGUCCAUCCAGUUCAUCACCUAAUGGAAUUUAAGUGGAAAGGUGAAUUAGAAUCAAACUUGUUUUACAAGGUAGCAAAGUUGGUUGUUGAUUGAUAGUAAUUCAUUUGGGUGUCUUCAUUGUGAUGUGGCCUUUUCAUCUAGGCAUUAUUCAAUAUCAUUUUGUUCCUGUCACUUUUAGUUUUCAGACUUUCAGUAACAAUGUCUACGUUCAAAUGAAUGCUAACAAGUGUAAGCUAAUUAAGUAGCCAGGCAGGCAGGUCAUGAUGUUUAUACAAUAUGUAAGUAUAUGUACAGGGUUUAUAAAAAUUACCUCAUCUUCCAACUUGGUGAAAGUGUUGAACAAGAUCCACUUCACUUUCUGAAAAUUUGAAAAUUGAUUCAACAAGAGGUUCAGUAAAGCAGCGUCCGAUCCCUUGUCACUAAUGAAUGAUGGAAGAUCAUUGACAUGAAAUAGUGGCAUGGAAGGCAAUGCUACCACUGACCCUUCUAAAGGACUGCUGAAUGCCCUUUGAUUAAAAUGGUAAUAGAUGGCAGAAACAGCACAUGAUUGAGUGAAGAAAGAAGCCCCAUGUAGGCCUUGUCGUUCAGCCACAUCUUGUGCCCAUGGCAAAAUCGAAUCGUACACAAGGAUUUUAGCGGGAUGGUUGGACCUACUGUGUUGCUCAAUGAGCUCAACCAAGCUUUGUGAAGCUGCUAUUCUAUAGCGCUCCAAAGAGUCCUCAAUACUUUCUGCUUUGCGUUGGUCAAACCCUUCACAAAUGAUCUCAAUGUUGAUGGAGCUAUCUUGGGCAUGCAUGGACUUGCUAAUGGAGCUUGUUGUGAUUAAUAGUGUAACUUUGAGACCUUUGGAGGCUAAGCGCUUGGAGAAUUGGAACAUUGGGUUUAUGUGACCCUGUGAAUGGAAAGGAAGGACCAUGAUAUGUGUUUCACUGAGUCUUUUGUCGCUCUCCAUUUUUCCUCCAAAACUAUCUUUCUCUCUUCUUUAUAACCAGGCCAGAUAGAGAAGAUGGUAUUUAUAAAGUUAUGCUGGAAGGCCUGAUCUUACAACAAUCAAAGGCUAUAGGAAAGUGGCAAAUUAAUGUGACUCAUUUUUCUGUCUUCAAGCUUUUAUCGAUCUCUACAGAACCAACAGCACCCCGUUUGUAGGUACAUGUAAACGAUAUAGACAGGAAGAAUCUAUGUUGGGGCGGCAACUGACCCUUUUGCAAAAAAUACUAUAGGGCAUUUAACAUUUCAUUGUUUCUUUAAUGAAAUAUGGUCCGGAGAUUCAUGGUUGAAGUUUUUAGGGGAAACAACUACCCUUUUCAUAUGAUGUUUGACUGGUAGAUCAAAGGCUCUUUCGAAGAAGAGAAGUUGGUGAAAGGCGCUUUUCCUCAUUUGUAUUGUGUUGUAACUUAUAAAUCCUCAUAUGUAGGAACCCGGCACAAUUUAAGGGUUUUUUUUUUUAACCAUCAUCAGCUUUAGCACAAAUCAACUCAAUAUACAUCGUUGGCUGAUCGUUACCUAAUUAAACUUUGAGGCAAAUAAAAAGCUUAAUAUGAUAUUGGGGGCUUCACUUUCCCCCACAAAUCAAAAACCAAAUAGAAUCUAUCCUCAAAAAAAUCAAAACCAACUAUAAUCUUCCCUCAAACAUCCAAGCACUUCAUGAAAGCCCUGGCGUUUUUAAGAUGCUUUCAGAUUCGAUCUCUAGUGUGAGGCCUUGGCAUUCUGCAUCAUCAACCGAGACUAAGAAUGUAAGAAGAUUAAGAUAGUAACCCAACGUAUUGAACAACUUGAAUCACGCACUAUGGUUGAACAACAAUGAGUUACUUAUAUCAUGAUGGCUUCAGCAUAAUGAGUGAAGAGGUUUUGAGUAUGACAGUAGGAAUAGAAAUUGAAUACCAACUCUUGUAUUCCCUUGAAGAAUACUUGCUUCCCAUGACAAAAGAAAGGGAGGACAAGGACAUAACUCCCUGAAGAAGGAAUCACUUUCUAUGGAAGAAUAUUAAAGGAAGGAAACAGGCACUCAAAGGAGAAGGUAAAAUAAUCUGUCAAACCUGUGGCAAAGCUAACCAUAGUGCUAUAAAUUACUGGCACAGGUAUGACUAAGCAUAUCAAGCAUAUGAUAUCCCACAAGCCUUAGCUAUAAUGAAUGUAAAUGACUAGAAUGCUCCAAGGUAACAUGCUUAAUAACUGAAAACAUCUUAUUAUGAACGAGAAGAAUUUAGGUUGGUAAUGGAGAAUGUUAAAAAAUUUCACAUGAUGGUGGUGUCUAUUUGUUUACCUCUCAUGGUGAUUUAAGCUAAAGGAACUUCUUAUAUAUGGUUCCCAAUAUGAAAAAGAAUCAUGUUGUCAAUGCAUAGGCCAACGUCUUACAACAAAUAAUGCUUUAAUUUGUUUUUAAUUCUCAUCCAUUGGUUUUUCAAUUAACGAUCACAAUCAAAUGAUCUUAGUGAAAAGCCAUAAAAAGGUUCAUCUUUGUGCCUUGGAUGACAAUAUAUGGACAUGAGACAUUAAGUGGAAUUAAUUAAGAGUGCACUUGACGAAAUAUCUUUUUGAAGUGUUUUCAAUUAAAGUAUUUUUUUUAUAAGUAUUUUGAGAAAAUUACAUAUCAAGUAUUUAUUUAACUAAAAAACACUACAAAUAAUUUAUUAACUUUUUAAAAGUGUUUCUUCAAUUUUGUCAAACGUUUUUUUUUUUUUCUUUAAAACACUUUUUAUGUUAAAAAUAUUUUUUUAGAAAACACUAUCAAAUGAAUCAUAAAUCUAUUUAACAAAGCCUCCUACCAUAUAUAACACCAAAUUAAGAUUAGGUCACCCCUCACUCUAAGCUUUUAAAAUUUUGCAAACUAAGAAAGUCAUAAAUCUAGCUCUCUAGUUAGACUAAUAAACCCUCACUUUGUGUUAUUUAUACACAGAUUUAUACAACAAACUUAGAUAGAGUUUAGAAAGCUUUUGUUUGAUUUUUCCAAAAGAAUUUCUUCCGAUAUGGAGCCACCCAACAGUUCACCCUUAGUCCAAGAUUUUAAAAUUUUGCAAGCCAAGAAAGUUAAUUAUAGGUAUCUCUAGUUGGACUAGUGUAUUAGCUAGUUGUCAACCUAGAAAGAGUUGCAAGCUUCUGUUUGCUCUGUCCAGUAAACUAAAAUCUCAAAGUUUGCCUUGGGACAUGUAAAAUACACUAUGAUUUGUGGGAACUUGUUUCAAUCGCUUUAGUGCAGGAUUUUCAAUAUUAUGCCACUCCUAUUGAUGAUUGCUUGUUACAAAUGGCUAUAUACCUAGAAAAAAAGUUCAGAUUUUUAUGAUGGUUUCUAGCAUUCCAAGGCUCAUUGAAAAUGAUCAACUUAAAAGGAAAGUGCAAAUAUAUAUAAAAAUAAUUGUGGUGGAUAAUCCCAAUCAACUUGUUUUUAAGAACCUUUAAUUGCACUAAUUUCUCAUUAAUUUUUUGUCCAGGAACACCAUGUAGCAGAAUGGAACUGUGGAACGCAAGCACAAGCUUGUAGUUGAAACUGGUUUGACAAUGCUCUUUCAUGCUAAUCUUUCAUAAAAUUUGUGGGUAGAUGCCUUAGUACUCUUGACAACAAUGGUUUUUGAAGAAAAUGUUUAUCCUUAUGCUAAUCAAUACUUGGUUGUCCAAAAGGUCGGUCCCUAGACGUCUUCAAUUUCUUCCAAAAUUUGCAUGCGAGUUGUACUUAACCUCGUCAUUUUUCCUGAUCUUGAACCUAAGGUGUGUGUCUACACAUUCUGCAGGACUACAGUCAUCACAAGCCAUUUCCACCAAUGCUACUUCUGCACAAAAGAAAGCCAAGGUUCACAUAAAGAUUGCUGUGAUGAAUAUUAACUCCCGCUGAUGAACUUUUCAAGUCUAACCUCAAAAUACCAGACUGGUUUAAUGCCAUGAAUGAGUAGUCCGAUGACUUGCAGUGAAAUAAUAAUACCUGAACUUUCAAGUCUCAUGCUAACACCAUCAUCCUUAAUGAUCUUCAAAACAGAACUGAAAGCAAAUGCUACUGCUGGCAGAUGCUAAGCAAGAAUAGUUACCAGAGGCUUUACUCAAAUCCUGAAACAGGAUUUUGAUGAAAUUUCCAAUUAAUUUAGUUAUGAAACUUGAACACUAUUCUUUUAAUACUCUUUAUAGCUCAUAAGGAGAAUGUCCACAUGGAGAAAUCUCCAGAAAAAGCAUUUCAUUUUAAGCAUCUAACCACUGGUGUUGGUAGUCAUGGUUUGAGAGAUAUCUGGUCAUUUUCCAAUAAGCGUAUGUCCAAUAUGACUGCUGUAUCACUUGGAGCACACUCCCAGAGGGUUUUAGUAUUGUAGGGAGGAGUUUCACUUUAGCGCAAUGUGUUCAGUGCAUGUUUCCCUGUUUACAUAUUCUUGAAAAUGUUUGUUAUUUUCUUUUUUUGCUUUAUUAAGCAAUCUAAUUCUGUCAACCUUUUUUCUCUCACUCCUGAAACCAAUCCUUUCAAAAUCUUAAACACAUAAUGUAAAAGAUGUUGAAAGAUGAACAAUAGGAAGAUUACUGUUAAUUUAGAAAUUUGAAAAUCAACUAAAUUAAGCUGAGACUUUUUCCACACAGAUGAGUACCAAGGAAGUAGAUGGCCAAAAAUAAAGGGACAGCGAAUAUAACUGAAAUGGAAGUACAGAUUGAAGAAUUUGAAGAAAAAUAUGAAGAAUUUGAAGACAAAAUAUGGAGGAACACCUCAAUUCAUUCUGUGAUACCUCUCUUUACAAUGAAUGAAAGCAUAAAUAAAUAGCCUACGGAUAUGAGACAAUUCCGGAAUGGAAUUUCCCUUACAUGGAAAGUGAAUAAACUCUUACAUGGGAAGUGAAUAAACUACUCUUACAUGGAAAGUGAAUAAACUACUUUGCUAGAAUUACUCCUAAAUAUAUAAACUACUCUUACAUGGAAAGUGAAUAAACUACCUUGCUAGAAUUACUCCUAAAUCAAUUAUAAUAAAGGCUGUACAUUACACUAAUUAGGGAAGUAAACAGAGGAUGCUGGCUUGAUUUCCAACACUCCCCCUCAAGCCGCGUUGUAGAUGUUGAUCAUUCCAAGUUUUUCUGUCAGAUCUUUGAAGUUAACUCGAGCAAGAGCUUUUGUGAGAAUGUCAGUCGUUUGACAGUUUGUUGGAGUGUAGCUGACUUUGAAAACUCCUUCUUCAAUCUUUUCCUUGAUAAAGUGUCGAUCUAUCUCCACGUGCUUAGUUCGAUCAUGAUGAACCGAAUUCUUAGCGAUACUGAUGGUAGCUUGAUUGUCGCAGUAUAACACCAUGGGAUGCUUGAAAGCUUCCUGAAUAUUCUGAGGAACUUGUAUCUCUGUGAUGCUAGAAGUGAAUGCACGAAACGUAGAUGAUAGCUUAUCAUAAGAAAUAAAAUUUCCAAUGGGAUGCUGAGUGCAUGAUCUAACUCCUUUCCUCCAAGCUAUGAGCAUAUUAAGAAUAUCAUUUUCUAACUCGGAAUCAACAAUACCAUCAGGAGCAUUGUUACCUGGAAGUUUGCUUGGAUUAGGACCCGGUUCUGCCUCAUGGGUUUGUUGAGAAAGUGUUCUUUCCUCCGUUUCCUCUUGGAUGUGCUCCUUAUCCCAUAAGUCAACAAUGGACUCGGGUUGAUUAAAUGACUCUGGAGGAAUGUGAUUUUCAGUGGUGAUGGGUGACUCACUGAAUGACUCAAGAUCCCAAAAUUGAUAUUCUUGAGUUGAAUUCUCCCCCUGAAUAUCGUUUUUGGGAUAGUAAGGCCGGGUUUCAAAAAAGGUGACAUCCAUUGAAUUGUAGAAUUUUCUUGUGACCGGAAAGUAACACUUAUACCCUUUUUGAUUUGAAGAAUACCCAAGAAAGAUGCACUUGAGUGACCUAGGAUCAAGUUUACUUCUAUGUUGUUGAUUGAUAUGAACAAAGACAGAGCACCCGAAAAUUUUGGGUGGGACGGUGGAGAUGAGACGAGUAGUCGGAAAGGAUUUUAGGAGUGUUUGACAAGGUGUUUGGAAUUUUAGUACCCUAGACGGCAUCCUAUUGAUGAGGUAGGCUGCCGUAAGUACAGCUUGCCCCCAGAAUAAUUUUGGAACAUUCAUGGAGAACAUUAGUGAUCUAGCCACCUCUAACAAAUGCCUAUUUUUCCUUUCAGCGAUUCCAUUUUGUUGUGAGGUAUCAACACAUGAACUUAAGUGAACUAUCCCUUCUUGUGCUAGAAAUUCUCCUAGAAUGGAGUUGAAAUAAUCCCUAGCAUUAUCAGACUUUAGAAUUUGUAUUUUUGACUGGAAUUGGGUCUGAAUCAUAUUUUUAAAAUUUUUGAAAAUUUGACUCGUUUCAGAUUUUUCUUUCAUGAGGAAUACCCAAGUUAAUCUAGUGUGAUCAUCUAUGAAUGAGACAAACCACCUAGUACCAGUUACAUUUUUUAUUCUUGACGGACCCCAGAUAUCGCUAUGAAUCAUUGAGAAUGGACUAGACUCUUUAUAGGGUUGAAUGGGAAAGUGAGACCGAACUUGCUUUGAUAAUUGACAGAUUUCACACUCAAAGGAUUUUGGAUUUUUAUUAAAUAAUGAAGGAAAUAAAUGCUUGAGAUACAUAACAUUUGGAUGACCUAAGCGAUAGUGCCACAACCUAAUUGCACUAUCGUUAUUUUGACAUGAAACCGAAAAAGAAUUACUACCAACUGUCAUUUGAGGUUGUUCUUGUGGAUCAUGGCGCUCCUUAAGGAUGUAGAGUCCAGAGCAUUCCUCAGCAUUGCCAAUCGUCUUCCCCGAAUCCAAAUCCUGAAAUUCACAGUGAGUGAAGGAAAAAUUAGUAAUACACCUCUUUUCCUUAGUGAGUUUACUAAUUGACAAUAGAUUACAGUCCAAGUUAGGAACAAGGAGAACAGAGUUGAGAGUAAGAUCCCUAGAUAGCACAACUGAACCUGUUCCAACAACCUUUGAUAGUGAACCAUCUGCUAUUCGGAUUGUUAAAUUAUUUGGACAUGAGCUAUAUGUAUCAAAAAUUGCCGCAUCUCCCGUCAUAUGAUCAGAUGCUCCUGAGUCCACUAUCCAAGGUUUUUUACGUUUCUUACCAGCAGUGAAGGCACUCAAAAAAUUACCUUUGUGAACCAAGGUUCCGGAACCAAUGACCUGGUUGGAAGAUGAGCCAGUUUGUGACUGUACUGACAAAAGAGGAGACAGUAGUUUCUGAAGCAUCUCCAUUUGCUUCUUAUUAAAGGGCUAGCUUCAGGUUGUGGCGAUUGUUCAUCGAUAGCCACAUGAUUGCCUCGUCCUUCUUUCUCAAGUGGUUGACGUGGCUUCCAAUCUACUGGCUUUCCAUGAAUCUUCCAGCAAGUUUCUCUUGAGUGUCCCGGCUUUCUACAAUGAUCACACCAAGGUCUACCUCCUUUAAUUUUUUGACGGUUGUCAAAAGGAGCGAAUUGAGUCUUAAGAGCCGAGCUUUCUGCCAUAUUCAGUUGUUGAUGGGAUCCCAUCAUGAGAUUUUUCCGACUUUCUUCGCGACGGACUUCAGAGAAUGCCUCUCUGAGGCUAGGUAGGGGUUUUACUCCCAUGAUUCUUCCUCUGAUUUCAUCAAGAUUUUUGUUCAAACCUAACAAAAAUUUAAACACACGUUUCCCUUCGACAAUCUUUUUAUACAAAAAACCAUCUGUAACACAAUUCCAGUUAUGAACCUCAAACGUAUCAAGUUGACGCCAUAGACGAGUAAGAGUAUUGAAAUAUUCAGUUACCAUAAGGUUCCCUUGACGCAAAUCGUGGAGGAUGCCUUCAAUCUGGAUGAUUUCAGAUGUGUUUUCCUUGUCUGAGAAAGUUUCUUUUGCAGUGUUCCAGAUUUCUUUGGCAGUAUCAAAUGACAGAAAAUUUUCACCAAUGUCAGCGGUCAUAGAGUUGACUAGCCAGGACAUGACCAUAUUAUUUUCUGCUAUCCACUUUUUGUAGGUUGAUGCUGUGGUUUCUGGUGCCGCCGAAGCUCCGGUGAUGUAGUCAUCUUUCUCCUUUCCCCGUAUAAACAUUAAUAUGGACUGAGACCAUUGCAAAUAAUUUUGCCCAUUCAGUUUAUGGGCUGUGAUUGGAAGAUGAGAGGUUUCCAUCUGAUGAGAGGAUGAAGAUGAUGAGAUGAUGAUAUCAGAAGUAGAGGAUGAUGAAUUGGUAGCCAUUCCAAAGGCUGGACCGUAUUUAGGCAUAAAUUAGAAGAAUAGAAUUGAGUAAAAAAAACUGACUAAAGAUGAAGACGAUGAGACAGGAUUAAACCUGCUCUGAUACCAUGAAGAAUUUGAAGAAAAAUAUGAAGAAUUUGAAGACAAAAUAUGGAGGAACACCUCAAUUCAUUCUGUGAUACCUCUCUUUACAAUGAAUGAAAGCAUAAAUAAAUAGCCUACGGAUAUGAGACAAUUCCGGAAUGGAAUUUCCCUUACAUGGAAAGUGAAUAAACUCUUACAUGGGAAGUGAAUAAACUACUCUUACAUGGAAAGUGAAUAAACUACCUUGCUAGAAUUACUCCUAAAUAUAUAAACUACUCUUACAUGGAAAGUGAAUAAACUACCUUGCUAGAAUUACUCCUAAAUCAAUUAUAAUAAAGGCUGUACAUUACACUAAUUAGGGAAGUAAACAGAGGAUGCUGGCUUGAUUUCCAACACAGAUAUUUUAAUGUUGUAUUUCAAUCUGAGCUGCAUAAAAGCUGCAACAAAUUCUUGAAUGUUCUUAUCAGAGCUUCCUCCUUCAUUUACUGCCUCUUUAGCUAACUCCUCCCAUCUCUCAGCAUUUCUUUUCAUCUCAUUCCGUCUCUCUCCCUCCAUGAUUUCGCUUAUGCGCAUCUCUAUUUCCUCUCUCUUAACAAUCCAUUUUUCAUCGGCCUUAACUCUAACCCCAACUUGCCAUACAUCCUCAACAAACUUAGCAUUAGUUGUUUGGUCUGAAAACCGAGGCAUUGCUAUCAUUGGCACUCCCAAGCUCAUUGCCUCUAGUGUUGAGUUCCAUCCACAAUGAGUCAUGAAACGCCCGACCGAUUUGUGAGCUAAAACUUCUAGUUGACAACACCAACUCCCAACCAAACCCUUCUCGGAUGUUUCCUCUGUGAAAUUGUCAGGGAGUUUUUUCUUUUCCAAUUCUCUGACUAACAACAUGAAGUGGUUGUUGCUCCUUCUCAGGCCCCAUGCUAGUUCCUCCAUCUGCUCUUCUCCCAGUGAUGCCAAGCUUCCAAACGAUACAUAAACCACAGAACCAAUGCCCUUUGUGUCUAGCCACGUAAUGCAGGUGUCAACAUUCUGCUGGAAAAGGCUGAGGCCAUAGUCUUUGUCAUCCUCCAACCUCUUGUCCAAGUACAUCGAAGGAACAGUUGGUCCUAUUGUCUUGAUUAAUGGUCUUUGGCUUGCCAUCCAUUUCAUUACCUAAUGGAAUUUAAGCAAGAAGUUAACAGAAUGAAACAAUUACUUAGCUAUCAUAUCAUGGAAAAUAAAGACUCCAAUUUAUGAAAUUAAGUAAAAUUGGUUACUGUUGGCCUUGCCUCAAAGGAAAAAACCUUUCAUCAUAAUGAAGCAAAGUUGAUUGUCGACUGGUGGUAAUACAUUUGGGUAUUAUUCCUCUCACUCUUUGUUCUACUCUACGAGGUUAAUUUCCAUAUUGAAAGCCGAUAAAUAGUGGUGGUUUCUGUAACAAUGUCUGUGCUACAGAUGUUAAUGCGUCCAAGUUACGUAGCUAGACUAGCAGAUCGUUAUGUUUGUAUUAUAUGUAGGUCUACAUACAGGGUUUACGAGAAGUACCUUAUUUUUCAACUUGUCAAAAGUGUUAUACAAUAUCCACUUCCCUUUCUUGAAAUUUGAAAACUGACUCAAGAUGAGGUUCAGUAAAGCUGAGUGGAGUGGGCUUUUUACAUUUGAUAAAAUGAUGGAAGAUCGUCGACACGUAAUAGUGGCAUGGAAGGCAUCAACAAUGUUGAUUCUUCUAAAGGAGUGUUGAAUACCCCUUGAUAGAAAUGGCAAUAGAUAGCUGAAACAUCACGUGAUUGAGUGAAGAAUGGAACCCCAUCAAGGCCUAGGUGUUCAUCUAGGUCUUGUGCCCACGGAAAAACCGAGUCAUAGAUAAGGAGUUUAGCAGGAUGGUUGGAUCUAUUGUGCUUCUCCAUAAGCGCGGUCACUAAUAUUCUAAAACGCUCCAGAUAGUCCUCAAUACUUCUUGUUGGAGUCUGUCAAACUCUUCAGAAAUGAUCACAAUGUUGAUGGAGCUAGUUUGGGCGUGCAUAGACUGACUAUUGGAAGUUGUUGCGAUUACUAGUGUAACCUUGAGACCUUUGGAGGCCAAACGCUUGGAGAAUUGGAGCAUCAGGUUUAUGUGACCUUGUGCAUGGAAAGGAAGGACCAUGAUAUGUGUUUCACUAACUCUUUUUUCACUCUCCAUUUUCCUCCAAAACGAUCUUCUUUCUUCUUUAACCAGGCCAGAUACAGAAGUCAGUAUUUCUAUAGUUGCAGAUGCUGAAAGGCCUAAUCUUCCAACAAUGAAAGGCCAAGAAAGUGGUCAUCUCAUGUGUCUGUCUUCUAGCUUUUAUCUCUUCAGAACCAGCAGCACCUUCAUUUUGUAGGUACAUGUAAACUAUAUAAAUUAGUAACAAUCUAUGUCGGGAGGGCAAUUGGGAUCGUCCUUUUCAAUUAGAAAAUAAAUUGGGAAAGGAAUUAGGAAAGGACCUUUUGCAAAAAUUAUUAUAUGGUAUUUUGACAUUUUAUCGGUGUUUCUUUCAUGAACUAAGGUCUCAAGGUUCAUGGUUUUAAUUUUAUUUAAUGAAUACAAGUACAACUACCCUUUGCAUAUGGUGUUUGACUGGCAGAUCAAAGGGCCCUUCCAAAUUAAGAAGAGAAGUUGGUAAAGGUGCUUUUCCUUGGAUGUGAAGUGGAGUCGUUGUCCAAUAUAGUUUUAAUCUUUCAGAAUGAUUACACUUUUGCUGGAUCUCAUCUUCUUGUUUGUUUCCCGCUCAAUCCUUCAGCACAAAACAUAUAUGGCAAUUCUCCUUUUUCUCAACUAACAAAUUCAUGGGGAAAAUCAUAGUCAUUAAUUACCAGGAAAAGAUCAUUUGAGUUCAAACUAUGUCAAAAUUUCACCAAAAGAAGUACAAGCUAGCUAGAGAUAUAAAUGGCCAAUCUCUUAAAAUUAAUAUUAAUCGAUACAAUUAGAAUUAGUUAUUAGUAAUUAGGUAAAGAACCAAUAAGUAAAAGUGGCUAACAUGAUUAACUUGAGACUUUUUACUUUUGUACACAAAAAAUUAACUCUCUCUUGGCAUAUCAAACUAAAACCUUGGCCAUUGAUCUUAUUCUAAUAUUAUAUAUCUUCCAUUUUCUUGUCAACUAAUUCUUCUUCUCUCCACUCCCAUACUUAUAGAGUCCCUAAUCCAUAUUGAUAUUUAUUAUAAUCAAAUUACGUACUAGAAUCAUAUUCUUUCCCUCUUCUUUAUUUUCAACCUCAUGCACUAUUGUAAGUUUUAAAAACUCAAAAGUAUGCAUAGAUAUAACAUGAUGAAACAAAGAGAUAACAUGAGUUAGUUUACAUAUAUUUUUAGGGGAUUGCAUGUUCUGGACUCAAAUAUUAGUUUUCUGCAUGCAUAAAAGAAAUAGAGUUUUGUAGAUGAUGUUUCCUUUCCAAAAGUGAAUUAGAAGAAACAUCUGGUGAUAUACUGUUAUUAGAUAAUGGAAUCCUGUUUUUUCUCGUAUUGGUACUGUGCGUGUGAAUCCUUCUUCAACGAGAAAGCGGAGGAUGACAUAAGGAAUCGUGCCUCUAUGUUUGUUUUGGACUAUUUAAUAGAAGAGAAACCUUACGUAAAUCUUUUAAGGGAUGAUGAGCAAAGGAUUUGUGGGAACUUGUUUCAAUCGCUUCAGUGCAGCAUUUUCAAUAUUAUGCCACUCCUAUUGAUGAUUGCUUGUUACACAUGGUUAUAUACCUAGAUAAAAAAUUCAGAUUUUUGUGAUGGUUUCUAACAUUCCAAGGCUUAUUGAAAAUGAUCGACUUAAAAGGAAAGUGCAAAUAUUGAAAAAUAAUUGUGGUGGAUAAUCCCAAUCAACUUGUUUUUAAGAACAUUUAAUUGCACUAAUUUCUCAUUAAUUUUUUGUCCAGGAACACCAUAUAGCAGAAUGGAACUGCAGAACAAAAGCACAAGCUUGUAGUUGAAACUGGUUUGACAAUGCUCUUUCAUGCUAAUCUUUCAUAAAAGCUGUGGGUAGAUGCCUAAAGUGUACCCUUCACACCUACGGUUUUUGAUGAAAAUGUUUAUCCUUAUGCUAACCAAUACUUGGUUUUCCUAAAGGUCGUCCGAUAUAUUCAAUUUCUUCCAAUUUUCAUGCAAGUUGUACUUAACAUGGCCCUUUUUCCAGAUCUUGAACCUAAGGUGUCUACACAUUCUGCAGGACUACAAUUUUCAUUUUAAGCAUCUAACCAAUGGUGAUGGUAGUCAUGGUUUGAGAGAUAUCGGAUCAUUUUCCAAUAAGCGUAUGUCCAACAUGACCGAUGUAUCACUUGGAGUAACCUUUAGUAUGUAGCUGUUAUAUGCUGUGGAGUACACUCCCAAAGGGUUUUAGUAUUGUAGGCAGGAGUUUCACUUUAGCGCAAUGUGUUCAGUGUAUGUUUCUUCUUGAAAAAUGUUUGUUUAUUUUCUUUUUUCACUUUAUUAAGCAAUCUAAUUCUGUCAACCUUUUUUCUCACACUCCUGAAACCAAUCCUUUCAAAAUCUUAAACACACAAUAUAAAAGAUGCUGAAAGAUGAACAAUAGGAAGAUUACUGUUAAUUUAGAAAUUUGAAAAUCAACUAAGUUAUGCUGAGACUUUUUCCAUACAGAUGAGUAACAUGGAAGUAGAUGGCCAAAAACAAAGGGACAGCGAAUAUAACUGAAAUGGGAGUACAGAGAUUUUAGUGUUGUAUUUCAAUCUGAGCUGCAUAAAAGUUCUGCAACAAAUUCUUCCAAGUUCUUAUCGGAGCUUCCUCCUUCAUUUACUGCCUCUUUAGCUAAUUCUUUCCACCUCGCAGCAUUCCUUUUCAUCUCAUACCCUCUCUCUCCCUCCAUAAUUUCGCUUAGGCACAUCUCUAUUUCCUCUCUCUUAACAAUCCCUUUUUCAUCGGCCUUAACUCUAACCCCAACUUGCCAUAUAUCCUCAACAAAUUUAGCAUUAGUUGUUUGGUCUGAAAACCGAGGCAUUGCUAUCAUUGGCACUCCCAAGCUCAGUGCCUCCAGUGUUGAGUUCCAUCCGCAAUGAGUCAUGAAACACCCGACUGCUUUGUGAGCUAAAACUUCUAGUUGACAACACCAACUCACAACCAAACCCUUCUCGGAUGUUUCCUCUAUGAAAUUGUUAGGGAGUUUUUUCUUUUCCAAUUCUCUGACUACCCACAUGAAGUGGCUGUUGCUCCUUUUCAGGCCCCAUGCUAGUUCCUCCAUCUGCUCUUCUCCCAGUGAUGCCAAGCUUCCAAACGAUACAUAAACCACAGAACCAAUGCCCUUUGUGUCUAGCCACGUAAUGCAGGUGUCAACAUUCUGCUGGAAAAGGCUGAGGCCAUAGUCUUUGUCAUCCUCCAACCUCUUGUCCAAGUACAUCGAAGGAACAGUUGGUCCUAUUGUCUUGAUUAAUGGUCUUUGGCUUGUCAUCCAUUUCAUUACCUAAUGGAAUUUAAGCAAGAAGUUAACAGAAUGAAACAAUUACUUAGCUAUCAUAUCAUGGAAAAUAAAGACUCCAAUUUAUGAAAUUAAGUAAAAUUGGUUACUGUUGGCCUUGCCUCAAAGGAGAAAAUCUUUCAUCAUAAUGAAGCAAAGUUGGUUGUCGACUGGUGGUAAUACAUUUGGGUAUUAUUCCUCUCACUCGUUGUUCUACUCUACGAGGUUAAUUUCCUUAUUGAAAGCCUAUAAAUCCUAUAAAUAGUGGGUGGUUUCUGUAACAAUGUCUGUGCUACAGAUGUUAAUGUGUCCAAGUUAAGUAGCUAGACUAGCAGGUCGUUAUGUUUGUAUUAUAUGCAAGGUCUAUAUACAGGGUUUACAAGAAGUACCUGAUCUUCCAACUUGUCAAAAGUGUUACACAAUAUCCACUUCCCUUUCUUGAAAUUUGAAAACUGACUCAAGACGAGGUUCAGUAAAGCUGAGUCGACUGGGCUUUUAACAUUGAUAAAUGAUGGAAGAUCGUCGACACGUAAUAGUGGCAUGGAAGGCAUGGAUACUGUUGAUUCUUCUAAAGGAGUGUUGAAUACCCCUUGAUAGAAAUGGUAAUAGAUAGCUGAAACAGCACAUGAUUGAGUGAAGAAUGGAACCCCAUCAAGGCCUAGGUGUUCAGCUAGGUCUUGUGCCCACGGCAAAACCGAGUCAUAGAUAAGUAGUUUAGCAGGAUGGUUGGAUCUAUUGUGCUUCUCCAUAAGCGCGGUCAAGCCUUGUGAAGCUAAUAUUCUAAAACGCUCCAGAUAGUCCUCAAUACUUUCUUCUUGUUGGCGUCUGUCAAACUCUUCAGAAAUGAUCUCAAUGUUGAUGGAGCUAGUUUGGGCGUGCAUGGACUGACUAUUGGAAGUUGCCGCGAUUACUAGUGUAACCUUGAUACCUUUGGAGGCCAAGCGCUUGGAGAAUUGGAGCAUCGGGUUUAUGUGACCCUGUGCAUGGAAAGGAAGGACCAUGAUAUGUGUUUCACUAACUCUUUUGUCACUCUCCAUUUUCCUCCAAAACGAUCUUUCUUUCUUCUUUAACCAGGCCAGAUACAGAAGUCAGUAUUUCUAGAGUUGCAGAUGCUGGAAGGCCUAAUCUUCCAACAAUGAAAGGCCAGGAAAGUGGUCAUCUCAUGUGUCCGUCUUCUAGCUUUUAUCUCUUCAGAACCAGCAGCACCCUCAAUUUUUAGGUACAUGUAAACCAUAUAAAUUAGUAACAAUCUAUGUCGGGAGGCCAAUUGGAUCGUCCUUUUCAAUUAGAAACUUAAUAAAUUGGGAAAGGAAUUAGGAAAGGACCAUUGGCAAAAACUAUUAUAUGGUAUUUUGACAUUUUGUUGGUGUUUCUUUCAUGAAAUAAGUUCUAGAGGUUCAUGGUUUUAAGCUUAUUUAAUGAAUACAAGUACAACUACCCUUCUCAUAUGGUGUUUGACUGGCAGAUCAAAGGGCGCUUCCAAAUUAAGGAGAGAAGUUGGUAAAGAUGCUUUUCCUUGGACGUGAUGUGAAGUUGUCCAAUAUAUUUUUGAUCUUUCAGAAUGGUUACACUUUUGCUGGAUCUCAUCUUCUUGUUCGUUUCCCUCCAUCUCUUUAGAAAGAGUCAUUAGAUAUCAUUCUGCUCAGUCCUUCAGCACCAACCAUAUAUGGCAAUUCCCCUUUUUCUCAACCAACAAAUUCAUGGGGAAAAUCAUAGCCAUUCAUUACCAGGAAAAGAUCAUUUGAGUUCAAACUAUGUCAAAAUUUCACCAAAAGAAGUACAAGCUAGCUAGAGAUAUAAAUGGCCAAUCUCUUCAAUUGAUACAAUUAGAAUUAGUUAUUAUUAGUUAGGUAAAGAACCAAUAAGUACAAGUGGCUAACAUGAUUAACUUGAGACUUUUUAUUGUUGUACACAAAAAAUUAACUCUCUCUUGGUAUAUCAAACUAAAACCUUGGCCAUUGAUCUUAUUCUAAUCUUAUAUAUCUUCCAUUUUCUUCUCAACUAAUUCUUCUUCUCUCCACUCCCAUAUUUAUAGAGUCCCUAAACCAUAUUGAUAUUUAUUAUAAUCAAAUUACGUACAAGAAUCAUAUUAUUUCCCUCUUCCUUAUUUUCAAUCUCAUCCAAUAUUGCAAGUUUUAAAAACUCAAAGUAUGCUUAGAUAUAACAUGAUGAAACGAAGAGAUAACAUGAGUUAGUUCACAUAUAUUUUUAGGGGAUUGCAUGUUCUGAACUCAAAUAUUAGUUUUCUGCAUGCAUAAAAGAAAUAGAGUUUUGUAGAUGAUGUGUCCUUUCCGAAAGAGAAUUAGAAGAAGCAUCUGGUGAUAUACUGUUAUGAGAUAAUGGAAUCCUGUUUUUUUUGCAUAUUGGUACUGUACAUGUGAAUCCUUCUUCAACGAGAAAGCAGAGGAUGAUAUAAGGAAUUGUGCCUCUAUGUUUGUUUUAAGGAUGAUGAGCAAAGGAUUCAAGCACUAAAACACUCCAUGCGUGAUUUCUCUUUCCUUUGGUUUAUAAACUCUCAAUGUAGAAACUAGAAUUGGACUAUGUUAGAUAUGGUUAACCAUCGGUUUCUUGUUAUCAAGAGGAUGAUUGUCUUUUUUUCUUUUUUUCCUUUUUAUUUUUUUUUUUAUUUUUAUUUUUUUGUCUUUGCCUGCCCAUCGUAUAUUUCCCAUAUGCCUUAGUUGCACCCCUUUUUUUUGUUCAGCGCUUGUUAAUAAAUUUAUCUUGCUAUUGUACAUCGUAACACUCAACUUCCUUGCUAGAAAUUAAUUGAAGAAUUCUAUUGUUCAACUCUCAUUCUUUUCAUAUAAUUCUUUGGACAAAUAAGUGCUAAAUGUUAGCAUCCAUGAAUUGGAACAGGGGGUUAAAUUCGAAUUUGGAUUCUUGUAGAGAGUAUUUAGAAAAUAAAAAAUGUUAAAGAAAAUGAUUUUUUUAAUAUUUGAGAAAGGAAGUUUCUUAUAUUUGAGAAUAAGAAAAAGGAGUCUUAAAAAAUUCUAAGAAAAAAGAAAAGGAGAAACCUAAAAUUUUUCUCCCUAAACAAUUUAAUUUUCUUUCCCUUGACUUUUCCAUUGACAAAUAAAAUAGAGAAAUUUCAUAUUGUUUUUGGUAUUUUUCCCGUUAAACUUUCUAAGAACUAAACAUGCAUUCAUAUCAUAGUGAACACCAGUCUCUAAAAGCAUAUAAUUAAUAUUCCACCUCGGUAUCACUAUUGAUACCAAUUAUUCCUUUUGGUGUGUUGCUGUUGUACAUAUGCUGAAAGUGAGUUCCUACACAGUUGAGAACUCUAUAUUCUUAACAAUUAUAUAUGAAAUUAGAUGAAGCCUUGGAGGCUAGGACCAUAUAUUAAGAUACAUCAAAUAUUAACAUGUCCAAAAGUGUUGAAGGAGAGGCAUCUUAUAUUUUUUGAAAAACAACCAAACAUUAAGCUUAAUCUCAAUAUAGAAGGUUGAAUUAACAACACAUUAUUCAUGUGAAAAUAAAAUGAGAUCAAGGAAAAGAGGUCUUCUUGGUGUACAUUAGAAUCAGCUUCUCACAAGGGCAACGAAUUCUUCAAUGUUCUUAUCAGAGGUUCCACCUUCAUUUACUGCCUCUUUAGCCAACUCCUUCCACCUCAAAGCAUUCCUUUUCAUCUCAUUCCCCUUCUCUCCUUCCAUGGCUUCCCUUAUACACGCCUCUAUCUCCUCUCUGUUAACAAUCCCCUUGUCAUCCCCUUUAGCUCUAAUCCCUACUCCCCACACAUCCUGCACAAACUUAGCAUUAGUUGGUUGAUCUGAAAAGUGAGGUAUUGCAAUCAUUGGCACUCCCAAGCUCAGAGCCUCUAGAGUUGAGUUCCAUCCACAAUGAGUCAUGAAGCACCCCACAGCUUUGUGAGACAAGACUUCAAGUUGAGGACACCAACUCACAACCAGACCCUUUUCAGAAGUCUCUUCUAGAAGAUUGCCGGGGAGCUUUUCCCGUUCAGAUUCUCUGACUACCUACAGGAAGUUGGUGUUGCUCCUCUUAAGGCCCAAUGCCAGUUCCUCCAUCUGCUCUUGUUCCAGUGAAGCCCAGCCCCCGAAUGACACAUAAACCACGGAGCUGAUACCCUCUGUGUCUAGCCAUGUGAUGCAGGUGUCGUUGGUCGAUUUGAAAAUGCUGAGGCCGUAGCCUUUGUCCUGAUCCAAUCUAUCAUCUAAGUAAACUGAUGGGAGGGUUGGUCCUACUGUCUUGAUCAUUGGCCAUUGGCUUGCCAUCGAUCCAGUUCACUGCCUAAUGAAAUUCAUUUAAAGAUUAUUCAACAUUAUAAGGUAAUUAUAUAUAUAUAAAAGGAGAGAACUAGCACAAAAUGUUGAGUGAAUAAGGAAACAUUCUUUUAUGCACCUAGGCUUUAGCCCAAAAGGUGAAUUAGGUUUACACUUGUUUUAUGAUGGAAUCAAGUGGUGAACAUGGAAAGAUCAAUCUAAACUAGGAGGAGCUAAGCAAAAAACUGACAGCUGAAAUUUAAUAUGGUAAGGAUCUGAGUAAGAAAGAAAAAAAAAAACAACUUUCUUAUGUACGUAUUGGUACGAGGAUGUAAAUGGUUCCUCAUGUUCCAACUUGUGGUAAGUGUUGAAGAAGACGCAUUUCACUUUGUGGAAGGCUGAAAAUUGAUUCAAGUUUAUCUUCAUAAUAGCUGGGUAUGAGUCCAUGUCCUUAACCAGAGAUGGCAGAUCAUGAUCAGUAUCCAAUGGUGGCAAGGAAGGUAUUGAUAUCAUUGACCCUUCCAAAGGAAGCUUGAAUGUCCCAUGGUUCUCAUGGUAAGAGAUGGCAGAAACAGCACAUGAUUGAGUGAAGAAGGGAGCUGCAUCCAGACCCAUUCGAUCAGCCACAUCUUGUGCCCAUAGUAUAACCGAGUCAUACACAAGAAUCCAAGCAGGGCUAUCGGACCUGCUGUGCUUCUCAAUAAGCUGAGCCAAGCUUUGAACCUACAAUCCUAAAACGCUCCAGAUAGGCCUCAAGACUUUCGUCUUUCUGUUGGCCAAGCUCAUUAGAUAGGAGCUCUAUGGUAAUGGAGCUAGACGCUUGGGCAUGGAUGGACUGAAUAAUAGAGGUUGUGGUGGUGACUAGUGUGACCUUGAGACCUUUGGAGACUAGACGCUUGCAGAACUGAAACAUUGGACUGAUGUGACCCUGUAAAGGGAACGGAAAAACCAUAACAUGUGGUCCAGUGAUUCUUUAAUCAGACCAAAGAUAGGAGGUAGUAUUUGUAGAGCUGCAGAUGCUGGAAGGCCUAAUCCUACAUCUAUCAAAGGCCAAAAAAGUGGCGCCGAAGUAAUAGUUUUCUGUCUUCUGGCUUUUGUCUAUUCAUACCAGCUUCACCCAAUAAUUUUAUCGCAUGUGUAAAACUUUAUCAUUAUUAGAUGCUGUUACAUGGUAUUUCUGAAUAAAAUAGUCUUAAAAUUCUUGUUGGAAGUUUUUCAUGUGGUGUUUGACUUGUAGAUAGAAGUAUAGAAGGUCCUUUCAAAGAUGGGAAGUGGAUGAAGGUUGCUUUUUCUGUGGUAUUUGUGAAGUUCUUCUUGUCACCAAGAUAUAGAUAAAACUACCAAUGGAAAUAAUUCCAAGAAUUAUGCAAAUUAAUCCAAAAAUCAUGCAAAUCAUGGUGAUGAUACACUCUCACCAAGCCUUUUAUUACAGUUGGAAGUUCCUUGUGGGUGUAUAGUGACUACCAGGUCAACCAACAGAAUCCCAUGCAUGGCAGUAACAUUACCUUCUUCCUCAUAAUUUUUUCAUCUCACCUUUGGCCCUCCACCGAACCUACACAAGAAAGGCCCAAAGCUGAUCAAGAAACAAUGAAGCUUCAUAGGGUCUUUCUAUCCAGAUGCAGGAAGUCCGCAUGCAGACAUGUCUAUUUCACUGAGCCUAGCUCUCUCCAAGAUAGUGCUUAGAUCGUUACACCUUUCGUGCGGGUUGAGUAUGUAAUUACUUUCAGUAUCUUGCCAUAUGAUGUAGGAAUGGGCCUUUUCGAAACUUUUACACAGUAUUUUCUUAUAGAUGAAAAUGGCAUUUGAAAGAUUAUACAGCCGGAUUUCGACAGAUAUGAUAUGAGGAGUUGUUCUCACAGCCAACAGCUUGACUGAAAACUUGAAUGUCAUACUUUUCAAAUUAAUAUGAGAUAAAUUGAGUUCUUUUUUUUUUCCUCUCUUAUUUCUUAUAAAGAAAAGACUAUCAAUUUUAUUUUGAAUCGAAACAAAUGGUGAAUCUAAUCCGUAUUAGCCAUGGGUACCUCCAUGUUGGCGUUUAGAAAAUUGAACAUCAACCCAAGCUGAGAUUUGUCCAUAGAGAUGGGCACAAAUGAAACUGAAUUAGCAGAGAGAUUUUACUAUUGAAAUUUAACGUCAGCUGCAUAAAAUUUCUGUAACAAAUUCUUCAAUGUUCUUAAAAGAGCUUCCACCUUCAGUUACUGCCUCUUUUGCCAACUCCCUCCACCUCUGAGCAUUCGUUUUCAUCUCAUUCCCUCUCUCUCCCUCCAUGAUUUCCCUUAUACACAUCUCUAUUUCCUCUUUUUUAUCGAUCCCUUUUUCAUCAGCCUUAACUCUAACCCCAACUCGCCACACAUCUUCAACAAACCUAGCAUUUGUUGUCUGGUCUAAAAACUGAGGCAUGGCUAUCAUUGGCACUCCCAAGCUCAGUGCCUCCAGUGUUGAGUUCCAUCCGCAAUGAGUCAGGAAACACCCAACGGCUUUGUGAGCUAAAACUUCUAGUUGCGGACACCAACUCACAACCAGACCCCUCUCAGAUGUCUCCUCUAAAAAAUUGCUAGGGAUCUUUUUCUCUUUCGAUUCUCUGACUACCCACAUGAAGUGGGUGUUGCUCUUCCUCAGGCCCCAUGCCAAUUCCUCCAUCUGCUCUUUUCCCUGUGAUGCCAUACUUCCAAACGAUACAUAAACGACAGAGCCACUGCCCUUUGUGUCUAGCCAUGUUAUGCAGGAGUCGGCAUUUUGCUUGAAAAGGCUGAGGCCGUAAUCUCUGUCAUCCUCCAACAUUUUGUCCAAGUACAUGGAAGGAACGGUUGGUCCUAUUGCCCUGAUUGGUCGUUGGCUUGCCAUCCAGUUGAUUACCUAAUGGAAUUCAGGCAGCGAAUUUAACAGUAUGAACCAAUUGCUUAGCAUAUAGUGGUAUGUUGUUCUAUUUGUAGGAGUUAUAGAAAGUACCUCAUCUUCCAAUUUGUCGUAAGUGUUAAACAAGAUCCAUUUCACUUUCAGGAGGAAGCUGAGUGCAGUUGUGUCUGAGCUCUUGCCAUCAAUAAUCGAUGGAAGAUCAUUGAUACAUAAGACUGGCAUCCAAGGCAUCGAUGCCACUUCCCCUUCUAAAGGCAUGUUCAACGCCCCUUGAUUCACAAGGUAAUAGAUGACAGAAACAGCACAAGAUUGAGUGAAGAAAGCAGCUCCAUCCAGGCCUAGUCGUGUAGCUACAUCUUGCGCCCAUGGCAUAAACGAGUCAUACACAAGGAUUUUAGCAGAAUGGCCUCUUUUGAGUGGUAGCUUCGCUUAAGAGAAGAGGGUCCUAAGGGCCCCCCUAAUUUUGUCCAAAAAAAUUUUCUUAAAUCUUAGGUGUUUGAAAAUAUAUUGAUCAACUUAUAAGUUAAAUCUAUCUGUUUUGAAUUAAAUUAAAUAUUUUGAAAUUGGAUUUUAAGGGUCACUAAAGAUAUUUCUAAUAUAAAAUCGUUAAGGGUCAUUUUGAUUUGAUACAACCCUUAUUGAGCUUCUUAAUACUCUAAUUUGACAAGAAAAUGAGUAAUAGAGACUUUAAGGAUCCAAUUCAUAAAUAUGAGAGAUUCGAUUUGGUUAGAAUACGGUUGUAAUGAGAAUGCUUGUAGCUAAUUGAAGCCAAGUCAAUUCAAUUGAUGGCUAUUUCAUGAAGAGAUGAAGUCCUAAGGAUUCCUGAUCCCAGGCAUCCACAAUGACUGAUCAUGAAACCCCAUCUUUGUGAGCUAAAAAUUCGGAUGAAAAUAUGGUGAUAUAUCCUAAAUAUUUCAUCGAAAUAUUACUCAUCUGAAAAUGUUUGUACCUGAAAAAGAAAAGGGUCGUACUGCUAAUCAAGCCCCUGCCUUGACGAGUAAUAAAAAAGUACAUAUUUUUUUCACAUUUCCUUCUCCUGAAUUAUUGGUUCAGUCACUUUAAGGUAGAAUUUUAUCGAGACGCAGCCGCUGAAAGGCCUAAUACUACAACUAUUCAAGUGAGAGCGUUCUGUCCUCUAGCUUUAGUCUAUUCCAUGGUUUUAAAAAGCCGGAUUGAAUCGGCCUGAUGAAUUGGGCCAAAAAAUGACUGAACCGGAAUUGGAUCAGACGAUGUCUGUAAAACCAUCUCCCCACCACGCCUGCCGCCUGCUGCCACCCAUAAGAUUGGUUCGCCCUCCCACUCCCACUAGCAAUCUUGUCGAACAAGAAGCAGGCCAAAUCUCAAAUAUUAGACUUUCGUUUUAAAAUUUAAUUUUUAUGUUUUAUAUUUAAUAUCUUAAUUUUUUUAUUGAAUAUAAUUUAUUAAUUUUAAUGUUAUGUUUAAUAUUUAAUAUUUAUAAAUUUAGAUAUAAUUUAUUAUUUUUAUUUAUUAAUUUUUUUAAAAUUUUAAUAAUGUAUGAUAUAUAUAUUUAUGACAUCACAUAUUACUAUCAUUUUGAUCAAUGAACCAUUAAUCGAUAACUUUUUUCGAUCACUCAAUUCUAAAAAUAUUGAAUAAAAAGUAAUCACACAAUGGAUAUGUUCAAGAUACUACAAUAUUGAAUUGUCUGUGCCAACGUUUAUUGCAUCCUACUUUUGAAUAUCUCAUGAUCAUAUUAUAUCAUAUUUAUCUCAUCAUAUCAUAUCAUAUCAUAUAUUAAAAGCUAUAGGAAUUGGCCUUUUGCAAAGACUAUAAAAUAAUAUUUCUCAUUAAAAUGCCCUUCAGAGAUAAAGAAUGCAGGCCUCUAUUAGAUAUGAUAUCUAGGCUGUUCUCAUGGCCUACAAAUUGAUUGAAGACUUACGUUUGAUCGGUAAUUUAAAAUAGUUUCUGCUAUUCAAAAUGAAAACAUGUUUAAUAAUUAGAUAUAGAAAACAAUUUUUUAUUUUUAAAAAUUAAAAAAAAAAAAGUAUCUUUUUAAUUAUUUUGUAUUUAUUUUUUUAAGCAUAUUUUAAAAAAUAAUUAUAUAAAUAUGAAGAAUGAUAAAAAUAAUAAAAUAAUACUUAUGAAUUAUCUUUUUAAAAACAGUCCCGAAACAAAAUUUUAUUAUAUUAUUCUUUUAUGCAAUAAAUAAUUGUCUUCUUAUUUCUCUUUUACUUUCAUGUUUGUUCUUUCCUUAUUUAAUCCCAUCAUAUUAAUUUUCUAAAGUAGUAAUAAAAGGGAAAAUGAGCAUUGGUCCGGCUUUAUUCUCAUAUGCCAACUGAGAUUUUAGCGGGAUGGCUGGAUCUACUAUGUUUCUCGAUAAGCUCCGCCAAGCUUUGUGAAGCUACCAUUCUAAAACGCUCCACAUAGUCCUCUGUUCUUUCUUCUUCUUUGCGCUUCUCGAGCCCUUCACAAAUGAUCUCGAUGUUGAUGGAGCUAGCUUGGGCAUUAUAAAUGGAGGCAGUUGGGAUCACUAAUGUGACCCUGGGACCUUUGGAGGCUAGGCGCCUGGAGAAUUGGAGCAUUGGAUUUAUGUGACCCUGUGAAGGGUAACGAAGGACCAUAAUAUGUGUUUCACUAACUCUCUCACCUCUCUUCAUCCUCUCCACUACACUCUCCUCUCUUCUUUAAUCAGGCCAUUCGUAGAAGGUAGUAUUUAUAGAGUACUUGCAGACAGUGAAAGGCCUAAUUCUACAACAAUCAAAGGCCAAGCAAGUGACCAUCCAACACAUUUUUCUGUCUUGCUUUUACCCCUUAUUUACCAAGAUUUAAAAUAUCCGAUAUAUUACCAAUAUAUCCUUAAUAUAUCUAAUAUACGAGAUCCCUGUAGAAAAUCCAGGAAGAUGUAUGAAAAAGAUUAUCUUAGCUUAAUUAAUGGUACUUUAGGUGUUUCAUAUAUUUGGAUUGCACAUAUUGGAUUCAAAAUUCAUUUGGCUUGUCCUUUUUUAUUGAUUUUAAGGAUAGUUUUAAUUUAUCAAAUUUUAAAUUGUCAAUAUUCACUUCAUUUCCUUUCCAUCUUUUGAAGAAAUUAAAAAAGUCGUAUGAUUAAAUGCUUCUUUGCUCAUAAUUUUUUGUUUUUUUGGUCUUACAAUAAAAUACUACUUUGCUCAUAAUUUUUUUUUUUUUUGGACAAAAUGAAAUUUAAUUGUUAUAAGCACCUCGCUAUUGGAGAUGCUAAUCCUUUUUCAUUAUUAUCCAGAAAGGUAACACCCAAAGGGGGUGAAAGGUAUAUUUUCAAACACAAAACCUUUGUACUAAUUGUAGAGAUAAAAAAUCAUGAGGUUUAAAACCUCUAAUCUAAAAUCCAAUAUUUAAAAUAAAGUUAUACAGAUUUACUUAGAUAUUUACCCUAAGACUUACUCUUCAAAACUUACAACUUGAUCCACGUCUAUGGCACAGUAAUCUCCAAUUACUCUAGUAAAUUCACCUCAAUCUCACUAAAGGAAUGCCGGUCUUCCAACAACCCAAGAUUCAAGCUUUGAAUCCUUUCAUGAGAGAUUAGGAAUAGUAGAGUAAGUUAAGUUUGAUCCCUCUCUAAGUGUAAGGGGGGGGGGGGGGGGGGGGGGGGGGGGGGGGUUUUAAUGCCCCCAUCCCCCCUGAAAAACAAACCCCCGAAUUUUUCCACCAAUGUGUCUAUCCAUUUUUUUGACAUUUUUUGGCCUCUUUUCAGAAAAUUUUGAGGNNNNNNNNNNNNNNNNNNNNNNNNNNNNNNNNNNNNNNNNNNNNNNNNNNNNNNNNNNNNNNNNNNNNNNNNNNNNNNNNNNNNNNNNNNNNNNNNNNNNGGGGGGGGGGGGGGGGGGGGGGGGGGUUAUAUAGGCCUACAGGCCCUAUGAAACCAAUAUCCCAAAUUUUCUAAAGACAAUAUCCAUGAAUUUUCAAAAUAUAUUUUGCCAUAUUUUAGAAAAUUCUGGACGAGCACUCAAGUGCACUUAUCCAUCGCUCGAGCGCUUGAGCGGUUCCAACGCUUGAGCCUUGUUUUUCCAAAAUAAUAAAUUAAACAUUUUAAUUGACAAAAAAUAUAUCAAUCCAAUUUUAACCCUUUGAACGCCUAAGUUGUUGCAAACUAAAGCUUUUUCGACUCACCUGUGACUUUCUAAUUAAUCAAAUAGCAACUUUGAAUCUUCAAUGAAAAGUAAGUCACCAUCUAAAAAGUUUUCUAAACCAGAGAAUAAAUUAAAACAAAAUUGUCAACAAGCAAUGUAUUAGACUCAUUAUCUUGUUCAUUUUUUUUCAUGAAACAAUAUAUUGAAAUCUCGUACAAUAUUAAUGCUACACAUAUAGAAAGUGUGUUUUAGUGUGUGAAUAAUUAGGUAAUUAAUAGAAUUAGAUGGUUUCUUCCUACAUAUAAAUGAUGAGUUUGUCCCUAUUAUGUGAUGAACUCAAAGACCAAGAACAAAUAAAACAAUAGCAACCAAAAGUAGUCAAUCACAAAAACAAACACUAGGAAUGAAUUUGAGAAAGAAAAUGGAAAUGAAAAUCAACAAAUAUCGAUCCACAUCCCAAUCCAAUCUUGAUAACUCCUAGUGCAUAGCCAGUGACAGAAAAAUGCUAAACAAAGACCUAUUAAAUGAAAAUAAAUAUGAACCAAAUUAAUUUUUUGGGAAAAUAAGCUAAACUUUGUUUAAUAAAUAAAUUAAAAUCAUUUAUUUGAAAUUGUUUUUAGUGCAAAGAAACUCGUUUGAAAUUUCAAGAAAAAUAAUAUAACAGAUAAUUACACUACAUAUUUGGUGGGGCUAUUUAGCCAACCAAUUAAUUUAUAAACCUUCUUCUAAGCUGUACCAACAAAAACAAUAUAACGUAUACGAAGGUGUGAAACACAUACCUAAAAAAUAAUGAUAAAAAUUUUAUAGUCCAUGUAGAUGCCCGAGUUCAUUUGGAUCAUCUUUGAUCCUAUCGUUUUGUAUUCAAUAGCCCAUUGUCUUAUACCUCAUAUCCCAUGUCAUUGCUCUGAAGGGUCGCAUCGGAGCAUCCAUUGAUACACUUUUUUAACAUAAUCACAAUGUUGCCUUCUCUGCCUGUAUUAAGUAUCCAUGAUCCUCCACCAGUCAUUAGAGACAUAGGCUCAAACUCUGAUUAGUUGAGCGAUGUCUUAGAACCAAUUUUCAAAGUUCCAGAAGACAAAUGGGUCGACUUUAACACUACUGAUAAGUUGGAAGAUAAGGUCAUUUCUAUAAUUCCUGAACAAUAUACAGGCAAAUUGACCUGCAGCGCAAGCUACAUGCAUUCCUAACUUAGGACAUUGCUUCAGAAGUACACAGAAUCCUUCUAGGCUCUAAAGAUGGAAUUAACCAAACAAAGAGGAUAAAAAGUGUGAUAGGAACCAUAGACAGAAGGUGGAAUGAUCAUGAAGGCACACAAAUUUAAUACUAUUAGGCACACACUCUAAAUCUCGAAAAGAGAACCCAAAACCUUCCCAUAUUAAAUUCCAGCAUUCAGCCUGGCCUAGUUACACCUAGCUUAGCUUGACCUAGCUAUCUUCACCACUUUGAUUGAUUAUAAAACAAGUGUGAACUUAAUUCGCUAUUUAAGUUGAAGGUAGUUUUAGCAUAAAAAAUCGUUUUUGAAGAAAAAUUAGAUGUUCGAUAAAUUUUGAAAGCACUUUCAAAAAGUUGAAAAAUCACUUAAUAGUGUUUCCUGAAGAUGCACUUGAUAAGUGAUUCCCCUAAAAAACUUCAAAUAGAAUACAACAAUAGCACUGUUUCUAUUCUAACAUCGAAUGCUCCUUAAAUUCCACUAGGUGAUGGCAAGCCACAGGCCAAUCAAAACAAUAGGACCAGUCAUUCAAUCAAUGUACUCAGACAAGAGGUUAGAAAAUGACAAAAAUAUGGAUAGACACAAAGGAGGUCAGCUCAGUGGUUUACUUAUCAUUUGGGAUCUGAGCAGGGAGAAGAGCAGAUGGAGUAACUAGAAUGGGGCCUGAAGAGGAGCAACAGCUACUUCUUGAGGGUAGUCAGAAUCCAAAAAGGACAAGCUCCAUAGCAAUCUUGUAGAAGAGACAUCCAAAAAGGGUCUGGCUGUGAGUUUGUCUGCCCAACUGGAAGUUUUGGCUCACAAAGCAUAGGGGUGCUUCAUGACUCAUUGCAGGUGGAACCGACACUAGAGGUCCUAAGCUUAGGAGUGUCAACGAUAGCAAUGCAGCAAUUUUCAGAUCAAAUGACUACUGCUAAGUUUGUUGUGGAUGUGUGGGUAGUUGGCCUUAAGAGUUAAGAUGGACAAGAAAGGGGAUUGUUAAAAGAGAGGAAAUAGUAGUGUGCAUAAAGGAUGUCAUGGAGGGAGAAAGAGGGAAUGAGUUGAAAAGGAAUGCUCUGAAGUGGAAGGAGUUGGCUAGAGAGGCAGUAAAUGAAGGUGGAAGCUCUGAUAAGAACAUUAAAGAAUUCUUUGCAUAACUUACACACAGUUGAUGUUGAUGAACAGCUAUAAAAUCCCAUCUACUCUGGUUUCUUUCACAAAAAACAACCAAAAUAUAUGAAGCUAUUCCACAAGAGGAGCAAAUAUCCAAGGUUACACCAGUAUGUAUGUCCUCAGAAUAUAUUUGAAUCAAAACAAUGCCAUAUAUUAACAUUCAAAAUUCUAAAUUUACAUGAGUCUUAAAAGUUUGAAACUUAUGAAGUUUCAGUAUUACAUAGAAAAUUCCACUUUCUGAUCUGAAGCAUAAACUCAUAUAUGGCAUUUAUUUCAAAAAUAAUACAGAGAUAUAAACGGGAAGCCCAGUUAGACCCCACUACUGUUUUGUGUGUAUGUGUCAGGUUUUGGUCUAUCAGCACCAAUUUUUACAGCACUAGCAAACCUGUCCUCUUUAUAAUACUGAUAGGAGAACUAAAAACCUAUCUACUAUAUGACUUCAGAAAGUCACCUGUGUAUAAAGAACAAGGCCAAUACCUAAAAAAUCAUAAACAGUUGGAUUGAAGCACUAAGAAAUAGGCAUAUCCAUUCUAAAGUGCCCAGAUAAAAUGAAUCAAUACUCUGUAAUCAGCCAACUAACUUUGUCACUGGAACAGGUACUCUUAAGAUACCAAAGAAGAGGGAAGCAAAAUUUUUUGGCUGGAGUAUUACCCUCUACAUUCCCCCCGCUUCAGAUGUAUUGGCAUCUUCAUUUCGGCUGCCCAGUCUGACAAUGUCUUCAACAUGAAUCUUCCCAUCUGUUGCAGUGAUGUCCAUGAAAAUAUUAGUUAUUGUUUAUGGACCAAUUUAUGUUUACUCAACAGAGAAAUUGACAGGAACAGGAACUGAGAGAUCAAAAUUUUUGAUAAGUAAUAAGCAAAUAUAUUAAAAGCACAAAGAAAGGCACACCAAGUACAUACGGAGUAUACAAAGAGUGCCAAAAAGCAGGCAAAAGGAGAAAACAACAAACCACAACCCAAGCCAAAGGGCUCCC